GGAGAUUAGCUUAACAUAGAUCAAUUAAAGCCACACUUACGUCAAGCACUAUGUAAUCUACAGCUAAAAAUCAUAUAAACUAAUGAUAAAAGAUCUCUAAUACUCCGCUAAAGAUGGACUAGCCCUUUGCCACAAAUGAAAAGUGGUUAUAGAUGCAAGCGAAACAACUAUGGGGUACAGCUAACAUCAAAUCAGAAAUCCUUAACAAAAGAUAGUAUUUGUUAAUCAAUUGAGGAGGAGCUGUAAUUUUGCAUUCACAUGCACACAUCUCUUUCUCUCGUUUUCUUUUCUUUUUUUCAUUUGUAUUUUAUGUUUUGUUUCGAUACAAUUGUGUGUAGGAUUUGACUACUAAUAGAAAUUAAAGAAAAAAAAUCUUGGACGACAGAACCGAUUAACCGACCCCAUUAUCCAUCAUUAUCAAAAACAGAGAAGAGAAGUGGCCAUUGCAUUUUCCCUUCCCUUCACACUGGCCCAUUUCAUUUUGCCAAUUGCCAUUCACAACACAAAUAAUCAAGAAACAGUGCAGAACUAGAAAAAUACCUAACUCUCAAUCUUAUCACUUUUUAGAAGUUAUUAUUAUUACUUUAGUGGUUAGCAUGGUUCCCUCUCACUUUUCCACCCAACUGCUGGCCACCGUAGGCCAUUCCUGUCUCCUUCCUCCAUCCAUUUCCCUUCACUCCCACAUUCUUUUCCUUUCUGACUAUACCAUCUUAGCUUUCAUCCCAAAAAUUCCUAUUUUCCACCGACUUUCUUCACAUAAAAGACAUAAAUGGAAGCUUUUUCAACAAAUAAAAAAAAACACCAUCAGAAUCAAAGGAACAGAAGCUAAGGAAUUUAUCAUCUGCCUCUUGUUGAAACAUGAAGAUAACUAAACUAAAGCCACAACAAAAACUAAGAAGAAAAAGAUUCUACUAAUAGAUACUAGUUAAUUUACAUUUAAACAAUUUUACAACGCCAAAAUUUCUCCUGUAAAAUCUAAAAAAAAAAAGAGAAAAGAAAAGAAGGAAGAGAUACAGUACAGUAAUCCAUAACAGUAACACCAACAUCAAAGGCCUCAUCAACAAAGAUCAAUUUGCUUCAGCCGUCAUGUAACCUCCAUGGCGCAUGUUAGCAACCACCACCGACCCAGAAAAAAAAGACAGCAUCAUUUCACUUUCUUCUCAGCUCACAUCCCAUUCAUCCGAACUCUCGGGUUCUGGUAAUUUAUUCAGGUCAACCCGCUCCGCAAAAUCUCCAGACCCGCCGCCUCCACCGCCUAUGAGAAGCUCCGGCACCGGCGCCGCACGAGGGUGGUGGUUGUGGUGGGGAAGGGGAAGAGUUGCCGACUGGAGAGCAUCGACUCUGGCACCGACCUCUGUCGCUUUCUUCCUGAUAAAAGCUGCCGACAUAUCGCAGUCGCCGCCAACGAAGGCGGCGCGUUCUCCGGCAAGAAGCUCCGGGAAGUUGAGGCGCGCGGAGGGUCCCCGGAGGUAGAAAACGGCGGUGUCGUAGGCUCUGGCGGCGGCGACAGGGGUGGAGUAUGAACCGAGCCAAAUCCUGGAACGCUUGUUUGGUUCUCUGAUUUCAGCAACCCACUUCCCCCACUUCCUCAUCCUGAUUCCUUUGUACCUUCUCUCAGCACCACCUUCCACACCACCACCACCUCUCUUCCCUCCUCCUCCUUCACCCUUCAUCUUCUUCUUCCUUCUCUCCCUGGUUUGUUUCAGAGGUCAGAAUCAAGAGAGAGAAAGAAAGUUGAAGAAAAAUGAAAAAUCUAAGAAAAAGGGGUUGUUAAAUGGGAAAGAAGGAAUGGAUUUUUGGAUUGAAGAAUUGAAGAUGAAUGGUUCAUUCAUGCGAGCGAGGACUCACCCACUAAGGUUUGUCAUCUGGGUAAGCCUCCACGUUGGUUUCUUUCUUUCAAACCCCACCUCCUCUAUCUUCCUUUUAUAUUUAUUCUUGGGCUCAUACUAAUAUUAGUCCCGGAUUUCGUAAGCGAGUUUGAUUUUAAUGUUUCCUCAGAAAAAUUAUGUUUAAAAACGGUCAUUUUAUAACUACGAGCUAUUUUCAAUCUGCACUAAACAUAAUUUUUCUCAAAAGAAAUAGAAUCGAACUCACUUAUGAAAUCAGAGACUAAUUUAACUAUUAAUCUCUUUAUUUUUUUAUCACCAAAUGAAUUAUACAAAGCAACAAAACAAACAAGAUAAUCACUACUACUGUUUUUUCUUCUUGUUUGUUAAUUGAAUUUAUUAAAUUCACCGACAAAAUCACUCUCUUGCCUUUUUUAUUUUCCACUGACAGAAAAAAUCUAUUUUGUUUUGGAGUAGUAUUAAUGGCUUUCCCUUUCACCGUUUGGUGCUACUAUUUAUUUAUAAUCCUAAUUCUAAGCCGUCCUUUUAAUUUCUCUAUGGUUGUAUCGAUUUAAUGUAUCUAUAUCAUCACAUACCACCGAGCGUGUACAAGAACAACUAUAUUAAAAUAAAAUUAUGUUUUCUUUAACGAACUGUUUAAGUUUUGAGAUAAUAGAUUGUUUGAUAAUCAGAGUUUUAUUCGUCUAGACUUUUGGUCCGGGUUCGAUCCCCUCUGAGGUAAAAAAUGAUACCGUUGUGGCCAGGGACAUCACUACCGUAUCCCGAGCCAAAUUAGUCACGUGGGUUUUUUUUUUCCCGUUGAGACCGGUGGCUAAAUGACAAAAAAAAAACUUAAAUUCAAUCUUGCUUAAUUAAUAUAAAAUUAUUUAUGUGAAUCUUGCACUUAUCUAACAAUUUAAACUUCUAGGAUAAUUGUUCGUUUGAUACUAACUUAUGUGCGUUUUUGUUUAGUUUAAGCAAAAGCCUCAAUCUAAAGUACUCCCUCCGGUCCUAUUUAUAAGCAUGAAAGAGAAGAAAAAUCUUGGUCCUUUUUAUAAGAACCAAAUGAAAGUUUGAGCUAUAUUAAUUUUUUUUUCCAAUGAUGCCCUUAUUAAUUCUAACAUGUAAAAUGUGUCUUAUUAACUAUUCUCUCUUUCCCACUUUCCAACACUAAUAACAAAGGGUAAUUUUGGAAGUUUGUUUUGAUUCAAGCACACUUUACAUCUAAUAGAUAUCUCGAAUUUAAAUAUGUCUUUAUGCAUUACAUACUUGAUAGAAAUAGUUUUACCGUCAAAAACUCAACCAUAAUAUAUUGUCUCAAUAGAAAAUAUUAUUUUUUUAGUACAUUAAAAAGAAAAAGAUAUAUUGCGUUCUCCAGAAAUUUGAUCAAUUGAUCUUGUACCUCUCUCACCCAACCCAUUUAUCUCAUAAUUCUUAUUAUUUGAGCUAUUAUUCGAAGAAAAAAAAUGGUAAUUUAAGAAAAAGGCAAUAAUACAUAUAUAAAAUUUCUCACAAAUAUUUUACAUCAUUUCUACAUUAAGAUAAAAAUAUAUGUUAUGCGUCUAUUUAAAAUGAGUUUAAUUUUGAUGCACCGACGGUGUAAAGUUUUUUUUUACAACGUCAACCAAUCAAAUUUCAAGGAUGUGAGAAAAUCUCUCUUUUUAUUUAAUUUCAUUAAUUGACGUGGUAUAUCCUUGAAAUCUGAUUGGUUGACGGUCGGUGCAUCAAGCUUUUUCUCAUUUAAAAUAUACUAAUAUGUAUAAUUCUAAACACUUUAGCUUUGUUUGUUAUAGGAAAGGAAAAAAAGAAGUGACGUUAGUAGAGAGAAAGAUAAUAAAUUUUGUAAGUUAUCUAUCUAUAAACUCUAUAAAGGAAGAGUNNNNNNNNNNNNNNNNNNNNNNNNNNNNNNNNNNNNNNNNNNNNNNNNNNNNNNNNNNNNNNNNNNNNNNNNNNNNNNNNNNNNNNNNNNNNNNNNNNNNNNNNNNNNNNNNNNNNNNNNNNNNNNNNNNNNNNNNNNNNNNNNNNNNNNNNNNNNNNNNNNNNNNNNNNNNNNNNNNNNNNNNNNNNNNNNNNNNNNNNNNNNNNNNNNNNNNNNNNNNNNNNNNNNNNNNNNNNNNNNNNNNNNNNNNNNNNNNNNNNNNNNNNNNNNNNNNNNNNNNNNNNNNNNNNNNNNNNNNNNNNNNNNNNNNNNNNNNNNNNNNNNNNNNNNNNNNNNNNNNNNNNNNNNNNNNNNNNNNNNNNNNNNNNNNNNNNNNNNNNNNNNNNNNNNNNNNNNNNNNNNNNNNNNNNNNNNNNNNNNNNNNNNNNNNNNNNNNNNNNNNNNNNNNNNNNNNNNNNNNNNNNNNNNNNNNNNNNNNNNNNNNNNNNNNNNNNNNNNNNNNNNNNNNNNNNNNNNNNNNNNNNNNNNNNNNNNNNNNNNNNNNNNNNNNNNNNNNNNNNNNNNNNNNNNNNNNNNNNNNNNNNNNNNNNNNNNNNNNNNNNNNNNNNNNNNNNNNNNNNNNNNNNNNNNNNNNNNNNNNNNNNNNNNNNNNNNNNNNNNNNNNNNNNNNNNNNNNNNNNNNNNNNNNNNNNNNNNNNNNNNNNNNNNNNNNNNNNNNNNNNNNNNNNNNNNNNNNNNNNNNNNNNNNNNNNNNNNNNNNNNNNNNNNNNNNNNNNNNNNNNNNNNNNNNNNNNNNNNNNNNNNNNNNNNNNNNNNNNNNNNNNNNNNNNNNNNNNNNNNNNNNNNNNNNNNNNNNNNNNNNNNNNNNNNNNNNNNNNNNNNNNNNNNNNNNNNNNNNNNNNNNNNNNNNNNNNNNNNNNNNNNNNNNNNNNNNNNNNNNNNNNNNNNNNNNNNNNNNNNNNNNNNNNNNNNNNNNNNNNNNNNNNNNNNNNNNNNNNNNGUGCAUCGCACGGGUAAAAAAUACUAGUUUAGUAUGAUAAAAGAGAAGAAAAAGAGUGAAAGAGAAAAAUUACUUAUUAUAUUUAAAAAUAAAUUUAUUCCAUUUUAAACCGGCUAAUGCCAAUUUCAAACACAUUUUGCAGUGUCAAUCUGCUAGCUAAAAAAGUGGUGCGACUAACCACUGCACUUCCUCUUCUCUUCCACCAAACAAGGGUAUACUCAUUCCCUAUAUCUCUCCUAUCUAAGAGAAAAAAACCUAACCAAAAUGCCUUUAGGUAAGUUAUAGGAAAACACGAAUUUAGUUCAUGUUUGGUUAGCAAUGUUUUAAGUUUUAGUUAGAAACAAGUGGAUUAAUAUGUAUGGUUAAGUGUGUUAUCGUGUGUAAACAUGAAAAGAUUGAAGUAGUCUUAUCGUGUUUGAAGUUUGAACACCGUAUAUGUAUGCUCACAAAUUAGAAACUCCGUAUGUAGCUUCUCAUUUGACGUAACUCCACUUGCUUGUGUGCUAGCAAAAAUCAAAAGAAACAACAACCUUUCAAGUAUGACAUGCUUCCUUUUCUUUCAUACUUGAUUCCGUGUUGUGAAUAGCCAAAAUCAACUAAAUUCACCAUAAACUACUCAGCAAAUUUAAACUCAGUUCAUUGGAUAAACAAAAUCACCUGACUCUAAAAUAGCAAUCAGCCUGCUGGAUAAGGGAUGUCCAAACUCUCACAGCAGUGCUCCUCUUGUGGACCAGAUCAAGUCCCUCACCUCCCGCUGCUCCAACUUUCACUGGAAGCAUGUUUUUCGUGAAGCUAACUCUGUAGCCGACGCUUUUGCUAAGAAUGGACUAUCCUUGCUCAUGCCUAUGAGGAUCUAUGAUAGUAUACCUCCUUUUGCUUUCGUUCCUUUUAGGUUUGACUCUUAUAAUACUCUCUAUAAGAGAGUUUAGUUGGGCGCUUUAAGUCCCGAAAUUAAUAAAAAAAAAAAGUUCAUUGGAUUCUCACUUUAUGCAUGUCACUUCUACGAAUAUGCACUUCAUGUUUUUUAUGUUUAGAUUAAUUUCCAUCACAUAGUUUUCCUUCAACGAAAACGAAUUUUAUUUUCGUUUUACACAUGUAAAUUGACAUGAAAAAACAGGAACCAUGAAAAGGUUCAAGUUGUGGAUAAUAAAUUUUUAUUAUGGUUUGUACUCUUAAUAUUUCUAGCUCGUGAAUUAUUGAGUAUCUUGUUCGAAGUUUACGGUCGAAUAAAUUCUGAUAAUCGAUCGCAAUCGUAUAUAUGACAACAUUUUUUUUUUUCAUUUUAUAUAAGUUUGUUAAAAAAAUAAAUAUCUUAUUUAAAAAAAAGGGUCGUUGGCGUAAGACGUGAUUUUAUAUGUUAGUGACACAAUUUAUAAUAAUAUAUCAUACUAUAUUAAUUAAUCAAUGAAUGCCUAUCUGGUGUAUGAUGGUGAGCGGUAUGGUUGGUGUUUUUUGCUGGUUCAGGAAACACAAAGAAGGAAUCGAAUUUAAUUAGUGUGUGUUUUAAAAUUCUCUUUUAAUGCUAAAGUCAUAAUCAAUUAACUCAUAAGGAUAGCUCAAUUAACAAUCUACUUUGAGUGUGCUGAAGAUUUAUGCUUGUGAAAAAGAUGAAUAGUCUUAAUAUUAACUGUAAUUAGAUUCAAAAUUUAUAAUAGCCGAUAUCUAAAGACUGACCGAAACCUGACUGUUUGUAAAUAUUUUUUGGUUGUUGACAAAAACAUAUUAUUAAUUAUGGGGAAAGAAAAUGAGAAUUGGUUUAGAUAAUAUUUUGUUUCGUUUUCAUUAUUAAUACUCCCUCCGGUCCUAUUUAUAAGCAACAAAAAAAAAAAUUCGCAUAGUUUAAGAAAUGUAGUUAAACUAGAUAAAAUGCAUUAAAUUUGUCUUAAAUUAAAAUGAACUUCCAAAAUUACCCUUUUNNNNNNNNNNNNNNNNNNNNNNNNNNNNNNNNNNNNNNNNNNNNNNNNNNNNNNNNNNNNNNNNNNNNNNNNNNNUUUGUAAUAUAAAUAGGACCGGAGGGAGUAUUAUUUAUCUGAUAUUUAUUUAAUAAUUCUGAGUGGGAAGAAGGGCAGGUCGGUGGUCGGUGGAUAGAUACCGUUAGCAAUUGACUUUCCCUCCACGCUAUAACGAUAGGACUGCAUGCCCCGUUUUGUCCUUCUCAAAUUUUGUUGUCAUGCACAUGACUAGGGGUUCUUUCGGAAUAAAGAUUAAUUUCGAUGGCCCACGGUGUUAAGUUGUUGUCCUCCUAAUCAUUUUAAUGGGCUUUUUAUUUGCCUAUUUAUAAUUUUCUUGUUUGCUCUUCAAUUAUUGAGAAUUUAUUAUUAUUUGAAGUAAUUUAAUUUUAUUCCAACAUUUUAAUUAAAUUAUUAGAAAUGAUAAUUCUUUGAAAUUUCUAAAGAUGAAUGCCAAAUAGUGGUUAGAUUAAGCUGUAUAUAUUUUAUUUCAAAAAGCUGUAUAUAUUUGAUUUUCUUUAUAAGUAUAAGGCCAUUAGAGUACUAUAAAUACUAACUAUCAUACAAACCUCUCCAACUAUCAACUUAUUAACAAUUAACAAAUACUAUACAAAUAUGGAAACAUCGAAGGAGGCGUCCAAUAUGUGCCAUUUGGAAACAUAUUAUGUGCUAGUAUAAUUGAGGAUAGAAUAACUAUUUCACCGACAAUUAAAAGUACUCAACAUUGUAUCGGUUGCAUUUAAAAAAAAUGUUGAGGCCUGAGGCCUGAGGGUGAUGGUAAAUUGUAUGGGAUGGAUAAUUAAUAAUGAUAUGGGAUAGAUAAUUAGUAAUAAAUAUAUAUUUUUAAUUUAACAUAUAUGCACAGGCAAUCUAAAAUUAAUUUACUCUUAUAUUUAACUGUUAUUUACCCUGUCAUAAAAUAAUUUUUAAGACUUAUUUACUUAAAAUAAUAAAUAAUUUUGUAACAAAAAAAUAAUAAAUAAUUUAACUGUUUAAAUAAAUAUUGUAUGAUCAUACGGCUGAAUGUGUGUAAAUAAUGCAUGAAAAUUAAACUAAUACUUAACUAACCGACCUCCUUUUUGUAUGAACAAUAUCAUUUCAUCAAAACCUAAGAAGAUCAUAUUCGAGAUGAAGAUAAAUUUAUGUUUAAAAAUAUAAUCGUAGAUACGGGGGUGAUAUCUCAUGAUAUGGUUACAGGCUUAUAGCAGUAGCUAUUAAGUAACAAGAGGUUUGUUUUGACUUUUGUUUAUCAAAACAGACAAUUAUGCAUGCACCUAGAAAAUCGCUUAUGUUGGAAACGAUCCAAUAGAAGUGAUUUAUUGUCAAAACAUAUCUCUUUUGUUCAGCGUUUUGGAAUUUUUUUAUAGAAAGAUGAAACUUUCAUUAGUAAGAAAUACUUAGAUUGGAGGAAAGUAUACUGGCUAAACCAACAGAAUACUCCUCCCAGCGUUUUGCAAAAUUGAUUUUAUUAAAAUUUGCUUAUGAAAACCCGAGUUAAAAUUAUGUUAUUUAUGUUGUAAUACUUGUUGUGACAAGUGUACGUAAUUAAUUUUGUAGAAUUGAUUUUGUUUUAUUAGUACCUUUGAACAUCAUUUUUAACUCGUUAGGAUUGAUUUUGACCAAAUAAAGUGGUUCCCAAACAUAGUCAUAACUCUAUAGUAUAAAGCUACUCACAAUAUAUUUGGGUUGAUUAAUAUUUUAUAUAAUAAAUUGAAGAGUUUUAAACCAUUCUAUUUUUUUAAGCGUUUAAUUUUGAUGCACCGACGGUGUAAAGUUUUUUUACACCGUCAACCAAUCAGAUUUUAAAGAUGUGAGAAAAUCUCUCUUUUUAUUUAAUUUCAUUAAUUGACGAGACAUAUUUUUGAAAUCUGAUUGGUUGACGGUGCAUCAAACUUUUUUUUCUUUUUUUAAAGUGUACCAGAGCAAUAUCCAUUGAAGAAGAAUUCUUAGUAUUUUAAUUUUUUUUACUCUAUCCUGUAACAAAUUCUAGAGAAAGUAUUAAAUAUUUUAUAUUUUCAAAAUACUAAAUAUAUUAAUUUUUUAUUUAACAUGUUCUUUAUAUAGUACAGUAAGGAAAAAAUUAGAAUAAUUUCAAACAUGUUAUGUAUGGUUCAGGUGUGGUUGAUUGUAGUCAAAUAUGUGUUAAUUAAAUGUUAUUUUAACAUUAUAUAGAUAAAAUACUAAAAUUUUAUAAAUAUUAAGAAAUAAUUUAUUUUUAAAAGUAAGAAAUUAAAAUUAAUGCAUCUAAAAAACAUACUAAUAUAGUGAUAAAUGACAUACUUCAUUCUAACUUCUUAUUAGAUUUUUUAACUAAAAGUGAUAUUUAAAAAAAAACAAAUAGUUUAAAACAAAUGAAAAUGUAUUCAUUCAAAAUGGUUUCAGAUUUACCAAUUCUUUUUUGAGAAAAAGUUUGAUGCACCGACGGUGUAAAGUUUUUUUACACCGUCAACUAAUUAGAUUUCAAGAAUGUGAGAAAAUCUCUCUUUUCAUUUAAUUUCUUUAAUUGACAUGUCACAUCUUGAAAUCUAAUUGGUUGACGGUAUAAAAUUUUUUUACACCGUUGGUGCAUCAAAAUUAAACACUUCUAAUUAAAUGAAUCUGAUAGAUUUCAAUUCAACAAAAUUAAAUUUCUCAUAUUAACUGAUUACUACACGCGCCAAGUAGUUAUGAGUAGUACUAGAUUGUUUUGUAGUGUAGGACACAGGUCUAGAGGAGAGGAGGUUAAUGUGGUUGUUCCAUGAUUGAUGGAGAAGUCAAAAUGUUUGGUGAAAACCGCACGGGUGAUUUUAUUCUUAAUUUUUUAUUUUUUUAUGGAGUACAAGUGGUGAAGUUAUUCAACGUUAUUGAACAUUAUUGUAGUUGACAAUUUUUUUUUUUUGGUAAAUUUGUAAACGAAAUGAUAAGUGGACAUACAGAUUUUACAUAAUCUAAUAUUUCUCAAUUCUCAUAUUUUACCUCUUAUUUUCCAAUUCUCAUAUUUUCGAUCAUUUAAUUAAAUGAAUAUGAUAGACUAUGCAAUCAUUUAAUUUUCGCAUAUUUUCUCGCCUCCACUCGCCUACGCCCAAUCAUCAUCCCAAACUAUGCCUCUCUGUGACUCCACCCGCAACUACCCAUAGUCUUAGCAACCUCGACGUCUUCAUCAACAAUGUUGGUGAGAUGGUGCCAGUCAUGGUGUUUGUAAGGUUUAAUGGUAAGAUUGUGUGCGUUAGAGAAAACAUCGCAUUUCUCUUUCUUCUUUCGAUUUGAAACCCUUCUUUUCCCCACAAUCUCUCAUUCCCUCCCAACUCGUUGAAACCCUUCUUCGUCCCAAAGGAACCUCACCCUUAAUCUAUUACUUCUUCCCAUCUUCUUCUUGACCAAUUCUAGGGCAAGCAAUACUUCCUCAAAUACACACAAGUCGAAUCUAAUUUGGAAAGUAAGACAAUAUUGUCAAGACCCAAAGCCACCAUUCAGAUCAAAUCAAUUAGGGUGAUUGAUGAAGUCACAUAGAAACAUGAAGGAGGCGGCACCAUCCUCAUGAGUGAAACUAAAGAACGAGAGCAAGAGUUUGAGAAAGAGAUAAAACGUUAGAGAGAGAAAAGGGAGACCGACGAGGGAGAGAGAUAAUGUUAGAAGAGCUCUGCUUUGCUGGUUCAAACUCAACUAGGGUGGUUCAACACAAUGGUGGGGGUCCUAGCGUUUCUAGCAUGGGAAUGGUGGAGAAGGAGGCGAGGGGAAGGUGGCGAGGGAGAUGGUCCAAAAUGCCCCUUGAUACACCAGGGAACCAAAUUUUUAAAUGUCAACCCUAUUCUUAACCAUAUACCUUAAUAUUUGAUACUGUAAGAUUGCGACACGUCUAUUAAAGAAUAUUAUUUAAAAAUGUCAUGCUAAGGCUGUAAUUUGGAAAAUAUAACUAAUACUCUCCUGAAAUUGUAAAAGUGAUAAAUAUUAGGGAUAAACUAUCAAAAUAGUAAUAACAGGAGGUAAUACUUCAUACUAGAACAAAAUUGGAAAAAUCAUACAAAAUACAAGUACACCUAAUAAUUUUCGAGAAACGAGAACUCCGGCGAUGAGUCAAAUAUCAAAUAUAUGUUCCACGCCUGUCGAAUUCCAUGAUCAGUUUUAAGUUUUUCACUAAGUAUGAAGUGGCAUAUAAAUUACACUAGCAAAAUUACAACACAUAAGAUACACAUCAAACAAAAUUGAUAUGAAUUAUCAUAAAUCCAUCAAAAGUAAAAAAAAAGUACUUCUAUAUAAAAUUUACAGUCAAUAAAAUCCCGGGUGAUCUUUUCCAAUGUGAAACUCUAACACUACGAAAAAUACAAACAAUUAACUUGGGCCGUGGGGUCCUACUAUGUAUUUUAAGAGACUGAAAUUUGAAAUUUGCAAAUUCUGGGAUAAAACCACUCAGCAUCCAUUCUAUUGUACCGGGAAAGAACAAUUCAUAGCGCAGCACAGUGUGUAUCUCAAUUUUUUUUACUUACUAGCAUGUAACUUACUUUGGCUUCUUCCGCAUUCCCAUCCGCGAUUUAGCAAAUCUAAAAUUAUCAUUAAGUAUACAAAACAAAUGUUGGUGAUGAGAAAAAAAAAUCAAUGAAAGAAAACAAACAGGUAACCAAAGGAUACUCUAAACGCAUUCCCUCGCCAGCUGGAGAGGAGUGAAGAAUGGUGCCUUGCAGAUUGUUUAGAGCAUCAGCGGAGCUACCAACGUCCUGCACAUAAAGUUAGCAAUCAAUCUGGGAGCUUUACAAGAUGCACUUGUCGUGAUAGUUCACAAAAACCUCCUAAUAAAAUCAUGCAAAUCAAAUAUGGGAAUAACUAUAAUAUUUAGGUAAUAGUUUUAUGCAAUUUUCAACAUGGCUUUCAAUGCUUUCACAAGAAGAAGCAUGCUGACUGCUGAGUGAUAACACUCCCAAGGGUAAAACUUAGGUGCUAUUCUUUAGGUACUUUUCAUGUUGUUGACUUGUUGCCUAAUUAAAAACUCAACUACCCACUUUCUUAAUUCAUUAACAUAAUUUUUCAUUUUUUUAUUCAUGUCUCAUCAUAUGCAGUGCAAAAAAAAAGGACAACAAUAAAGAAACCUGGAAAUCAACAAAUGCAACUGGAGCCCCAUAUGUGCUCUGCAUCUUCAGUUUCAAAAAUCCAGGAUAUCUGAUAGAAGAUACAUACACCAAAAUAAAAUCAACUUCAGCAUCUACGGACUGUAUAGAUACGAAAAUAAUUCGAACAAUACAUAUACACUGACCUAGAAAACACUUGUAUUAGCUCUUGUUCAUUACAAGACGGCCCCAGAUUAGCUACAAAUAAAGUUGCACAGGGGAUUGUAUUUUGAGGAAUGUAAGGUAUUGAACACUUUUUCUGUCAACACAAGAUAUGAAAUAAAAACAAUUACUUGAAGUGGAAAAUGCAAUAAUUUUAAAUUAACUAUAGUCCUAGAUGCAAGAGAAACAAGGAAAAACAACACGGUUAGAUACAACAAUUUAAUAAAGCAUAAUAAUGUUGACCAGCCUAAUCCAUGUAAAGCAUAUAACUGAGAAACAUUGUACAGUUUAACCACAAAUUUUAAUAGUCUGGAAAAAAAAGAUUAUGAGAAAAGCAUUUUGAGUUCACCACCGAAAGAUUUAACCAUUUAGAACAGCUAAUAGAGGUAAAUAUCUUAAGGUGAUGCAAAAAACAGAUAGAUUGAGUGCUACAUAACACUAACCAGAUUUCCAUAUAGACCAUCAUUGACAGCAUUUCCAUCAGCACUCCCAUAACUUUUGCAGAAAACAAACAAACAGACAAUUAGAUGAGAUAGCAUGAUAUACAAAGGCAAUAGCCCAAAAGAAUUUCUCUUGUACUAUAAACACAUUAGUUAUUUUCUUCUAAUAAUAUAGAAUGAGUUCCCCAACAGCAGCUCAAAAUAAUUAACUUGUAAUAUUGAAAAAUGUGCUCUAUUUGAGUUAGAAGCAAUGACUUCCAUAUAAUAAAGGUGUGAUUAAGUAGUGCAGAUGACCUUUGUGCAGAUGGAUAACCAAUCGUGUUCAUGUUGAUAGAAGGAUUACCCAUUCCAGGCAUGUGAAUGCUGCUAACACCUGCUAGUGCCGAAGAGUGCAAAACAUGUGCAAUGUGAGAUAAAAGUGUCCUUUUGUGUGAUCAACAUUUAACUAGUCUUUAAGCAAGAGAUCAUCAACAUCAACCGCAUAUACAUAGAACAACAUCCUACACACUAAAACAAUCUAGCACCAUCUUACUUACCGGAAUCAGGAGUCGCCCAUGACGGUGCAGACCCUCUAGCUUUCUUAUCCGAGCCACCUCUCUCAUCAUCUGCUCACCAAUGUCAAUCAACCAUCACAAUUCAAUUCAAACCUCUUAAAAUGUAAAUGGGAUUAGGAAAAUAAGGUAAUCAAGACACACACACACCUAUCCGCGUUCGCUUAGAUCUAGAGUUGGAUUUGGCAAGAUCAAUAUAAAGAGUUGAAUUCUUUUCAAGAUCAAACACCAUCCCCUGCAAACCACAGCAAUCAAAAUAUUCAAUUCAGACACUGAAAACUGCUACUGAGCAUGAAAUGUAUGUAACACAAAAGAGCCUUACAUUCAGAGCAUGCAUUGCCAUUACUGCAGAUUGCUGAUUCAUGAACACAGCAAAAGCAAAAGGCUAUCGGAACAAAAAAUCACGUCACAGAAAGCAUAUCAGUAAUCAAUCAAUGCAAACACAAUUACAAGAUAAUCAAAACAGUUGAAAACGCUUUGCAGUUUGCAGAAUCGAUUAUUAUUGUACCUGUGAUGAAUUGGUGGGGCUACGAAGAUGCGAUGAUUCGUAACCAGGAAAUUCGCGGAAGAGGUUGUAGAUUUCGCGGGGUUUUACAUCUUCAGGGAGUCCAGCAACGAAGAGGGUACGGACCUCGUGUGUGGGGGAUUGAGGAAGAGCGAAGGAAUUGUAGAGAGGUUGUUGCUGGUGGUGAGGAACAUACUGCGGAUGCGGGAAAACGGUGCCGGGAGGAGGUGGCACCACCGUCAUGAUAGGCGGCGGCGGAGGUGGCUGAUAAUAUGAAUAAUUGAGAAGGGCGGGUGGUUGGGUUUGAGCGUAGUAGGCAGCCAUGUCGUCCAUCGGAGCACUAUUGCAGUGGUUCGGAAGCCCUAGAGUAUUUCAUUUCUCUCUCAACAACUCCUCUGUUUUUUUUGUUGAAUUGUUGUGCUUUUCAUUUUCUUGACAAUAUUGGGCUGGCCCAUUAGGGAGCUGGUCUUCCUUAUCUGGGCCUGGCCCACUGGGAGUUUUGCAGUGAAAUUAAUUUAACCUACUAAGUCUAGACUAUAGAUUGACCAAAAAAAAAUUCUAGACUAUUGCAAAGGAAAAAGAAAACUGAAUGAAGAGAAAAAUUGGAAGCAAGCAAUUUAUUUUUAUCUUUCUCUUUCAUGAACUUUACAAUUUAUAGUUAGGGUUCAACCCUUGGGGUGUGUAUGUGAGUUCAAUUUUGAGGAGAAGGAAAGGGAAGAUGGAUGCUUGUGAGUAGAGGCAGGCGGAGGAACAUGAGUGGGGCCCAUCGAUGUCACAAUCCUUUCUAUCUUUUAGAUUUUUAUCUUAAUAUUAUGUAUGUAUAUUUUUCUUAUGACCUUUGUAGUCAGCUUAAUAAAAUAGAAUCAAUACUAUGUAUUUUUUUUAUGGCCCACUUCCAAACACGUACACAAGGUUGCUCAAAUAAAUUUAUAAAUUUUUGUAAUUAGAACGUUAUUAUCGUCGCAUUGAUUCUUUUUUACAGUACUCGUUAUGGUAUGUUGGAGUGUUUUUACAUGUGCCCAUAUACCAAUACGUCUAUAAAAAAAAAAGGCAAACUUAAAAAUGUUGGUUGUGUUUUAAACCCUCCGGCGUCCCUGUUGUUUUCGCCCGCCGUCGUUCAUAAACGUGCCAGCGCUGUUUCUAAUCGUAGUUCAUGGGCAUCGUUAUCUGGUUCCCUUCAAGAGUACACUCUGUCGCCGCUGUAGCCCCCAAUUCUUUUUUCGUCCUUCAUCGUUUGCAUAAACCUUUUGAACCUUCCCCCGCCACAAGCCUUUUUUAUCUGAUAAGAAGCACUUCCGCAGCAAACCCCUUUUGGGGUUUUAAAAUUAUUCAGAUCUCUAUGAAAUUUCUACUUUGAGAUACAUGAAUUGAUAUUCUGGGUUUAAAUUGAUAUUUUCAUUCUUGGUUUCCAUUCAAUUGGUUGUUCAACAAUUCAGUCUGGCCAAUGUUUUCUGAUAACAAUUCACACGAAACAUGUUAGGCACAUGUGGGAAUUUAUGAUCACCUCUGCUAUACAGUUUCACUCAUGGAGGAUGGGAGAGGAAGAGAACGACAUCACAGACGAAGAUGAACACAGAGGAGAGGAGGAAGGAUUAGAUUAAUAUUUGCCCCAAAUCAACUUGAAAUGUUUAAAAUCAACUAAGGUUAAAAUCAAUUUGAAAAUCAGAAAGUAAACAUUUUCUAAAAAAAAUGUAUUUUAAACACAUAGUAAAACUUAUAAUAGAGAUAUUUAGAGGAUCAAUUUAACAACUUUAUAAGUUAAAAUGACAUGACACAUUUCCACACUUGGCAUUCACUGAUUGGGUAUAAGAGAAACAACAUUAUAACCCCCUCUCACCAACUAACAUGUAAAAGUUUGCCUUUUUUAUAAGCCAAAUAUCGUAAAAACUCAAGUAUCCCUUACACGUAGAUAUGAGAUUUUAUUAUAUAAUUAUUAUCGAAAUACAACAUAAUCAUAUAAAGUUCAAUCGCUUAGCGAGGAUCGUGACAACUCAUGGGGAGAUUACACCAUCUCUUUAUUCUCUCUUUGCUAGUUAUUGCCAUAACACAAGUACUGACUCAACAAGGGUAAAUACCCUCGUGCAAUUCCAGCUGCUCAGUUUACCCUGCAAUUACAACUUACUCACAAGUUAUAUUUAUAGACAUAGCUAGCUAGUAAGCAAGCAAGCAAUUUCUCUUGCAGAAGCAGAAUGGGUGAAUUUCGUGGAAGCAAAUCAAAAAAUUGUACGUAUGAGUGAUCGCAGGCUGUUUUCUUCUUUAAGAUGAAACACGGAAAAAAUCGCACACGAUCAUGUUUUUCCGUUCUUGCUUAAAGGGAAUUUGAAAUUGCGACCAUGCAAUUGAAAAACGCUGCUUUCUUGUUUUCUUUCAUUGAUUCAAAGCAUCUAAUUCAUCAAUCAAGAAUGAUACGUGUAGCACGUUGUUUUUGUUCAUUGAAAAACGCUUCUUUCUUGACAUUAUUACAAUAUAUAACAUUCAUAUCUAUCAUUUAUAAUAUAUCUCUAGUCCUCCCAAAAGUUGUACACAAAUUCAUGACUCAUGAGUACCUAUUAAAACAUAAUUGUUUUUUAUUACCAAGAUAUCCCCACAAUUGAUAACAAUGAGACUAAUCUUCUCGAAGCUUGAAGAUCAUAUUAAACGGAUAAACUCUUUUUAAUAAAUCAUUCUUCAUACAUAUUACUCUAAGAUUGAAUCCUCGACUAAACUUAAGGAGCUUAGUUAUCUACCAACUCAAAACUAUGACUAAAACGACUUUUAUCAAAUUCAAAAGAGUAAUGCAGGUUACAUUAACUUAAUAUUGUUUGUAAAAUUAACUACAUUAUGCAAUAAUAACCUCAAUUGCCACACAAAUGUAUAUCAUAUCAGAUACUACCUCCGGUCCUAUUUAUAAAAAUCAAAGUUAAAAAAAAUUUUGGUCAUUUCUAUAAGAACCAAAUGAAAGUUUGUGUUAUAUUAAUUAUUUUUUUUCCAAUGAUACUCUUAUUAUUUCCAACUAGUAAAAGUGUAUCAUUAAUUAUUCUCUCUCCUUCACACUCUUCAACACUAAGGUUAUGUUUGGCACGCCUAGCUAAUAAGCUAGCUAAAAGAUGAAAAACUAGCUGAAAACUUAUAAGCUAGUUGAAAGCUGAAAGUUGAUAAGCUAGCUGAAAGCUGAAAAGCUACGUGAUUGGAACAAAAGUGUUUGGUAAAACUAACUAUUGAACAAGCUAAAUUUGUAAAAUGACAUAAAAGGACAUACUUAUAUAAUUUUUUUAUAUUUAACAUUAAUUUGUUUUCACACUAAUACCUAUAUGAUAUUAAUAUUAACUUUAAAUAUUUUGAUUCCACUCAAGUUAUUUAUCAUCUUAAAAAUAUAAUAUUAAUUAUUACUUAUUUAAUUUUCUAUAUUUUUAUUAAAUUAAAUAUAAUAAAACAAAUAAUUUGUAAUUUGUAAUAUAAAGUUAAAUAUAAUGCACAGCUGCUUGUGCGUUAGUGUUGUGUGGAACGGUAUGCAUAUGAGAUAAGUGUGAUAACUGAUAAGUAAAUAGGUUUAGUAAAAAACAUAUAAGGCUAAAGGUGAAAUUUUAAUAAAAUAAUAAGGAUAAAAAUGAGAAUAUAUUUAAUAAGUUAUAAGCUACCUAAACUACUGAAAUAAGCUCAUUCACCAAACAUUUUUAAAAAGUUUUUAAGCUAGUAAAAUAAGCUUUAAGCUAGCUGAAAUAACAUGUCAAAAAUAGCCUAAUACUACUACAUUAGAAAAAAGAGUAAUUUUGGAAGUUUAUUUUAAUUUAGGACAAAUAUAAUGCAUUGUAACUAAUUGAACUACAUUUCUUAAACUAUGAGAUUUUUUUCAGUUUUUAUAAAUAAGACGGGAGGUAGUACCAUGCUAAGCUUUAUUACAAAUAUGAGGAUUGAUGAGGAAUUAAACAGCAACACCAUGUCCUAGCUAUAUCUUAUCAUGAACUUUUGUGCCAUACAUAAUAUAUUAUAUGAGCAAUUAAAUAUGAAAUUUAGAAGAAAAUAUAGGGUUAAAUGUUUUCGGUCUCCUUAAAAUUGCAAAUUAUUGAUUUUGUCCCCUUAAUUUUUUUUAUUAAUGUUAGUCCCUCAUUUAUAAAAAUGAUGAGGUUUUAGUUCUUUAUCCAUUUUAAUAUGCAUUUUGUCGCGGCUUUUUAGAAGGUUUAAACCGUCACUAAUAUAUUUUACGUCAGUUUUUGUGUAUUAGUGACGGUUAAAUUGCCUCAAAAUGCUCCACAUCAGAAUUAAAAUGGAUAGAGGGAUCAAAACAUGAUCAUUUUCAUAAAUCAAAGAUUAAAAUCAAUGAAAAAUCAAAGAAGACUAAAAUCAAUAAUUCACUAUUAAAAAAUAUAUUUAACCCAAAAAAAUAUAUGAAGUGAAUCUUCCAAACCUUUAUAUAAGUGACAGAGUAGCUAGUCUAUCAAUUAUAAGAUUAUACGUUUGAAAACAAAUUAAAGCUGGUGUAUCUAUCAAUUGGGUACCAAAUAUAAACAACUUUUUUAUAAGCGAUAGAUAUGGUAGUUUGAAUGGGAAAAAAAACCAAAAAGAAAACCCCUAUGGUAAAUGAAAAUAUACGGUAAUUAAUUAAUAAAUUUAAAAAGUAGUUUAAGUAAUUGAAUUUUACAUGAAUUUUUUUUUCCCACACUUGUCUUACUAGCUAAAUGAGCUUGCUUGCAAAUGAGCUUUGCUGUGCAUGUUAUUUGUAUGGCAGAGAUGAUGUGGCACGCCACGUGUGUUAAUGAGAACCAAAAUCAAACAAUUUUUCCCUCGUGUGUUAAGGAGUGACAAGGCCCUUGAGUCAAUUGUUUGAUUUCUAACGUUGUAUGAUUAGGGAUCGAUCUGGUAUUAAUUUCUGAUACCCAUUAGCCAUCUUCUCCAAAGUUUUGAUAUCUUUACCAUAAUUUUUCCAAAUUUAACAAAACAAUAAGAUUUUCAAUGUUCGUGGAGAUUAUGGGUUCGACACACUUCGAGGAGUGGUAGAAGUGAAGGAGAGGACGGGGUGGCUGUGGAGGCUUGAGGUUUAAACUGAAAUUGAGUUUCUGAAAAUGCAUCAAGAUGAGGAAUUUGAAUUGGGAGUGCAAGUGUUUAAUUAGUUUAUAAUUAGAUUACUAAUGAGAUAAUAAAAUUGAAGUGGGAAAAUGUUUGAUUUAGGUAUUGAUCAAAACACGAGAUCAGGCACAUUAUCUCCGCCGCACAUUAACACUUGACAUGCUCACCAUACCUCAUUUUCAAGAGAUAACUAAAAGCGGGGUUGGUGGUGGCAGUGGCGACAUUAAUAGUUGUGGUGGUGAUAGCGGCGGUGACGGUGGUGGUAGUGGCAAUGGUAGUGAUGAUAGAAGUUGCAGCUUGUUUCAUUUUCACUUAAAAUGAAAAUGAUUUUUUUCUUAUGUUUUGGUCAUAUUUUAAAAAAUGUUUUUGAAAAAAAUAUUUUCUAAAUAUUAAUCGAAUAUGUUAUCAGCUGUAUUUUUUAUUUAUAUUGAAAAUGAAAAUAGGAAAUGGGUCAAUUCCUACUUUACUAGUAUUUUUUUGAAAUUUACUUUACUUGGUAUAGUGAUAUCAAGGAAGUAAAAAUCAUUAAGCGGCUUUCAAGAUCUCAUUUUAAUUACCAGCUAAACAUACUAUUACUAUUGUCUUUAAUAAUGGGAAUCUUUUCAAUUGGUGCAAUUAACUAAAUUAAUAAAGCAUUAACCUAGACAGAAUCCCAACUAAUCUGACCCUUGUCAUUAAUCAACAGUUCAAAUUAAUUAAGUUAGAUCGAUGACCUCUCGUCAAUGAACAAUCUAUACCUAUUUUAAAAAUAUGUAAUAAUACUUAUGGAUCAAAUUAAAAUAGUUCCACUCUCUUCGUUCCAUGUGAUCAGAUUGCUUUCUCAUGGAAUAAACACUAUACACAUACAGAGCAAGCCUUAAUGCAUGUGCUUCUUCUUUUAUUUGCAAGUACGGAUGAAGUUGCCGGCAUUGACCCAUUAUAUAGGUGUUUUGAAAUAAGUAAUUAGUAAUUAUGUAUACACAACUCAUUUUCUUUUUGAUCAUAUCAUUUUCAUACAUUUUUCUUGUUUCUGCAUUUUCUAAAUAGAUCACAUAUUUCUCUUUUUUCUCUUCUUUAAGGUGAAGGGCUGAAAGUGGAAAUAAAUUGUUAACAUAACAUUAUUCGUUUAGAAACUGAUAAGUCACUCCGAUCAGACUAGAGACUAGAGACAGGGGCGGAACUUGGAGAGGACAUAAGGGAGCCAUGGCUCCUUCAAAAUUCUUAGAAAACUCUUACAUAAUGCCCAUGAUAAAAAAAAAAUGUUUCACUCAUAUUAUAUAUACUGUAAUUUGUAUACUGUCACACAAACUUCAUGGUGACUUGGUGGAAAGUCAUCAUUCCUCUCUUUUUUAGAUACUGGGUUCGAAUCCCGUAUAUGUCAGUAUUUAGGUUACUUUUUUCUGUUUCACUCCCUUAACUAGCUUUAGGUUAGUGUGUAGAAUUUUUAAAAUGUCUUUUUAAAUAAUUUUUUUUGAUAAUCUCUUUAAAUAUUUAUUUGUUUUCUCUACUAUUAUUUAAAUUUUUAUUUAAGUCAACAUUAUUAAUGAUAAAAAAAUUCAGAAAACAAAUUAUCAAAAGGUAAUAUAAAUUCAGUCAACAUUAUUAAUAUAUAUAUAUAUAUAUAUAUAUAUAUCAAGAAGGUAAAAAUUGAAAAAAAAUGAGAAGUAAGUUUUUAAUUAUUAACAUAACUUUUAAUAAAUUUUCAAUAUUCAUGUAUAUAAAUUUCAUCUUUAUUUUCUUUUGUAUGAAUAUAUACAUGUAUUGUUGAUAAAAUAUUUUAAUUUAUGUAUUGAAAUUUUAUUUCGGCUCCCUUAAAAUUUUCCUCCAAGUUCCGCCACUGGACAUGGAGUUCUUAAAAAUAAGAACUAGUUCUUAUAUAAGAAGUUUUACUUUUUGAGUUAUUAGCAUAAAAAAAUUAUUUUUUCUUUCUCAUUCAUCAACUUAUUUAAUUUAAGUAUUGAAUUAGAAUUUAAAUUUAAAUCAAAAUUAUAUGAAAAUAAAAAAUAUUACUAAUAUAAUGGUAUUGUGAGACCAGAUGAAUAGUGCUAAGAACUAAGAACUCAUGGUUGGAGCAAAUCUACAGAGAGUUGCUUAAGCACAUGUGGCACUACGUGCUCACAUGAAUAGUGCCAAAAAUUAAGAACUAAGAACUAAGAAACUAGCAUUGAAGAUGCUCUAAGUACUCUCUCCAUGGUAAGUCAUGGUUUUCUCUCAGUCAUGUUUGUUUUGUUACCAAAAUGAAGUAUAUGAGAUUCUGCAUCUGUGAUUAUUAGGUUUGGAUUUAGUCCUUGUGAGAGCGACCAUAGUGUUCAACACCUUGUACUGCAUUUAAAGAAGAAUAUUUUGACACACAUCAGGACAGUGCGUUCGUCUGUAACACAAUGUUCUGGAGAGCUUCUUGCGCAACCAAAAAUCAAUCCAAAUAGUGUAAAUAAAAGCAAUGUAAGUGCUAUUACUUUACGUUCUGGAAAAACAACUAACUCUCCUGCACCCCUUAAAAUUUUCCUCCAAGUUCCGCCACUGACUAGAGACCCGUUCAGUCACAUGAAAAUGAAAAAAUCCUGAACUGGUUGAACUGGUAUGCAUCGAUGCCUAGAAUCGGUGUUAUAGACCAAGUUAAACAAGUGAAUUUUUUGCAUUUUAAAAAAAAAACUAAGUAUUUUAACUAUUUAUUUUUUUAUCAUAUAAAUUAAAUAAGAUAGUUGAGGACAUAUGAGUUGAGAGGGGAGGUACAUGGAUUAAUCUUUAAAUGGUGCAAUUUAUCUUUUCAAUAUAAAAAAUAUAUAAAUUAAAUAAGAUGAAAAAUUUAUUAUAAUUGAAAAUUCAAUCAUUCUAAUUUUUUUUAAUAUUGUAUAUGAAUGUAUUACAUAGUAACUAUAGUUUAAUGAUGCUUGUCAAUGUGUGGUGCCUUAAAUGAUAUAGACCAAUAGAAAACAUAGAAUUUAAACUUAGAGGAAGAGGAUUAAGGAAGAUUUGGAGGUUCAAUAUAGGUGGAGAAUGAAGGAAGAUGAUCUUAACAUGGAAGAAAUUUAAAUGAUCUCUCGGAGUUAUAAGUUCAACUAAAAACCUUAAUUUUCAAAUUGUGCAUUACAUAACAUAAACAAACUUAAGAACUAUAUGUUAUUAAUUCAUCAAGUCGAUCAUAGAACUUUUUAAAAUUAUAAUAAUACAUACUUUCAUCUUUCUUUAACCAAAUAACAAAAUUAUAACUUAAAAUAUCAUAUGGAAUACAACACCAAAAAAAAAUCUGCGUACCCCAAAAUUCACCCAAUAUAAUUGUGGUUCAACUAUUAAAUCUUGAACUGAUGUUUCGACUAAUUCAUGAUUGGUCCGACUUUUUAAUAUUGAUUUAUAUCAUACAACUUGCAGCCAUGCAUGGAUAUUUGGAGGAAGCUGACUUUUAUGCCUCUUUCAGUGCAUGAGAGAUUUGUAAAAGGGCACGUGCAUACGAUUAUUUAGAAAAGUAAAUUUUAAACUCUAUUUUUAAUAAUGAGUUUGGAUCUCACUUGGAAACUGAUGCCAUUUUUUUGAAGAAACUUGAUAAUGGUUAUAGGAGUAGGAUUAGUAUAAUCAGAGAUCGGAGACCAAUAGUGUGCCUGUUUGGAUAGGAACUGAAAGUCCGUUUGCUUCUCUUGAAAUGUGUGUGCGUGAUUUCCAAAGUGCUCAAACGCGAAAGAUAAAAAUUGUUUCGCUUACGUUCACGUUCAAUCCAACAUAAAUACAAACAGACCAAGAGUCCAUUCGGCAAGGGGCUUGGGAGUAUAGCUUGGCAAUAAUCUCUUCUAUAAUUCUAUAAACAUGGUUCAUACUUGCUCAAUGUAAGUUGUAUAAAUAUGGUUCAUAUGUAGAUCAAUUGUUUAUUAAAUUACUUUUGUUAGUCAUUUUCUUUUAAACUGCUACAUUCGUUUCUUACUAACGGUUCAUAAAGAGAAAUAAAUAGGUUGUAGGCAUGUAAAGAAAUACAAUUAAUUUUUUUAAAAAAAAUAUAAUUUAUUAUUUAUUUUACCUUUUAUAAUGCAAGUUAUCUCUUAUUUUUUUAGUAUAAACAUUCGGUACUCGGUUACCAUUUGAAUACUGCCAGAUUCGGGAUUUAAUUAUAGUUAAGACUCUUCAUCCCUCCCCUAGAGUUUAUUGUAUGGGGAUAGAACCCGAUAGUUAUUCUCACACACUCAAUCUGAGCUACCCCUCUUAAGAAAAUAUCAAUUAAUACAUUUUAAAAUCCGAAGUGGACAGAAAAAAAAUUGGGAGAGGUAGUAAAUCACAAGCAAAUCCUUCUGAAAAUAUCAAAGAACAACAUCAAUUAACAACAUAAUAAUCAAGGAAAUUUUCUUAGACUCUUAUAAUAAUGUCACUGGUUCCCUUAUCCUAAGAUUUGCUGAAGAUUCAAAUGCACCAGCUCCAUAACUAGAACGACAAGAUGCAAUUUUUCUUUCCUUUUUGCUUUCUUGGAAUACAAUAUGAUGAGGUGAAACUUAGCAGAUGACACAGGCAUUAGGAUUCUCUUCCACACUAGUGUAAUAGUAAUGUGGCUGUCUCAUCAUCUGAUUCUGACAUGCUUCAUAUACCUUCGCAAUAUCAACCAUGUUCUGAUUAUGAUUCUGAUUCUGAUUCUGAUCGGUUUUCUUCUUCUGAUCCUCUGGCUUCUUUCUCUCUUCUUUCUUAGGAGGUUCCUUGGCUGGUCCAACAGAGAGUAUCUCAGUAUGACACAGCUUCCUCAGCUUACCCACCACUGCCACAGGGUCAAUGUCCCCAGUUAAGGUCAGUUUCUGCUCAUUCAUAUCCAUAGAGACUGACUCAAUCCCUGCAUAAAGCAUGUCAGUGUAUAUUUAGAAAUUUUUCUCCUAUUGAUUCUUAACUCAAAAUUCAUGUGGGGAGAGCUAGCAGCUUUUGAAUUUAAAAACUGAUUCUGAUGAAAGACAAGUUAACUCAAACAUGCUAUUUAUCAACUAUGUACAAAAUUACAAGGGGUUGAAAUUCCAUACCUGAAAUAUUAGAGACUUUCUUCAUAGCUUUUUUCUUAAUUUUGUCAUCGAGUAGUUCCACUUUUAGCACUACUUUCUGCCAGAGUGCAAAUAAGAUCGACGAGUGUUAGUUAGGACACUUGUAAUUUAAUCAAUCUAAUAAAGAAAAACACCAAUCUUCAAUUUGUUUUUCAAGAGACGAAAAGACAAGCCUAUGUUGAAAUUUUGACACGAGAUCUAAAGCUUUGAGUGUCAAAGAGUGCCAAAAAAUUAAAAUAAACAUAUAGAUUAUAUAGUUGAUCUAUGAUGAUGAAUGAAUGAUGAACCAUGCAUGGAGCUGGAACUGAAACAGAGCAAAACUAAAAUUAGAAGCUUUCACAAUAAAACUUGGAGGGGUGACAAAUUCUUACAUUCAUUGAUGUGACGCUGGUGAAAAAUAAGGGAAGUUUUGUUUUGGAAGUUCUGGUGUAUGGAAGUUCAGUUGGUUGAAGGUAUUUAAAGAGAAAAAUAAUAAAGCUACAGAGACUAGUGUGUGAGAUAGCGAGAUAGGAAGUCAACCCAAGUCUAUAAUUAUGAAAAAUAACAAUGAUAUAUUCACACCUCAUUUUUUAUACAUUUCAUUUUCACAUAUAUUAUUUCUAUUUUUCUUCUCUUAUUAUUUAUCGCAUCUUAUACUUUCUCUCUCUUACUUUUUCUUUUAUUCCUAACUCUCUCCUCUUUAAGAUGUGAAUGAACGAUUAUUCUUAUAAAAAAUGUUUAUAGGAAGGCUAGUGUUUUGUUUUUUUUUUGGUAAAUUCUUUUCUUUUUGGUAAAUGACUAGUGUUUUGUUUAUGUAUGAAACAAUCAAUCAAUCACGUGCGUUAAUACAUAAAAACCGUCAUAAAAAAUUUAAUAUAGAUUAAUUUCACAUAUUUCAAUAAUAUUGGAACUAAAAGCUAUAACAUCUUUUUAAGGAACCGAAUUCAAUUCAUAGGAAUUAAAAACAUGGUUAACCAUUUACUUGUUUAUUUUUGUCAAAGUGCCACAGCCAAAAUAAAAUUGAAGCUAGGUGUAAAGGGGUCUCGCAAUCAAGAGCGUGUUGACCUUUGUUGGUAAUGGAUUAAGUGUGUGUUUGGAUUUCCAUGUUAAAUUCAAUGUAGAUUCAUAUUGAAAAUAACCUGUUAAAAUUAUGCAUCUACAAUUUAUGUUAAAUUUAAUGUGACGAAUUUCAACUUCUUUGAAAUACGUGAAAUCAAAUUUACUACUACUAACCUCUCUAAGAGCAUCUUCAAUGGAGUCCUUAUUUUGGGACCUUAAAAUAAGAUCCGGAUCUUAUUAGAUCUCACCAUUAGAGCUAUCCUACAUGGCAUGAGAUCUUAGCAAAAGCUAAGAUCCGUGCCUUAGCUCAGGUACUCUCAAAUGUGAGAUCUUAAAUAAAAUAAUAUUUUUUUUCUCUCCUUCAAUACCAUAAUCAAAGUGAAAAUUAGGGAGGAAAAUAAAUAAUAUAAAAUAUAUUGAGUACUGUGGGCUCAGACAAAAGUAAAAUAAGAUAUCAACCAUUAGAGUAAAAUGUGUAUGAAGACCUUAUGAGUGUCUUAAAUCCUAUGUGGCAAUUUGGGCCCACAAAAAUUGAGUUAAGUCCCAAAAUAAGUUUAUACCAUUGGAGAUGCUCUAACAAGCUUCUAUGCUCUUUGAUUUUAAUAUAUUAUCCAUUUAAAAAAAAAACCCUCUAACAAUAAACAAAGAUAGACUAAGUGAUUUAAUGCUGCACAAGAAAGUGCAAUAACAACAUACGAAGAGGAACAAAAGAAACACACUUUAGCCAACCAACAAAGAAAGAAAAACAGAAUUGACAAGAAAAGGCUAGCAAAGGAACCCCCUGGAGAUGGUUAUGGCCCAUCACAAUUAAGUGGGCCCAGCAGAAAAUAUCUAUUUGAUAUCUGAGGCCCGUACUCAUAGCUUUUGGUCCCACUAAUCACCUCAUGACGGAAGGGAGAAUCUUGGGCCGAUGGGUUUCAGGCACAAACCCUCCUUAACACGUAAGUAACGCCUUCCCGUGUCGUUUUUGUUCAGCAACCGACUCUUUCCUAUGUCCUUCAUACUUCACAGUUUUCAAUUAUUCUAUAACUAUUUUGUGGACCUUGGACUUCCUUUAAAUAAAAAAUAUUGGUGAGAAAAAGUUGAAGUGAAGUUAUAUCUGAAAAUAUCGUAUGAAAAUAUCUAUGUUUAUAGUGCAACCUUAUUUUAAUAAUCUAAAUGUGAUAAAAUAUCUUAAUUUGUCACAUUUUAUAUUCCCAAUCAAUUUUGUUAGCUUUAUUAUUUUUUCUUUUGUUAGCUUUAAUAAAACAUGAAAAACAAGAUAAUAUCUAAAUUAACAUGGGUGCUUCAAUGGGGAUAAAUUUACCCAUUAGUGUGUUAAAUCUUUCUAAUGAUUAUUCAGCAAUUUAAACUUAAAUUAUUAUUCUUAUUAAGAAUUUAAUUUGUCUAUUACUAAACUAACGCAUCGAGCAUGUUUAGGCUGUGUUACUUGUGGUAUGAAAAAAAUCAUAUUUGCACAAUUUUCUUUUUAUCCUUUUACAUGAUUGGAAGUUCACAUGGCACUAGCAGGAAUUGUAUCCCUUGGAGGAAAUGUGACAAGGCAUAUGUUGUAAAGAUAUGUGCUUUUGACUUUGGAGAUAUUUUGUUCAAAAUGCAGUAAAAAAUGGAGUGGUAAUUAACAAUAUGAUAUUGAUUAUUUUGUUUAUCUUAACGACUUUAUUCAUUAUCUAAAAUUUCUAAUUUGUCCAUGCAUGAUGUGUAAAAAAAUAUGGAAUAUCCAUUAUAAAUUGAAUUGCAAUUAAUAGAAAUAUUUAUCUCAAACAAGUUUCACUUAAAGCAAAAAGGUAUAAAAGAAGAAAAACAUUUUUCACAAUUGAAACCAACUAACUCUCAUGCUUGUACUUGUAAGAAAAUCAACAUUCCAAUAAGUAAAAUCAUUUAGAGCAAAAGUUGGGUCACUUUUUCCAUGAUACAUUGCCUCCAUCUCCAUCCUUGUAUUGUAUAUAUAAAAAAAAAGACAUUAGAAAAUAGUUAGAAGGAAGAACACCAAGCUUUAUUAAAACGCAAACCUAGGAAAAUAAAAACACUUGAUUUGUCAAAUGUUAUGGCCAGCAAGGAUUGGCAGUUGUAAAUACUACUUUAGAUUCUGCAGUUAAAGCCAUUUUCUUUCUCUUUGAAACCCCACGAAAAUGGUGUCAGAAAACCCGAAUGCUUCAGAGGCUAUAUACUUGGAACCCUUAGCAGAUUCGGUGGAGGACCCUGCCAAGAAGACACGCAAACCAUUCACCAUCACCAAGUCUAGAGAGAACUGGACCGAACCUGAGCAUGAUAAGUUCCUUGAAGCUCUUCAACUGUAAGAAAAUGAAAAGUUUUCCUUUUUUUUCAUCUUCUUCUUCUUAUUUUGUUCUCAGAAUGUAGUGUGUGAAUUUUGAAGUUCAACUGAGACAUGGGUUUUAGUGGUACCCUUGUGUGUGUGUGUGUGUCACUGUUUGAGUCAUGGUUUCAGGAAGCUACUUAUGGAGAAUUUUCACAAUUGUUUGUCAAGGACUGAGAUUUUGGUAUUUCAGAUUGGUUUGGCAGGGGAAGAAUAAAAGAUGUUAGGAAUGGUCAAUGGGGAGGGUAGAGUUUUAUUACUACUGUUAUCAACUUAUCAUUGUUAUUUGGUGAUUGUUGUCAAAAUACACUAUGUGAAUCAGUGAAUGUGAUCAAUUCAUUCUUUUUGGGGGGGCUUCUUAUAAUGGUUGAACUUAGUUUACUAUUCCUAAAUGGAAUUUGCCAUUUCAAAUUUAAGCAAUUUGUUUGUUUUUCCUUUUUCCUGGUCUUGGUGUAACCAUUUAGCAUCAACUCAUUGUUUUUUUUCUUUCAUUUUGGAUCCAGAUUUGACCGUGACUGGAAAAAGAUUGAAGCUUUUGUUGGAUCAAAAACAGUUAUCCAGGUAAUUUCAAGUGCAAUCGUUGAUUAGAAAUUGUCAUAAGCUGUUACUUCUGGGUACCAUUGGCCAUAAAUAUUUUGGAUUGCAUUAGUUAUCUUAUAAUUUAUGGAAUCAGAAUGUGAAUAUUGGUUAUGUUACAUUAAGGAUUUCAUCCCUUGCCAGAUAAAGUGUUGGAUGCUGGAAAUGAAAUGCCAAAAAAGGAUAUUUCCCUUUCUCUCCCUGCCUCCAUUGCUAAUUGGACUGAUUUCUUGAAAACCCUGAUACAUAUGACUUUUCCUUUUGUUUGGUGGGACUAAAAUUGUGAAACCUGAUAGUCAUAUUCAUAUACCAACUUGCUUUUCUUUUGAGGAAAGUUCCAAUAGCAUUCAUUUAAGAUUAACUUAAGCUAUUAUGCGGGUUCCAUGUGCUUGUUAUACAAGGAUCAAAUCAUGCUGUGACUUUUAAGUAAAGAAAGUUGAGGACAAAGAAAGCAUUAAGCUUUUCAUAUUUUAAAUUGUGGACUAAGCACAGGCUCAUCAAGCCUCAUGCUGAAAUGCAAUUUAGUUUAGAAGAAUAGAGAUUAUAAGGAUUAAACUCAUGAAUAUUUAGUCACAAAAGUUUUUGUACCAAGUCAAAGAACCAACUAUCCUUGGUGUUUACUGUUUAAUAUGUUAGUUGUAGCUUUGGGAAUGUAUUUAUCGUCUAACAAGAAUGAUGCAAAUUUUCUUAAAUGGGAUACCAUCAUUGACUAACAUGAAAAGCAGACUUCUUUUAUGUUGUUAAAAGAAAGAAACAGUUUCAUUGGGGAAUAUUUUAGAAUAUCUUUUAAAUGUCUGUUAGUUGAGUGCUUACAGCUUAAUGGAUUCAAAGAUGUCAGUGCAUAUGACAGUUGGGAGUUGUUAGGAUUUCUAUUACUUUUUCAUGUGCUUCAAUGUUUAAUGGAUGCCUCAAGUACCCAUAAGAAUGACUGCUGAUUUUGUAGAUACGUAGCCAUGCACAGAAAUAUUUUCUUAAAGCUCAGAAGAGUGGGAAAAGUGAACAUCUUCCUCCACCCAGACCAAAACGAAAAGCGGCUCAUCCAUAUCCUCAGAAAGCUUCCAAAAACGGUUACAAUCUUCACCAUAUUUUGUUUACAACAUAUUUUAGAUUAAUUGUAUCUAAUGAUUGUAAGUGAUAUUUGACAGUUCCAGUACUCUCGCAUGUUUUAGGAUCCUCUCAAUCUUCAUCUGCUUUGCUUGAACCUGGAUCCAUCCCCAAGCAUGAAUCUUCGCCAAUUCUUAAAACUCCUAUACUUAACACUUCAGUUUCUUCCGGGUCAAACAACACUUUGCAGACAACAGCCAAUGUAUUACAUGGUACUGAAAAUUUAGAUUUUAUAAUCCUGGAAUAUAUUUAUGGAACUUGUUUGGAUAGUUUUCGUAUGAUACCAACUAGUUUGUUGUGUUUAAAUAUUGUGUGUUUUAGGUCAAAAAGUGAAUAAUUGUUGCAGCAGCAAUGAAAGCACUCCUAGAGCACGCGUGGUUGGUGAAUCUAAUGGUCAAGGAAAUAAUAACCAUCCAUUGAAAGGCAAGGGUUUAAUGAUUUUCCUUUCUAAUUUCAGUGCUGUCAUCUUUGAUUGUUACAUUAAAUUUGAUGUGUGCAUGACAAGGUUAUGGAGUGUUGUUGUAAGCAUAAUUUGUGCACAACUGCAUAUUUCAGCAAUUAUGUUAUUGCUUUAUAGUGUAUUCCUGUUUUAUUAUCAAGAAUAUAACUGUGUUGGGUCCAAAGUAAGUAUGGAGUCUCUUAAUUUCCAAUCCCCUUCUUGGACAUGAAUCUUGAUUAUCAUCAUCUGAGUCGCCAAAAUAUUCAUUUGAUAUUUCCUUGAUGGUACCUUCAAUUUAUGAAAUUUGAUACGCUUUCGUAUCUUGAACAUUUUGUUAUUUUAAUGUGUACUCAACAUGUGGAAGUGAUGUCUGUCCUGUUUUUCUUGUUCUGCGACUCAUUUCUUAUGAGAAUACCCAGAAAGCUGUCUUAUCCUCAUAGGAGUUUUACAAACUCCCACCUACUCAUGUCAAUAUAGCUACAUACAUUCGAAGUUAUGUGCACAUUUCUGCAAUAAUUUUCUUUUCAUAGAAUUUACGCAUAUGAUUUUUGUAUCUUUUUUAGUAUUUAUUGUUGUCUCACUGUUUUCCAAUGUCAAUUUAAUUUUCCCCUCAUUUGUAAUGCAGUUCUUCCUGAUUUCACUCAAGUAUACAGAUUCAUUGGCAGUGUAUUUGACGCAAAUGUAACUGGGCAUCUACAGAAACUUAAAAAGAUGGACCCUUUAGAUGUUGAGACGGUAUGUGUUUGUGUGAUUUCUUGCUUUGAACUCCCUUAAGACAUUAAAGCAUUAUUUCUUGCUUUGAAUACCUGUGUUAAUUUGUGUCAACUAGUACAAUUCAGAAGUUCUGAGACAUUUCUUCUUUUUAUGACCUUGAAUAUUUUUAGGUGCUGCUGUUGAUGAGAAACCUGUCUAUCAAUUUAACAAGUCCAGGUUUCGAGGAUCACGUAAGUAUUCAUGCCACUGAUCUUUGGAUUACUUAAUGCAUGAACCUCACCACUAUUUUGACCCAACAUCAAAUUUUCUCUUUAAAAGAACUUGUUUAAGGAUCCUUACUCCUUAGCUUUAGAAGGCCGUCCCUAUAUAUUCCUCAUCUUUUGAAAACUGUCCAUCUCCGACAAAAGCAUCUUAUGCAGAUUGGAAAUUUCAUCUUCAUAGAAACUUGAAUGACUAAAUUAGACAUCAAAUUGCAUGACCAAUGAAAGAAGGAACAAUAAUAAAUUUCAUUUAUAUGUGAACCGGUUGUAAUUCAUGCAGAGAAGGCUGCUCGCGUCAUAUGAGGUGGAACCCGAGAUAGAUAAUUAUAUCAAUGUAGAUCAAGCCAUGCAUGAUGAGCAGUUGAAGAGUGCUACUUAGAUGGAGGGGAGGUUGAAUAUAAAAUUGGCUGUUUUUCAUGCAUUUCUGCAUGAUGAGGUAAGAUGCCUCGGCAAGAAAACAAGCUGAGAUUCCAGCAACAGUCUUAUGAUCCUGCUCUAAUUAGUGGCUUAUGUUGCUCAUCGAUCAUCUCAGCUUAACAAGGCUUUUGAUUCCCACAAUUCGAUUCGGUGAUGUAUAUAUUAAUGAAACAUAUUAUAGAAGAAAAUAAUAAUGCUGGACUCUAUAGAUUUCAUAUUUUUGUAAUAUCCGAGACAGUACUAGCAAGUUGAUGACUUUGUAAACAAUAUAUACGUUUGUUUGCCUUAGGAAGGGAAUGCAAUUUCAAAAAGGAUGUAAAAUACUUCAUAUUAAUGUAGUGUUUAUUCUAUUUAAUUGUGUUUCUAUUAUUUGAUAAAAAUUGUUAUUAGAUUACGGAAUUUGGCUCUAAAAUAUAAUUUUUUACUAUAACUCAUUAUGUUGUAGUAUAUAGUUCUUCUACUAAAACUAUAACAUGUAAACAGUAUAUACGUUUGUUUGUCUUAUUCUGAAAUUUGUUGAGAAAAUAAUAAGGAACGGAAACUAAUAGCAAUGUUUACAGUGUAUAACACAGCAAUAUCAAAAAAAGUCUCUGCAAUUCAACAUUUCACGUCCUUGUUGGAAAAAGUAGUAUGCACCAAAUCUUUUGUCAACUGUUAGCCUUUACUGUGUGUCAUAGUAUGAAGUUUCAGGACAUGAAAUUUCCAUGUAUCUAGGAGAGAUCUAUUUAGUAUUUACACAACUUCAUUACUGUUUCAACAAAAGUAUGAGAAAUCUGUGCAGACAAUUGUGAUCUUUUUAGACUUUUUCAGACCAAUAUUCCAUCUACAUCCCAACAAUUGCUGGCAGUGGUUCAAAGUCUGCUACUGAAAACCUCCAACAUAAGGGUUCCAGUUCCUUGCGCUAUCACCAUGAAGAUCUAACAAUGAGUAGUUGACAAGAUCUAACAAAAUCAGUAACUAAAACACCACAUAAAUUUCAUUUCUAAAAUGACUCAUAAAAAACAUUUGACAAGUGAUUUCUUACCAAGACUCGGUGGUCUUAUGAAACCUCCAUAGCUCGAUUCAUGAUAUCCUAAGCAACCCUGCAUUGAGUUUAGCUUUUGGGUGCAACAAGUCAUGCGAGAUGCAGGCAGGUGUGGUGGAACUGGAACACCAGUUUGUGGUUCACACAAUGAGCUGAGAUUAAGUUUGCUUGGAUUUAUCAUCUGCUGGAAUUUCGAUUGACCGACUUCAUGAUCAAACCUUCUCAUGUCAUCUUGGGAAAGAAGGAAAGGUGGAGAAAUUGAGUUGGAUGGGAAAGGGUGGGAAAACAGAGAAAAUGUGGGGGAACCAAUGAAGUUUUCUUGAAAACUGUUAUGACUUUGUUGACCCCUUCUUGGAUUCAACUGAUUAGAACAGAGCUGAGGGUAAGGUUGCUGUGCAUGCACAGGGGGGUAAAAGCCCGUUCCAGCUCCAUGAUGCACUAUAGGAUCAUCAAAAUGUGGUGCAGGAGUACUGUCAUCAUCAUUGAGUAUGGACUCCACUAGCUUUUCGAUCAUCUCAUGAGGUGAUCUUGGACUGAACCCAUCAGCUUUAUUUGGACUUGUUUCAGGGUUAGACAUGAAAUUAUCACCCACAGCCGAAUUUCCCACCUCUGGCAACAAGAAUGAUCCAUCAAAUGCAAUUAAACUGUCCUCAUCAGGCCAGCAAAUUUCAGAGCUAGAAUUUGAUUCUCCAUCUAAGCUGUUGCAGGAAGAAUUUAACUCCAACUCCUCCUGAGAUUGGAGAUCAGGGUUGCAUCGAUCUUGCUUCGGGAUGACUGGAAUUGCUUGCUUGACAUCUUGCAAAGACAAAUUACUUAAUUGCAACUCCACGGUACCUUGCUCAUAUGCCACUCGACAAAGGUUUUUCUUGAAAUUUCCGCAAUUCUCUUGGUUAUGGAAGCUUGUUGGUCUACUUUUCUUUAGAGAUUCCAUAACUUGGCAAGUUCCUAUUGGAUAUUCCACAUCAAAGUUUGAACAUUCUUCAGACUUCAUUAGGUGAUCAGUAUCCAACGCUGAAAGAUGACAAUAUGUGUUUAUAUGGUUUCCAGACGACUGCCAUGGAUUUACUAUUUUAUCAGUAGUUAAAUCUUGCUGCCUUUGUGUAGAACAACUUUUAGUCAUCUCCGGCAAGGUGGAUGGAUGAACAGAAUUGCCUCUUACAGCUCCUUCAAUCAGACUUAGUUUCGAUGAAGCAUCUAAUUGCUCAUUGAUCAUAAGAUUGGAAAUAAACUGCAAGAUAUUUGAAUUUCUUGUUGCUGGUGUCAUCAGAAAUUCCUCUGAACGAUCCUUCGAAUCUAUGUUUUGUAUAGAAUUCCCCUUGCCCUCCUCCACUUCCCUGACUAUAUCUGCACAUGAUUUCUCUUAAUGUAAUGUUAAAUACUAAAAUUUAUACCUUCCAUUUCUUUAACAUUCUUUAAUGGUUUGUUUUUUUAUCAGCUCAAAGAAGCUGAACAGAAUUGGCUAGUCAUGUUAUAAUAGGAAAAACUAUAUAAUAACCUUGUGGUUGACAAAUUGAAGGCCUAAGAAGACAAUAAAGAAUUGAAAAGAGAUUUGACCUUUUCUCCAACUUUCCCGUUCUGUUUUCUCUUGAAUUGUUCCCUCAGAAGAUACAGAUGUGUCACCGUUAAGCAAGACAUUGCUGUCUCUAGGUGGAGGUAGUGCCUGAAAGAACAGAAUAUUAUGAAACAAAAUUUUGCAUGCCUAAGUCUACCUUCCUUUAUGAAAACCAUAUUUGUAGACAGACCUUGUAACGACAUGGAGGCCGAUACGGUUCAAUAGUCCUAUGGAGCUGAUGAUUAGCACUGUCUACAUCUAUAACCCUUGGAGAAAUUUUCUGAGGCAUGAUUUUCUGAAGUCCUGAGUCUGUGUUUCAAAGCACAAAUUUCUUAAGUUAAUUUUAUCAUAAUCCACAACAUGCAAUGAUGAUCCACACAAUACACAUUAAUGACAAGAAGAUUAUCAAGCAACAGAUUUUUCAAUAGAAUUUGAAAAUCAAACAUUACACACCUGAAACACAAGUAGGCACAGAUAGAAUUCCAGGUGAAUCUUGAAACACACUGUUCAAGAAACAGGCACAAAUUAAACAACCUACACAAAACAGCAGAACAAUACGCAUGGAAUCUUAUAAAAUAACAAUGUAGUAGAGUUUUCCUAACCAUGAAAUUGAGAGCUGAACCUCCUUCGGUAAUUUCACCGCAUUAGGACAAUCUGCUUUUGAUAAAGAGAGAAGAAACUCUCUCGAGUACGAAAUUUUCGAUCGCCUGAAAAUACCAAAUCAAAAGGUUCUUGAAUCACAAAUUCACAAUCACAUUGAAACAGAACAUCACAUGAAGCCAAAUUCAUCACAUUUGGCAACAGAGUGAAUCCUCACCAAGCUAAAGCCUCAACUCAUGUAAAAAUCAUCAAAAAUUCAAGUAUUCAACAGCGUUCAAACAAUUUUCAAAUCAUAAUUAGGGGGAAAACGUUACACGAUAGUGUAGUUGACUAAACAAAGAUUCACCGUAACAAGAAAUUACUACAGUGAAUCUUCACCAAGCUAAAGCCUCAAUUCCAAUAUUCUACUGCAUUCAAACGAUUUUCACAUCUAAUUGACUAGUUUCUCAGCCGCCAAACAGAAACAAAGAUUCACCGUAACAAGAAUCAAACAAUAAGAAACUACACUAGUUCAUGAAACCGCACUAGCCUAAAACAUGCAUUAACAGUAACAAUCAAACUCAAAAUUCAAUGAAUCAAAGCUUACUUGUUAGAAUCUUGAGACGGUGGAGCAAAGACAUUCGCGGUUCCAUUUUCCUGGCUCAUUUUCUCGAGAAAAUCCUCCGUCAAAUUUAGCGUUGACUACUCACAGUGUUUGAAUUUCUCCAAGAAACACCAGAACAGAACACAUGAACCGAACCUUACAACAAUGCUGCUAGAAGAAUCGAGAAGAAACUCGAAAACCUAGAAGAUCAAAUGCAAGAAAAUUACUCAGGAAACAGAGAGAAAUAGCAACGAAAAUAGCGACGAUGAGAAGAAGAAGUGAAGAACAGCACCUUGAGGGGUUCGAUACGGUGGCGGUGACGGUGGUGGAGUAGAGGUAAUAUCCAGAGGGAGAAACAUUUUCCGAGCGAGAAGUUUUCUCGGGAAACAGAGAGAAAAUGGGAGAGAAAAUGGAAAAGGCUUGCAGAGGAAGUUACAGAGAAAGUGAGAGACUGUGAGUGUUUCUAUUUGUAGAAUUUUGAUGGCAACGCGACGCAUUUAUUUACUCUCAGCUAGCAUAGCACACUGACACUAGUUGCUACAGGCUCACGUAUUUAGCAUGGCACAGAUUAAAAUAUUAAAUAUUUUUAUUUCUAUUUUUGUGUUUAGUUUGAUACUCUGAUUCAGCUUUUUAAUAAAGUGUGAUAUUCUCAUACCAUUGCCUAGUUAAACUAUUUUUGAAUAGUGUUGAUAUGGAUUUUUAGCUAUUUGUUUUUUUAGCCCUCUCAAAAUUUGUUUAUUUAAGUAAAGUACAUUUUAUGCUAAAAGACAUGUAAUGAUACCGAUUUAGAUUUGGUAAUAGUUUUUUGUGUUUCAUUUCAACAAGUUCAGCUACUUAAUGUAUGAUUUUGGAGGAAAAGUUUUGUUUACACUAAUGUGGAAAUAGAGGGGAGAGAAAGGAAAAAAGAGAGAAAUUUAUUCAUUUUUUGUUACGGGAAAUUGGGAGAGUAAAAGAGGGUAAGAAAAAACAGUGACUCUUUUUCAGUGGUCUGUCUAAUUUGAAGAUAAAGUCUAUAUUUUGUUUUUUUUUUUACGGUCAGAUAAAGUUAAUUUGAAGAUAAAGUGAGACCGUGUGUGAUUUUUGUCUACUUGCUUACUUUUGUUAGGGGAGGGUAAGAUCCGGAAGAAAAAAAGCUUCACAUUUUUUGCAAUUCAUACUUCAACUACACUUGCAUAAGAUAGAGAAAGAAAAAAAAUAUGACAAAUGGUGUGAUAUGAAAAAGAAAAGAUAUAUAUAUAUAUAUAUCAAGAAAAAUAAAUAAAAAUGAGACGAAACUGAAAAAAAUAAAUUAAUGAAUCAAAAUCUAAUUGUGAUCACCCUAAUUUGAAGAUAAAAGUGUAUGUAUUCUUUUUAUCCAUUUUCUUAUUUUAUCACUUAAUUAAUGUCAUGCUGAUAAACAUUAUAUGAAGAAUGGUAGCAAAACUUUUUUUCUAACACUCUUUUCAACAUUCUUUUUACUUAAUCGGUUGAAAUUCAUGGGAGUCACAUUAAAUUGGCUAAGAGACUUAUUUUUAGAGUGACUGGAUUUAACUAAAUUAAAACAUUACCAUAACUAGAGGGUUUGCGGAGUAAGACGCUUGGGCUGUGUGACAUGGGAUGUCCAUAGCACUUGGUUUAUUGGUGUUUUCGUGAGUUUUGGGCUUGAAAAUGCUUAUGGGCUGAGCUUUUGGCAGUGGAAGUAGGAUUGCAUCAUGCAUGGAAGCUUGGUUACAAAGAUAUUUAUCAUGUAUGAGACUGCAUUGAUGUUGUGUGAAAAUCCUUCCUAACAGAAAUGAUAAUUCAAACAUAUUGGGUGAGGGAAAGCAUCACUAAAAUUAGAUUCAUGCUUUCUUUGGCUCGGAAUGUGGAGGUUGAUUAUAUCCCAUGUGAGAAAAAUAAUAUUGUAGGUUUUCUAGCCCAUCGAGCUUUUAGGAAGAAGGGUACUCCUCUUUUAAUUUGGCAGAGCCCAUCUUUUAAUGUUAUUUGUGUAUGUGCGCUCUAGUGUACUUUAUUUUUGUUGUAGUUUCCCUCUUGUAAGAAAAAUAAUAAACAAUCAAAUUCAGUAAUAAGAGAUUUUAAGAAAAAACCAUAAUUAACACUGCUACUUUCAUCAUAAAACCACAUGUUAAAUCUACUAUUAGUUUAUCAUGUCCCGUCGAGUUUGGUGGUGAAACUAGUGACAAAAGGAUUUCUUACUUCUUUGCAGCCUUCUGAUUUUGAGCUGGUUGAAGUGGAACAAAAGUUCAUUCUCAAAUUGUCUUUGUUUGUUUAUUCUGUUAGAUAUGAAAAGUUCAACGAAUCUGGUUUGUUUGGGUCUUCUUUGUACAAUGAGCACUAACUGAUAACUACACACGCUUUAUAUCAUGGUUUGGUUCUGAAAAUGAACAUCAAUAAAAUAAAUUGAAAAGGAGAGGGAAUUUGGAUGGAAGACAUACACAGAUCAGCUUCAUUGAUGUUUGUUCUAGUAGUACAAAAUCAGCUUAGGCUCAUCAUAACACAUUUUGACAACACAAAACUAUAAACCAAAGACCAAGAAAGAAUAUAACACACUAAACUUUGUAGACAGACUUUCAGACACAAUGCAUCUGCCACCAUACUUACAUGAUAUAUGAUAUAUCCUUAGUCAACUUCCUCCAUCUUACUCUCCUCAGCACCAUCCUCCUCCAGUGGAGGCAUAUCUUCAUCUCCACCAGUCUCCUCCUCAUCAAUGCUAAGACCAAGCUUCAACAUCCUGUGAAUUCUAGCAGCAAAUGUGUUUGGAUCAUCAAGGCUGAAACCAGAAGUCAAGAGUGCAGUCUCAAAGAGAAGCAACACCAAAUCCUUCACUGAUUUAUCAUUUUUAUCAGCUUCAGCCCUCUUCCUCAGCUCCUCCAUGAUCCCAUUAUCCGGGUUAAUCUCCAUGGUCUUCUUGCUCGACAUGUAGCUGCUCAUGCUGCUAUCCCUCAACGCCUGAGCCUUCAUGAUCCUCUCCAUGUUCGCAGUCCAUCCGUAUUCCCCUGUCACCAAACAGCAGGGUGAAUCCACAAUCCUGUCAGAGACAACCACUUUCUCAACUCUGUCUCCCAAGAUGUCCUUCAUUGUCCUGCAAAGAUCCUCAAAUGACUUCUUCUUUUCCUCUUUCUUCUUCUUCUCUUCCUCGCUUUCAUCAUCCAAUUUCAAUCCCUCCUUAGUAGCAGAAACCAACUUCUUCCCAUCAUACUCUUUCAAUUGCCCAACAGCAUACUCAUCAAUUGCAUCCACCAUGAACAGCACCUCAUACCCCUUCUUUUUCAGCCUCUCCAAGAAUGGUGAAUUCUCCACAGCCUUCUUGCUCUCUCCUGUGAUAUAGUAAAUGUCCUUCUGCCCCUCCUUCAUUCUGGUAACAUAGUCCUUGAGACUAGUCAACUCAUCUCCACUCUUUGUAGAAUAGUAUCUCAGCAAAUCAGCCAAUUUAGCCCUGUUCUGACUAUCUUCAUGGAUACCCAGCUUCAAGUUCUUGGAGAAAGCAUCAUAGAAUUUGUUGUAAUCCUCUUUAUUCUCCGCGAUCUCGUUGAACAUCUCAAUGCAUUUCUUCACAAGAUUCUUCCUGAUCACCUUCAAGAUCUUGUUCUGCUGCAGCAUCUCCCUGGAAAUGUUGAGUGGCAAGUCAUCAGAGUCAACCACACCCUUGACAAACCCAAGAUACUCAGGAAUCAGCUCCUCACAAUUGUCCAUGAUGAACACCCUCCUCACAUAAAGCUUGAUGUUGUUCAUCUUCUUUCUUGUGUCAAACAGAUCAAAAGGUGCCCUUUUGGGAACAAAUAGAAUGGCCUUGAACUCAAGCUGACCCUCCACUGAGAAAUGCUUGACAGCCAAGUGGUCUUCCCAGUCAUUGGUGAGGCUCUUGUAGAAGGAAGCAUACUCAUCCUUGGUAAUCUCCUCUGGCUUUCGCAGCCAGAUUGGUUUCUGCUUGUUGAUGAGUUCCCACUCAUGAGAAACCUCCUUAAUCUUCUUCUUCUUAGAAUCCUUCUCCUUCUCUUCAUCAACAUCCUCAACUUCUCCUUCCUUCUCCUUCUUGGACUCAUCAUCCUCCUCAUCAUCACUGAUCUCCUUCUCAGUUGUCUUCUCAGUCCAGAGGUAAAUUGGAUAGCUAAUGAAUUCAGAGUGCUUCUUCACAAGAUCCUUAAUCCUUCUCUCCUCCAAAUACUCCAACUGUUGCACAAACAAGACUCAACCAAUUAACAAUUUGACUAAAACAAACACCCAAAAGAAAAAGAAAAAACAAUCGUAGUUAAAACUUCAAUUUCUUUACCUGAUCCUCCUUGAGGAACAAGGUAAUCUUAGUUCCUCUUCCUAAUUGUUCACCAUUCACAUCCCUGAUCACAGUGAAGGAUCCACCAGCCUGUGAUUCCCAAAUGUACUGUUCAUCGUCAUUGUGCUUGGUGGUCACAAUGACCUUCUCAGCAACAAGGUAAGCAGAGUAGAAACCAACGCCCAAUUUGCCCAUCAUGCUAACAUCAGCCCCCGCCUGUAACGCUUCCAUGAAUUCCUUCGUCCCAGACCUCGCAAUGGUUCCCAAAUUGUUCACCAAAUCUGAAACCAAACCACACCACAUAAACACACACAAUAAGAAGCAUAGCACAGCACAUUUAAUCAAAUUCUCACAAUAAAACCAUUGUUUCAAAUUGCGGCCGCAACAUAAUAUAUUUCAGGGUCACACCCAGUUGCGGCCGCAUCAACCUGCAUUUGUCUACAAUUCCGCGACAACUGCAACCGCGAUCGCAACCUCAAUUUAAAUAAAACGGAUAAAGAGGUACAUUACAACUACGUACCUGCUUUGGUCAUGCCAACGCCACUGUCAAUGAUGGAGAGAGUCUUGUUAGCCUUGUCAGGAACGAGUCUAAUGAAAAGCUCUGGUUGAGCAUCAAGCUUCGUCUUAUCGGUGAGUCUCUCAAAUCGAAUUUUAUCCAGAGCCUAAAUGUAACAAACACACAAAUCAAAUUGAGUGAUUAACGAAACGAAGGAAAGUAAAAUGUUAAUGGUGGUGGUGGAAGGAGGAGAGGCUUACGUCGGAGGCAUUACUGAUGAGUUCACGGAGGAAAAUCUCCUUGUUGCUGUAGAAGGUGUUGAUGAUGAGGCUGAGGAGUUGGUUGAUCUCAGCCUGGAAUGCGAAGGUCUCGGCGUCACGCAUUUGAACAUCUGCCAUUACGAAAUUAAUGUGGGAAUCUAACUCCGCACUUGGAACACCAAAAUAUGUGAGCUUAGAAAGCUAGCGAUGUUAUUUGUUGAGAGAAGGGAGAUGAAGAAGGGGAUUUAAAUAGCAUUAAGCAGAAGCGAAUGUUAAUGAAAUAGAGAGCUCUGGAUUCUUCUACCAUGCUCUUGAAUUUUCAUCUUUGGCGCGAGUUUGACGUUUGUUCUAGAGUGGGCUAGUUACAUCGUUUUUAGUUUUUGGUCAGUACAAUUAAAAUUAAUCUAUUUUAUUUUUAUUUCUUAAUUUCACUUUUAUUCCUAAAAACACGUUGUUUUAAAAUAAAACAUUAUUUUUGUUUAUAAAUUAUUUUUAUGUGUAUAGGAAGUUAGGAACAAUAAAUAAAUAAAUAUAUUCACAAAAUUUGAAAGAUAAAAUAGAAAAAUAAUUUUAGUGUCAAUAAGUUAUAUUUCGCAUUGUCUAUGUAGUUAUUAUGAAGAGAAUUCAAGAAUCAAGGCUCAAAGUGGGGGAGAACUGUGUGAUGUUUGAUUUUUUUUUUCUUUCUUUUAAAAUCUAUCUUCCGAGCAAAAAUAUUGCAUAUUUCUCUUUUGGGUUGGGCCUACACUACCAAGAGACCACAAGUUGAUAAUGGAUUUUUCUACAAUGUCAUACUUAUUCAUAUAGUAGGGAAUUGAUUUUAUUCGAUGCAAAACUUAUCCAUUAGAGGGAGGGAAGGUAAUACUGCAUUCAAUGAGAAGCAAAGUCUUUUGUGUUGACUCCCCCUGACAUACUCCAUGAAUCCAUGAUGUUCAAAAAAUGUUCAAUUAGGGUUUAUUAAUUUUAGAUAGAAACUUUGAAAAAUAGUCAAAUUAGUCUGAAUUUAUAAGCGAGUUUGAUUUUAGUCCCACGAACAAAAUAUGAUGUAUAGUGACGGUCAUUUUUAUAAUUACUGACGGCUCUUGACCACCACUAAACAUCAUCUUUGCAAUGAUUGACUAAAAUCAAACUCACUUACAAAAGGUUUAAUUUGACAUUAACCCUUUUUAAAACAUAAUUACAUAUUUUUUUACGAAACCGACAUUUUAUUAGGUAUGAAAGCGAGGAAGGGAUUAUAGUUGUAUGAUAAACAAAUAUUCAAUACUUCAGUUAAAUCUAAAGACCAUAAUGAACAAAUUUCUUAUGACUUAAUAAUAUCUACUUGUACUUUAAAUAAAUUUUGAACUAAUAUUGCAGAGUUCUCAAUAAAGAGAAACUCUUUCAAAAAUAGGCGUAUGCCGUUUGAAGAGCCAUGCACACGGUAUUCUUUAGUAAAAGGCGAAAGAAUAGUUCGCUUUGUGCAUAACUCACGGCUGCGUGUUUAAAACAAUUAAAACUCGUUCAAUUUAUAGGACAAGCAGCUUACAACUACUUAUAAACAACCGAUGUGGGCUUUGGUCAGUAGCAUAGCACAUAACUCAGCAGCUUUGGCUUUCCCCAAUUCUCGAGUCUUGCUACCCUCCUCUCAUCCACUCAAUGCUCACUCUCUCUUUUUCAUGAAGCUUCCUCCCAUAGAGAAAGACCAAAACCUCUGCCUGGUUUACAGGUUCCAUAUCAAUGAUUUAGAGUUUACAAGCUGUUGUUGCCAAAUGAUUUCACCCUUCUUUAAGGACUGGUGGAAUUCAUUUUUAACGAUUACUACAUUAAAAGGUCACUUAUUUUUAUUGUUGUGUGUACCUGAGAAUUAGCUAGAUUUACCUGUUAGAAUUCAAAAUCACUAGUACUUCCUACAUUUCAUUAAAAAUCAAUAUGAACAAGCAUUGCCACAAAUUGACAUUAUACACAGUUAAUAACUUGACAUAUUGAAAAUUGCAACAAAUUGACAUUACACGGUUUUUGAACUUGAGUUUGUAAAUGCUGAGAAAUGAGAAUGGAUUUUCUUUGACGUGAGACUUUAGAGGGAAUGGAAUUUACAGUUGCCAAAUAAUCCUCCUUUUGUUGCCAUGAUAUUUUGCUGGAAUUGUAGAACUAUAGUAUUGGAUUUGGUAGGUUGAUUGAAGAACCUUGCUAAAGUUCACAAUGCUUAUAUUGGUGGAAAAUCAUGCCAGGAGAGUUUCAAGCAAAUUGAGACAUGAUAGCUUUGAAAUUGUAGAUUCCCAGGGGCAAGCUGGAGGUAUUUGCUGAAUUCUUUUGUUUGGAAUGCUGUUAGAGCUGCCUCUUCUCAGCUUCUUGACAUCUAAUUGCUGUGUAUGGGAAUCCUAACUUUGUUACUAGAAGAGUUGUGGGCCUCACUUGGAGCUGUUGCAUAAUGAGAUGAAUGGUCGUUCACUUGGUUACUAGAAGAUUUCAAUGAUACAUUACAUGGUUUUGAGUGAACUUUUAGUACCGACCCUGCUCAGAGAAUGAGAGUGUAGAGACUGAAUGUCAUUGAUAAUUGCUUAGCUCUUGAUCAUAGUCCUUAGUUGCUAGCUUCUUUUAAAACAACUGGGAAGUAGCUGGCCAUUACCCUUUGAAGAUGAUAGAAUGCGAGGUGACAUGAUUUUGUGAGGCAGGCUUAAAUUAUUUGGACCAAAAAUAUAAAAAUUGAACUGAUUUGGUGGGGUGUGCCAGGCCCUUGCAGCAGUGUAAGGCAUGGGCGACACUCGAAGGCCCAAGUAGCAAGCUACUUCAGUGGGCCCUUCCCCUUAAAAAAUUAAUUUAAUAUCGUGUGGACAUAUGGGCUCUUCACUUGUCACGCUAUUUAUAACUUGUAAUCAAGGGCUCUUCACUGAUGAGUUUCGAUGUGGGACUCAUAUAUGAACACUCAGCACUGCAGUUACUGACUAUCUAUCGAAGAAGGGCUCUUCGCUGAUGUUUUUUCUUAGAGUUUCAAUUCUGCUGCAGUCACUGUAGAUGUUGGUUGGUCCAGACCUGAUAAAUCAAGCUUUGGAUGGCUGGCACGGUCUCAUGAUGGCAAACUGAUGUGUGUUGCAUCUCCUUUGGAAGAUUGAAGAUUGGAACACAUUGUAGCUGAGGCUUUAGCCCUCAGAUGGUGUGUAUGUUCAUGGCUCAAGAGUUUAAUUUGGACAUUGCUCAACUCUCAUUGAGCUUCUAGUGUUGGACUGCAAGAAGUUAGCUGAAUCUUUUGUCAUAGUUACAUUCUCAUGUUUGAAGGAAAGCAAAUUGCCCCGCCCAUGUAUUUUCUUCUUUAGCUUUUGAUUUUGAACAUCCUAGGGGCUUUUGGUGGGAUGAUCCCCUUAAAGUUUUGAUUUAAGCCUUUGCCGAAAAAAGAACAAUGUCUUACAACGCUUCAGAUCACUUCGCUAAUUGUUGCUGGCACAGCAUAAAUAAGUUCUGCCAAAACAUCAAACAAAUAAUGUCUUUAUUUUAGUAGAUACUGAGAGACUGAGAGAUUGAUGAGGUUUAAACCAGUCUCGCACAAUACAAGCAUAGCUAAUCAGUUUGCCUUGUGUUAAUCUAUAGUGCUUAACACAAUAGGCUCGGUAGAGAGACUGUACCUGUACCCUCUAGCUACAUCUACUUGUAUAAUUGUAUUGGUUUUAGUCAUUUCUAAUGGGGUCUAGACCUCUCGUGGUGCCACCAGAAAAUGAGUAUGUUGUCACAGUCUUUUCAAAUCCAUCUGAAUUAAUAUUAUGGAAGUUUUAAAAAUGCUUGAUACUUCCCCUCGCUUAUGGUUGUAGUCCUUUUAGAUAUCAGUAUUACUAUUACUAUCUCAAACUACAGGACAAAACACAAAAGCUUUGCUUCUUGGGGGAAAAAUCAACAACAGAGGUUAGUAGGCAUGUUAGAUUAAUCUAGGGUAUAAACCCCAUGCUUAGUUGUAUUGCAUUACUUAGGGUAUAAACCCCAUUGUUCUAAUAUUGCAUAAUUGUUUUUGGCUUAGAUAUCUACAAAUCAACUACUGCUUUUUACCGAUUAUGAAUGAAAUAAAUAUUAAACUAAUAAAGCAUAAUUAUUUACCCUCCUACUUCAUCUACCUCAAGAUCUCAUUUCUUGAUUAGUAAGGUUGGUGAUUUCUAUCGCUGUCACGCUGUUUCGGUGAAAAUUGGGUAGAUUUACAUGUUUAAACUUUAAACUAUAACCACUUUAACGCAUUUCAAUAAAAUUACUUUAUAGAGUAUGGACAAGCUUUGCAACACAUUGACAUUAUGAAAAUGACUUCACUUUCUCCCUUUUUUUCCUUGCUACACUCUCUAAACCCUUUGCUAUUAAAAAGAAUAGACAAUACUGCAAAUUCCAAUUACUACCAUUUGAUUUCUUUUUCUUAAAACCUCUAUAUGGAUGGAAAUAGUUUUGCUACUUCACAAGGCUUAGUGAGUUAGAUUAUUUGUAACUCUAGUAAAUAUCAGUGCAAUUUCUUUCAAGUUGCUUUUCCACCUUUACUCAUUCUGAUAGGCAGAUUAGAAAUGCAACUUCCAAUGUGAGAGACUCAAGUCUAAUACCUUGCUAUUGGACCUUAGCAUAUGGCAUUUCAAAUUAAAUUCCACACAAGUCCCAUUCACUUGUUACUGCAAUCAUCAGCAGAGACAAUGUUGCAAUCUUCAAUUCUAGUGUUUGUACAUGAAUCUAUUAAGAAGGAAAAACAAUGGGAAUAAUUACAUAAUGUAAUGUAUACCAGUAUAAUUAGUCCUUGUAGUUGAAGUUUUUUCAGUAUAGAUGUCAUCAUUGGGAUAAAGGAUAAAAGUUUAACAAUGUUAAUUAGUUCGUGUUGAGAAUGUUUUUAAUCGUAAUUUUCAUGAGAACGUUUUUCCCUCAGUAGCCCAGAGAUCAAAACAUCAAAGCAAACAAUAGGGAUAAGACAUGAAGAAAUUUCUUCCACCUAAACCGAAUUAGCCAAGGUUUAACUCCCAGAGAAUAAUGAUUUAUCUCACUUAUAAUAAUUUUUCUCAAAUACCAUCAUCUGUUUAGUUUUUUAAAUAUAAUUUCCUAACCUAAGCAGAGUAUGCUAUUUGAGAAAAAGCACUACAUUAUACCCUUAAACGUCAAUUUGUUACCUAACUUUUAUAAUAGGUAAUGAAGGGCUCUUUGCUGAUAACAUUCAAUGUGGGACUCAUAUAUCAAUGGAUAACGAACCUUCAACAUUGGAGUUACUGACUAUCUAACGAAGAAUUAUACUUGGCUUCACUUAAAUUUUGUGUAUCACCAAGAAGACAUCAGAAGAAACCAGUAGCCACUAGCCAUUAUCAUGAAUUGGUUAUCUGGCAUCUCUAGAAAAACUAAUGCGACAAAAUGGAGAACUGGUCAUGUAAGAAUUGUAUUGAUAAUGUUGGCAUUGCAUUGAUAAAUUCAAUGACUUCUCAAAUAAGUGCAGCAUUUAGGUUUGAGGAUAGCACACCAGUGAUUGACGUGAAAUAGAAAGUAAAAUCUAAAUUAAGAAAAUUGAAGUAGUAAAAAGAGCACAGCCAAUUAGCACAGAUUUCCUCCAGCUUUUUUCAUGCUUGGCACAGAGCUUCAUCCCAUGAAAAUUGCCCAAAACCUCUGCCUUCUUCCUGGUUUACUGGUUCUUUAUCACUGAGAAAUCAAUGAUUCAGUGUUUCCAAGCUGUUGCUGCUAAAUGAUUUCACUUGGAUCCUUCUUGAAGCACUGAUGGAAGUCAUUUUUAAUAUCAGUGUAAUUUCAUUGAAGUUUCCUUUUCCCUUUACGCAUUCCGGUAGACACAUUAGAAAUGCAGAUUCCAGUGAAAUGACCAUUAGAAAUUCCACAUGUGAAGCUAUCAGUAAUUGUAGGAAGUGCUUUGGGGUCAAAACCAGGGUGAGGAAUCAUGUGACCCUUAAGAGUCUAUCAUUAAAAAUACAUAUUUCAUGGUGUUCAAGUUCAUUCCAAGAAACAUAUUUCAUUUAAUUCAUAGUUUUCCUCUACCAGCUGCUGCUUUACUAGUCUCUUCAAGAAAUCAUUUAUUAGGUUAAUUAACUAGCACUCAAUCACAUUUACUGCCUUCAAGCAAUCAUCUGACUAGAAGAAUGAAAUAGCUUAAGCAUGUCAAUGUUUAGACUAAUAUUGCAGAGUUCUCAGUAAAGAGAACUCUUCCAAAAAGAGGCGUAUGCCGUUUAGCGAGACAUGCACACGGUAUUCUUUAGUAAAAGGCGAAAGAAUAGUUCGCUUUGUGCAUAUCUCACGGCUGCAUGCUUCGACCCAAUGAAAACUCGUUUUAUUUAUAGGACAAGCAGCUUACAACUACUUAUAAAUAACCGAUGUGGGCUUUGGUUUGUUGCAUAGAGACACAACUUAAGCAGCAGCUUUGGCUUCCCAGUUCCCAGAGUCUAGAGUCUGGUCACUCACCUCUUUCAUCAACUCAAUGCUCACUCUCUUUCAUAUUUUGUAUCCCAUAAUUCAUCUAAUUUAUCUCCACAUAUGAGAUUAAAAGAGGAAAAAUUAAGUUGUCAUUGAAGCUUUCUCCCAUAGAAAGGGACCAAACCUCUGCCUGCUGGUUACAGGUUCUAUAUCACUAACAAAUUAAUGACUCAGACUUUCCAUCUUGUUGCUGCCAAAUGACUCAAAUUUGGUCCUUCUUGAAGUACUGAUGAAACACAUAUUUCAUGGUAUUCAUGCCCUUUACACAUGUGCUCCUAUACCAGCUGCUGAUUUUAUUCUAACAGGCUGAUUGAGUAUUGAUAGCUGUGAUAUCUUUAAAGUUUUGAGUAAUAAAAUUUCAUUUUCUUCCCUCUUUUCUAAUUCUUCUACUACAUGUAAUUUGUGUCUUUCAACUAAAUUGAGUUGGUUAUCUUUAAACUUGAUUUUUGUGAUAUAUGGGGUCAUUAUGUACAUGAGAUGGCAUACUGAAAGAAGUAUUUCCUGACCGUUGUAGAUGAUUGUUGCCGUUUCAGUUGUGUUUGCUUUUGAUUUUAAGUCCAAAUUAGAGUCUCUCACACCCAAUUUGGGGUUGUGAUCAAAUAUCUUAGAUCAAACAAAUAUUGGAAAGAAACAAUAUGCACUAUUGAAUUUCGUAUUCAUAAGAACCUUGGGUUAAUUAUACCACAAAAGCUAGUAUUACUGAAGUGGAACUCAAGUAUCAUUAUCAUGCUUUGCAAUUGGAUCCUAGCGCUUAUUCAGGCGUGGACAAACAUUUAUUGAAUGUUGACAUGGUUUGUUUUGUAGUCUCCUAAUUUGAAGUAAUAUAGAGCAAGAAACCAAACUAUAGCGUUUAACCAAACUAAUUGCUUGUGCUAUAUAUGUUGCCAUUUUGCAAUCAGGGAGAAACACUAAUUGAUGACCAGAGGGUGUAUUGAUGUUGUAUCCGAUCAAACACUAAUUGGCCAUUUCAUGCCAUGUACUUGUCGAUAUAUACCUUGGCCAAACAUUACAGCUUAUGACCCUUCUUUUCUUAGCUAAAUCUUAUCUUAUGGCCCUGCUCUAAUUAGUGAUUAAAACUCCAUUGAUGUUGAUGUUAGGGAAAAAAAUCUAUAAGCGGUGUGGGACUUCCAAUAGCAUAUUCCUAAAGAGCAAGUUCUCAAAGAGGCGCACCAGUACAAUGGCUUUAACCUCAAACGCACCAAUCUUUUUCUCUGGUAGAGACCCUUUUAAUAAUAAAAUAAGUAUAUUAUUAUAUAAAGUUGUCUAAAUUAUCCCAUGAGAUUAUUUAACUUCAUCAUAGUGGACUAAUUUUUAAGACUAAAAAGUUAAAUUCUUUUAAAUUAUAUUGGUCCAUUAGAAUUUCGCUAAACUAGACAACCUCAUAUUAUAUUUUAACCAUUAGGAUUGGGUCACAGUGGCUAACUUUUACAUGAGGUACUAACACUUUCAUGGCUAGAGAUGAGUUAGAGAAGAGAGAAGAAAAAAAGUUAGGGUAGAGAGACUACUUUCAUCCUUGUUUGGUUGUAGGAGAUAGGAGAAGAGAGGUUGAAUGGGUCAAACACCUUUUUGAGUAGCUUUCCUAAAUGAAGAGAAAUUGGGAGCGAAUGAGUUCUUGUGGUUUUUCACAACUGUAACUUUAGUGACGAUGUUAAAUUGAUUGCCUGAAAAUGGGUUUUCUUUUUUAAUUUGAAAGUGGGUUUUUGAUUGUCAUAAAUUUUUAAUAUGUAUAAAUAUUUUUUCUUUCACCUCAACAUCAUUAUUUCUCUUUUAUUUUUAUCGUUAUAAAUGACAUACAAAAUUUAGUUAUUUUUCAACUUUUUCUCUCUAUUCAUUUGUUUAUCUCUUCACCCAAAUAAAUCAUAAAUAUUGUUUGAGUCUCAUUGCCGCAGUAGUAGAAGUUAAAAUGACAAAACUCAUGUAUAUUUCGUACGUGCCUAGCAUGUGUUACUAGAGUUAUCUUGCUAAUCAUCCAAAUAUUUGAGUGGCUGAGGGAGGAAGGAAACAGAAGUGGGAAUUAAACAUCAAAACUUUAUAAGAAAGUUUGGAUAAUUGGAUUAGACAUAAAAUUGAACCGACCAGCACUUGCUAGUUGCUACUACCUAAUAAUGCAAUUGCCAAUAGAUAUAUCAUAUAUAAACCCUGGGAAUUUGCACGUGUCAUAGGCAAAGCAUUUUAGUGGCACACGUGUUUUGGCGUAGGGGUAACGGUUGAGCCAAUACGUGUUGGAGACACUAACAAGUAACAACGUUUUGUUUUGUGUAAAGUGACACUAGCAACACAAUAGGUUCAAGAAAAAGGGAAUUAUGGAUGUAAUUGCUAGUUGUAAUCGUUAACAUGGGUGCUUAUGGUUGUGUUUGGGUUUGUGAGCAGACAUUCAGCGGCCUCAGUGUGCAGUGGCAGAAGAAGAAAAAAUUUGAGGGAGCUAAAAGAAGAUUGCAAUAUAUAAACUAUAAUAUUUUGUAUUAUUAAUGCACAAAUGUUCAUAAAAAAAUAGUUCACAUAAUAUGGAUGUUGAAAAUUUAUUAUAAGUUAGGUUAAUAAUCUUGAAAAUUUACUUUUUCUUUUCAAUUUUUGGUUAUGGAUAUAUAUUUUACCGUUAAAUAACUUCCUUUUAUAAGUUUGGAACUCUAUAAGUUUUAAUAUUUGUGCAAGAUAACUAAGGCUAGCUGUUAAAAAUGAAAAAAAUGUAAGAAGGACUGUGCGUGGUUCCCAACCACUGAACCAGUGUCGUGUAUUGUUUAAUUUUAUACACAUUUUGUUAUAUAUAUAUAUAUAGUAUUAACUGAAUAUUUUUUUUACCCAAAUACUUUUUUAAAAUUUUUGAGGCAUGUCAUCAAGAAGGUCCGCCACUGCGUCAGUGGGAUGUGGCUUUUUAGUUCAUCUACGUGUAAGUUAUUUUAAAUAUGUAACGUGCAUGUAACGUGUGGUACUAAUUUUAUGUUUUUAAUUUAUUAAAACAUAUCAUGAGAGAUUGAUUUUUGUAAUUGUUUUUUAAAAAAUGAUAGGGCUUGUGAUGUGGCCCUGAUUGUGAUUCGUGGUUAGGUCUGUAAGGUGUCUUUGCCCAACACACCAACACUGCAAUCCCACUCUGAUACCUGUCAUCGUACUUUGCUCCAACAUCAACCCUUGGUCAUUCUCCAAACUACGUAAAUGCCCAAAUGUUGCAUAAAAAUUAAAAUACACUACCAAAAAGCAAUGGCUUUGCUGUAAUUUAGGGAAAAUGUCAAUGGCAGAUGUCUCAAAGAACAUCCUACAGCUUUAAUUGUUCCACGAGUUCUGUUUUGUAUUGAAAUUGAAAUAAACCGACCACUAGUCGAUCACCUCAAUUGUGUGGACAAAAGAAUUCUGGUUUAUAUGCAACCCCUCUCUUUCAACUCUCCCCACAUCAACAACAACAACACUCUUUGCUUCAACUCCAACCUCAAUCCACUACUCCCCCCCCCCCCACCAACAAAAAACACCCCUUUUUCCUCCACCCCCACCCAAACCCCACUCCCCCUCUAGGGCGGCAGGCCCCCCCCCCGCCACAACCUUAAACCCCUCCAGUCUUCUCCAAACCUCAACCCUUUUCCCUAAGCUAACCCCAACAUUGUUCUUCACCCCCUUAACCUUAAGAACUUCCCAUCACAGAACAGUCCUUCAAACCCGGAGAAGAAUCAGGGGCUUCACCGUGUGUAUCCUUACAGAGGGUCCAAAACCAGGCAUACAGAUCAAAACAGAGGAAGAAGAGGAACCACCUCCCAACAUAGUGAUUCCUCAAAUCAUGUCAGCACGUGUGGCAGAUUAAUUGGCAAGGAAAAAGUCAGAGAGGUUUCCUUCCCUUGUUGCAGCUGUUAUGUCUAGCCUUGGUGUCACUUCUAUGGCUAUCUUGGCAGUUUACUAUAGAUUCUCAUGGCAAAUGGAGGUAGCUACAAAAAAUCCUCUAAAUUUAUGCUCAUUUUCUUUAUGUAUCUAAGUAUUAUGACAUUAAUUUGUGUAUGAAUGUUGGAUUGGAUUGGUGUAUAGGGUGGACAAAUUCCUAUGUCUGAAAUGUUUGGCACAUUUGCCUUAUCAGUGGGAGCUGCAGUAAGUCCUGACCCUUUUCUCAAUUCAGCAUUGUGAAGCUCUUGAAUGUGAAAUUUGGUAACUUUGGGUGCUAAAUCCAACUGGGUAUGUCUGAUUUUCAGGUGGGCAUGGAGUUUUGGGCUAGAUGGGCUCACAAAGCUCUCUGGCAUGCUUCCUUGUGGCACAUGCAUGAAGUAUGCUUCCAAUUCAUCAAUUUCCCUUUUCUUCAAAAUUGAACCUUAUCAUCAAAUCAACCAAUUCAUUCAAUCAAAACAUGAAUUUGAAUCGUUUUGCAGUCACACCAUCGACCAAGAGAAGGACCGUUCGAGCUGAACGAUGUUUUUGCUAUAAUCAACGCUGUUCCUGCCAUUGCUCUUCUCUCCUAUGGUUUUUUUCACAAGGGAUUGGUUCCUGGACUCUGUUUUGGUGCUGUAAGUGUAUCUUUCAUAAUCUACUUUUUAAUCAAUUAAUCCCUUAAUUAACGGUUUCAUAGGGAUCUGUUAAUUGUAAUUAAGGAUUAAGAAUGAUAAUGAUUUGACUGUAAUGCCCCUGGUGAUUCUCUUUAUUGACAUCAUUAACUUCGAGCAGGGUCUAGGAAUCACAGUGUUUGGGAUCGCCUAUAUGUUUGUCCAUGAUGGAUUGGUCCAUAAGAGAUUCCCUGUGGGUCCCAUUGCCAACGUGCCCUACUUCAGAAGAGUUGCUUCUGCUCAUCAAGUAAUUGUUAUUUUAACCUUAAUCAAUUGCUUAAAUAAUAGUUUACUUUUGAUUAGUACUUGAUCAAUGUGGCGUGUACGUGUUUGUUUCUGUUUCUACUGGACUAGGAUUUGAUCUGAGAUUACUUUGAUUUUGUUGUCUGUUUUCAGCUACACCAUUCGGACAAAUUCAACGGGGUGCCAUAUGGGCUGUUUUUGGGACCAAUGGUGAGUCAUCACAUUCAUAUUUCUUCUCCUUAGGUUUGGUUUCAUUAAAAUAACCCUUUUAGAUGCUAAGUUAAUAUUUUAUUAUUGGUUAAGUGUUCAUGAAAAAACCUAGAUACAAAGUCAGUAGGUAGUCGCUAAGCAUUAGAAUUCUCAGCAAAUGAACACACUUCAUUAAGUAUGGAGGACCCUCUAUAUAGUCGAGGUCUCCCUAGAUUACAAAUGUAGAAAAUCAAACCAUUACAAAAUAAGAGGGAGAGAAUCAAGUGAUUAUAUUAAUAUGAAAAACAUAAUAAAGUGAGCUAAGAUUCUAGCGCAGUAUGAGUGACUUAGUCGGCCUAAUACCCUAGUAAGCCACAACCCUCCAAGACUUGGAGUCAAGCAAGUGUUGGCGACAAAGCCUUACAAUCCGGCCCAGAAGUGGUUUCAUCUUAGACCGCAUUUGGGUUAUGUUGUCAGCCUACGUAGUCCUAACUGUCUACUUCACUUGGUAUUUGUAAAUUUAAAAGAUUUUACUAGUAGUGGAAUGAAAUAGGACCUUAUAAUUUAUGAAAGUUUUUUGACAUAUUUUUUAUAAUUUAACAAAAUUUAAUUAUUAUUCUAAGAAUUCUAUUGACAUUUUUUAACUAUAUGUCGUAUUUAUUUAAAAAAACCAAUGAAGUUGUUUUUUGAAACUAAACCAAUAAAGUUAGAAGAAUUAAAAAAGAAUACUAACUUUCACUUUAUUGAAGUUUCUUCUGCAUAUAGUUUUGUUGAAAGUAGGUUGUCACAUUUAAAUUUCAUUGAAUUAUUGUGAGAUAAGAUGAGCGUGUGUGUGUUAGAUCUAAAUUUUUUAAUAAGCGUUGUUUAAGGUUUGGAUAUUUCUUGUGGUGCAGGAACUUGAAGAAGUAGGAGGGCUAGAAGAGCUAGAGAAGGAAAUAAGUAGGAGAAAAAAAUCAUAUACUGGUUCAUGAGAAACUGACUAGCAUUAAAUUUAAAGGUGUCUGAAAGAAUGUGUGUAGAGAACUAUACAACAAAUGAAUGAAAUGAUUUGAUUCUUUUUUGCGCUUACACAGUUUUUGAUCUUAAUUAUAUAGGGAUAUUUAGCUAACAGAACAACAGGUUCAAAACUAUGUAGAUCAACCGAUAUUGGUGGUGAUCUUUCAUUCUUCAUUUUUAUUUUUCCUUCGUACAAACAUGCUCACUCAUGUGGAUACAUUAAUGCCAUAUAAAGUCCCUAAACCCUCAGAAUUCAACCAAGAAUCCAAGUGACUUUUUAGUGGAGAUUUGUUUUUAAUCAGCGUUUUAUUCUUUAUGAAAAGUGAAAACAAUUAGGGAUGAGAACCGUCAGUUUCGGGCUCGUUUAGCCCAGCCCAAUCCGACCAAAACUGACAUGGGCACUGUGCACCCAUAUUCGGCCCAAAUAUUGGGAUCAAUUUGUUCAGGUGAGAUGGCCAUCAUAUGGGUUAGCACGGAUUGGGGCACCCAAAAUUUUUAGUCUUCAUAAUUUAUGAGUUUUGAUUAUAAAAAAUCUGUAAUUUUCAAUUGACUAUUAUCUUGGGCCACAUUAGCUGGUAUUUAAUAUUUUGCUUCAAUUUAGUUUCAAGUAAAAAAACUUGACAAUAUGUACUUAAAAUAAUGGGCUAACAUUUUGUAAAAAGCUCAAUUUCAUAGAAGGAAAACAUAUGCUGAAAUCCAACAUGCAAUAUACAAUUUAAAAGAAUAAGCAUCCACAUGUAUAUUUUCAUAUUUAAACCUUUCUCUAGUUAUUUUGAGUUUAUCAUGCUCUUCCAUUUUGAUAACAUUUGUAUUAAUUUCAUAAACAAGAAGUUCCAACAACAAUUCAAUCCAACAAACUAAGAAGAAAUUCCAUACUUUGCCUUUUAUUUCUAAUUGUCUAUGUUUACUUGGGUAUCUUGAAACUAACUAAUGUUCAGAAAAAGCAUUUAUAAAAAUGGAUAGGUUGAAGUAGCAUAUUUUCAGUGAUACAGUAGUAUUGAACACUCGAUACACCCCCUUCACAAAUAAAUAUUCUUUUUUUUAUUAAUGGUCUACUUAAUCUCCAAAGCGUAAGAGUGGUAAGGAAUCGCUCAAGCGGGCUAGCCCAUAGAGUGAUUACAGCUAAUUAAGAAGUAAGUCCCUAAAGGCAGUAUCGAUGCCAGCAGGUUCUAAGGGUGGAAGUAGGCUAGAUGACUCGUUACGAGCCCGCAACCUAACCCAUCAAAUAUCUGGUAUGAGCUGACCCAUGUAUUAAAAAAAGUUAGGCUUAAACUUUCUAAAAAGCUAGAUUAACUUAAAAGACUAAGCUCAAACUAUAAAAAAGUAUGUUUGACCUAAUAGACCAGCUUGCUAACGUAAUAUUAUCUGUAUUAAUAACAUAACAUAAAUAAAUAAAUGAAAAUGUGAUGAUACGUAGAAAGAUCAAUUAAUUCGCUAACUCACUAGUCUUUUUAACAUUAUAUUUUAUGUUAAAUAUGUUUUUAAACAUGCUAAUAGACUAGAUCAUGUCCUCUUAAAGGCUAGGUCAAACGUUAGAAUCAGACUUAUGAUACGCCACAAGCCAACCUUGGUUCAUCUCAUUAGAAUGAGGGUGAGAUUUAGGUUACUCAAAGCUCUUAUGACUUAGGCAUAAACUUGGGAAAAGAUCCACAUUCCAUAACACACUAGAUCAAAAACAAAAUCUCAACCGUCCACCGUACCCAAAAGAUCGCCCAAAAGAUCCCCGAUCCAACGGCCAAGACAAGCCCGACGAACCUCCAUUGAGGUAGGUCCCAAUCUCGACCAAGACGGGGCCACGUGUCCGCUGGAGACCAACCAAAGCCAAGAUGUGAUCGCAGGAAAAAGAAAAGUCAGAAAUAAUUUUAUUCUAGAGCCCCCUUUUGCCAUCAUCUGACGCGUGUCCCCCCGCCAUUCGUAAUUGACAUCGUUGUUGUUGUUGUUGUUGUUUCCUUUCUUCUCUCAUCAUAUGUUAUCAACCGGUUACUUCUUCUUCUCUCUCUCUCUGUCUUUCUCUGAACAUUGAUUUUCACUUUCGUUUCCUACACAACUACGUUUCCUCUAGAUCCAACUACUUCCGUUACCACUAUUCGCUUCUCCUUUGUUUUUCCUACCUCAAUCGCACUCUGUUAGGUCCAAACCCUCUUUUCUCUCUAUGCCAUUCCCCCAGGUUUGUUUUUAUUUUAUUCUUAUGAAUUUUGCUUUCAUGGCUAAUUGGAUCUGGUUUUCAAUUAUGUGCUGGAGUGAUUGAAUUUGGUGAAUUUUGAUGUUUUUAAUUCUGGAUUCAGUAGAUCUUGUUGUUUUUUUAAUGCUGGGGGUGGUUGGGUUUCACUUCAAUUCAGUUCAUUGCUUUCUUCUCAACAAUUCGGUAGAUCUAGUCACGGUUAUAAUGAUUCUGGUUCGUUUCAGAUUCUCUUUAGUUGCAAAACAAGUAGAAUUUAAAAAACCUGCAAAUCAAGCUCAUUGAAUCUAGCCAUCUAGGUAUAAUUGGCUUGAAUUUUUUUGGGGUAUUAUGUUCAGGCAAUAAUUCAUUGAGUUUAUGGAUGAUAUAAGUUGGUGAAGGACUUCAAUUUGAUUGUUAGGUGGCUGUGAUGUUGGUAGAUGGUUGACUUUCAAUGUAUUAGUUAAGGCUUAGUUAGUACUAUCUAAGUUGUAUGUUGGUUGAAGCAGUAUUGAUACGAUGUCGACAUAGUUAUGUGUUUGUGAUAUUGAUCUAAGUCUUAAUUUGGCUUAGUUAAAUUUUUAUCAUUAUCCUUUCUCAGGUUUAUAUGGCGUUUUUCCUCAUCCGUUUAGGGAAGUGUCUGUUUUUUUUAUCAGUUUAUGUAGCUAGGAAUAAUAUAGAUUAAAACGUGCAAACUGCAUAUGUAUAAUGUAUUAAUGUGUCUUUAUGCAAGACACUUUCAUCCCUCCCUGCACUGUUCAUUCAUCUAUACACUUGACUUGAGAACUUGAUGUACUGCUUUUACAUGCUAUCAACAUGAUUUAGUCAUGCUACUGUUUUCUUUCUUUCCUUUUUAAUCACUACUACUUUUAUGAAAAUAAUAUAGAAUUUAUCACUUCUAAUAUUUUAAUCAAACCUAUUUAAUGACUGAAACUUGGAAAUUAUUGGUUAUAAUUUGGUAUGAACAUUUGAAUUUCUCCAUAUCUUCUAUUUUCAUAAUUGUGGUUAUGUAUGUAUAUAUAUAUAUGAUAUAAUAUAUUUGGUAGUUUUAAUUGAAAUUUCGUUAGUGGUGAAAUUCUUUGGUUCCUGUAAUUGUUCAUUUGCAUGUUCCAUGGUGGCUUGUCUAGUCACAUAAACUCCUCCAUGCCCCGAUUUCUUUGUCCCCCUCACCCCCAUUACCUAGCUGUAAAUAAAUCUUGUCUCUUUAUUUUUGACACUUUCAGUUUCUGAUGGUUUUGCUGUAUUUUUGCUUAUACUGCAGUUGGGAAGGGUGUACUGGAAUCAGAGUGUAGCGGCCGGGUGCAGAUUUAUUGAUAGUCUCGUCGCUUUUCAAGGAUGGGUAAGUGCAAAGGUUGCGGGAAGUUAGGAAGAAUGAGUACAAGUUAUGGAUCUAAGAGUAUUUAUGAAUUUUCUUUGAUGCUGUCUCCUGUUGUUUCUUUUUGGGACUGUAUAGUUCGCAAAAUGAGGUACUCCUACAGACCUGAGUGGGUGUAGUGGUUUCAGAACGCGUCAUUAGUACUAGCCUUGAUACUUCAACCUUCCGAUCUGUGAAAUUAUAGAUAAAUGUAUACUGCUCUGAAGAAAAUCUCUUGAAGGAGGAUAGGAGUUUAUAAAAGUAAUUUUAAGUAUUUACAUUGGUAGUAAGUUCUAUGGAUAGCAUGGCAUGUAACAAGGGGCAACAAGUGAGAAAGACGAAGAAGAAGCAGGUGAAAGAUGAGUUGGAUCGUCUGAAACAGGCUGAAAAGAAAAAGAGGCGCUUGGAGAAAGCACUAUCUACUUCUGCUGCCAUCAUCUCUGAACUGGGGAAAAAGAAACAAAAGAAGAAAGAAGAACAACAGAGACUUGAUGAAGAGGGUGCUGCAAUUGCUGAAGCUGUUGCUCUGCAUGUCCUGCUCGGUGAAGACUCGGACGAGUCGUGUAACGUUGUCAUUAAUGAAGGUGGGUGCAAUUCGUGGAAUUAUAAUCAUGGUCUUGACUUCUUCAUGGGUGGAAAAAGAGCUUGCUUUCCUCAUCUAGAUGGCGGAACAUGGUCUGUCACUGCUGAAAAUGGCAACUGGUCUUUCUCAUCUGGGCCUUUCGAAUUUGAAAAGAAUGUGCAUGAGCCACUUUACGAAGAUGCCGGAUGGGGUUGUACGGGUUUAUCUGCUGAUCUGAUAGCAGCACAAGCAGCGAGAUCGCUCCAUAUUGCAGAGGACACCGAUGAAGAUAGGAUUCUCUUCUAAUUCUAAUACUGUUUUGUCUUUGAUGGUGACUUGAUGAAGUCUCUUGUUAUUUUACUUGAGUUUGUCAUCUGUAUAUAAUUAUAUAUCAUGAGUCAUGUGCUUGUCAAACACAUUCUGCUUCAGUUGUGAUUGAACACAUCAUGUUCUGUUCUGAUUUUUCUUUAUCUGUAUGCUGUCCUGCUAAUUUUUGUGUGUAGUGACUUUCAAACUCGAGCAUAUUUAUACUUUUUUGAGCUGAUUACCAAUAAUAUGAUUGAUCACCUCGUUAUUUAUAUUCUUGCAGUGUUGGCUCAUCAAUUACAUCUCAUAAACAUGUUGUUUGCCAAUGUUAUUAAUCCAAGUUUUUUUUUUUACUUGCUCCUGUCAAAGUUUACUCCUUGCAUGGCUCUCCCUGUAUGUGUCUGGAUACAAGUUGCUCUAAAAGGACUUUAAAUCGAACAAAAUCUCCAAGUAUUAUUUAACUUUUUCUCUUGAAAUUCAUGUGAGUGUGCUUUUAAUAAGCUGAGUUUGUUGCAUUUUCUGUGGUGAUGUGCCUUUGUAGAUUGAAAGAUCUUUCUAAAGAACAAGGAACUUUACAUCAUAUGUUGGAUUCUCACUUUUGGAACAUCUUUAGUUGGUCUUUGUGCUUUAAGCUAGCACACACAAUUGAUUAGACUUUUCCUAGUAAUUCACUAAAGAUGAAUACAGAUGUACAAUGUCAUGGUGGUGCUGCCACUUUCAAUUUGAAGUCAUUAAAAGCAAAACCCAAGUGUGUGAUGCACAUGUCAAGUACUAAUGAACAAAGCACUGAGAAUGCAAGUUGGGAAGGGCGGCUGAAAAUUUAUAACAAGACCACAUAUGAUGCUGCAUAAAUUGGGGAAAUCCAUGUGAAGACAAGAGCCAUGAUGGAUGUGUUAUUAAUUUAUGUGAAUGUGAUGUUAGCAGAUUCGUUAUUGUUGACUACACUAUCUUUUUGGUAAUGGAGUUCAUUGCUUCACGUCAUUUGAUUUCAUUUGAUUUUAAUUUUGAUUUUUAAUACAUUCAUACUCACAUUUUUAUUCGCUCUAUUUUCACUCACUGACUUUAUUUUCACACAUUGACUUUAAAUAUUUUUAUCUUCUUUUUUAUAUGGCAUGAUGAAGUUUAAUGUGAAUAUCAAUGAAUAGUUGAGAGCAAUAUCGAAAUUUCACCUACAUUGUGAACUGCAAACAUGUUCUUUUGUCCAAUCACUCUUCCACCACCUCCCACCACCCGUGCCACCACCACCUUCGGCAACCCAUCCCCCCACCUUAGCCAACCACCACAAAACACCUAUCAUUCACUAUCUUUGAAUUCGAUCUCAAAUUUUAUAGAACAACAGUGCGUGUCUUUCAAAUUGGUUAAGAUUUUUUGGAAACUUUUGAUUCAAAACGUGAACAAAAAGAAGCAAAGUACAAAUAUGAUAGCGAAGGCAAUACAGAACAGAGAGUGAGUAUGCCAUCAUCGCUCAACACCAUACUUUUAUGGCGCCACAAAGUGAAAGUUGAAUUUUUUUCAUACUUUUAACUUUGUAGCGGAUUUCCACAAAAGUAAGGUGUUGAAAGUCAUCACCUUUUUUUAGUGGUUUACCUAUUGCCACUGGUAGUCGAAUAUGAUUUACACCAUAUCCUUUGCGACGGAGGUGUAUGACUUUGUCUAAUGGUGGUUGAUGGUGAAUUGGUGAUUCUGUUGGCUGACGGAGAAGAAUGGUUGGUGCUGGAGACUGAGAGACUCAAAUAAAAAGGUAACUUUCUUAAUGUAUUGUGUAUUGAAUCCGAAGCAUUAAAUAUUUUAAUAAAAUAUCGUAUGAUUGUGUAACAUACCGUAUUUUAUGUGACUCAUUUUAGACAACACAGUGUGAUAAAAGUAGAUAGCAGCUAGGUUACAUAAGAAGUGUAUUUUUGAGUGGAGACAACACGCUUCCAUUGCCCCCACUUUCUUUAGAAUUGCACGCAUCUUAUUGUUGGCUGGAUGGAUGUUAUCAACUAAAGUCGCUAAAGGUAUCCCCACCCAUUUAAUUUAUGGGGUCACACUUCGUGACAAGAAUCUGAAUUUUAAUUUUAUAAAAAUACAAAAAAUUACUAUAUGAAAUGGAAGGAGGGAAGUUAAAUAUAGUGCAUAAUUUCUGUAGUCCAUUAUUUGGAACUUGUAGGUCCAUCAAUACUGCUAAUCACAACUCACAAGCACAUUUUAACAAAAAAAGGAAUAUCACAAUUCACAGCACAUUUUAGUAGUUUCUAUGUUUAGCAAGUCUCCUGAAAGUUCUAAAAGAAAACCAUUACAUAUCCUAUAUGACAGUCACAGAUUAUCUUCAUUCUUCAGCAACACAAAGUAUUGUAAUUGAAAUUAGAACUUUCAAAAUAUCAAUUAUAUUAUACAAUCAGACCUUAAACAAACCUACAGCUGAUCACAACUUUGACUGAUUCAGCUCUAGAACGAAUGAAGAGUAUUGCACAACAUAAAAGAAUAAAGUAUACAACAAUAGAUUUAAAGCAUCCCUCCAAUGCCAAGAAACAGGAUAUUCAAACAUUUGUAAGAAACUAUCAAUGAACCAGUGCAAUAUAAGGAGCCUAUAGCAGUCUUCCAUGAGUAAAUAUUCAUGGUUUUGAUGCAAUUUCUUUAAAAGACAAAAAAACUGAUCAACAAAAAAUUUGAAGCCUAGGUAAUGUUGUAAUAACUCUUUAGCCAUGUGAUUUUUGCUUUUUCAAUACUUCUGCAAGAACUGCUUAGGCUAUGUUUGGAUACUCGCUAGCGCCAUUGUUAACUCAAUCGAUAUCCAAACACAUACUUACAUUUGCAGCAUUUACCUAUCUCUAUCUGCCAUCAUUGGUCAUUAGCUGGUAAAACACAUCACUCCUANNNNNNNNNNNNNNNNNNNNNNNNNNNNNNNNNNNNNNNNNNNGAAGGAUCUUGGAGCUGAAGUGCAUGUUCCAAAUUCCACAAGACAUCACCCAUAGUUGGCCGGUCAACACUAUAUUGAGCCAAACAUUUCUCUGCUGUUUCGCCAAAUUUCNNNNNNNNNNNNNNNNNNNNNNNNNNNNNNNNNNNGCCCAUUCUGCUAAAUUCACCUGUUCCCUGGUGAGUUGCGGAUCAACAGCAGGUCUGCCACAUAGUACCUCAAAAAGCACAACCCCAAACGAAUAAACAUCCGAUUUAUCCGUAAGCUGCUGCCUCCGGUAAUACUCGGGAUCAAGAUAACCGAAACUGCCUUUCACACCGGUACUCACAUGUGUUUCAUUAAUGCACGGCCCAGAUCUUGAAAGACCGAAGUCAGCAACCUUGGCAACAUAAUCUUCAUCGAGCAAUAUGUUGGUUGAUUUAAUGUCACGGUGGAUGAUUCCCUGAGCAAAACCAGUGUGAAGAUAGUGGAGACCUCUAGCGGCACCAAUGCAUAUCUCUAGACGCUGCUUCCAAGAAAGAGGUGGCAGUUUUGCUGAGCCAUAUAGAUGCUUUUUCAGUGGACCUUUUUCAACAUACUCAUAGACAAGUAUCAUUUCUGAAUUUUCUUCACAAAAACCGACUAGUGAAACAAGGUGGCGAUGGCGAAUUUUGGAUAAAAUUGUUAUUUCCGAGUGGAAUUCUGGAAGGCCUUGUCUGGAACCAGGCAUGCCUCUCUUGACAGCAACCUUUACAUUGUCUUUGAGCACUCCCUUGUAGACCAUACCGAACCCACCCGACCCUAUAAUCAAACUCUUAUCAAAAUUGUUUGUUGCUGAUUGUAUUUCUGCAAAAGAGAACUUCAAGCCAAAAUGUCCAUGAGAACCAUGUUCAGAUGUUCUACUAAGUGAACUCCCUCCAAACAUUCGCAGAGGUGUCCAUCCAACACUUUCCACUGACCUUUGUUUCGGUUUCUUCUUCUUGCAUUUGUAAGCAAGUAAUAAAGCAGAUACAACAAAAAAUAAGACCAAAAUUCCUCCAAUAAUUGAACCCAACACCACCCUCAACUUUUUCCUUUUGUGCACAACUUUAGUACUAUCCACAUCAUUGACCAUCUUCAUUACCUCUGCACCAUUCAAUAUGGCAUUCAUCCUUAUAGUACUGCUCAGGUCAGAAGGACCAACACUUACUUCAAUAACACCCGAAUCAUCUGAAUUUGUAACGAAAUCCACAUAGACCGGUGAUGCAAGCUCAUGAAUCGUAAGGGUUGACAAAUCAAGAUCCUUAUAUGCACUGUACCUAUUGAUAUACACAUCAAAGUAGAGCAAGUUCAGAGAAGGACUAACAAUAUCACAGAAAUGCAACCUUAUCAAAUAUGGAACACCGCCAGGAGUCACAGGAAAGUUCCAUGUUAAGUUGAAUCUUGAAGCUAAGAUUGUGUUCUCCUUGUUCAUCUGCUGAGCAGUCAUGUAAACAUAUUCAGGCGCGAUCUCUCGAGUCGCGCCUCCCUUCUGAAAAUUCGGUAUGUGAGUGCUUACUGCAGCCUUAGCUGCAUCCUUAACAACCAGAUAAUCCUCAUCAGGAAUCCAAGUCCUCCAAAGGGUAUCAUUAAAAGGAGUUAUUUUCAAGCCUCCAACAUUAAUCCUAUGAACAGUUUCUAAAACCUGAGAUGAAAGGUUUCUAUACUCCUCCACUCCAGAAGGACCAAUAAACCUUGUUCCAUAAUCUAUGAUGAAAUCUACAGGAGCAGUAAACACCUCCAAAGCAUUGACAAAACCAAAACCUGAAUUACCAACAGGUCUAAACAAAAUUUCAAGCAGGUUUGAUUCUAUCUUCAAAAUAAACUCUUUAAGCAACACAUCAUUUGGUGGCCGGAAUUCACUCAGAACAGAAACCCCAUUAACCAAGACACUAAAUUUAGCAGAUUUCAGAUCAAAACUUGAAGCUUUAAAAGGGAAAAAGUGGAAACGCACCAAGUGAGUACCGUUUCUCUUCAUGCUGAAUCUGUAUUUCUCAGUGCUUGUGAACACUCUGGCUGUGUGGUACAAAACUGGCAAAUUUGGAGGUGAGUUUUGGUUAGUGAGAGAUAUGGAAUCAUCUGCAGAGAGAAAACUGGAACCUGGGUUGGUGGAAUCACUGAUGAAGACUCUGUUGAAGAAGGAAGCAUUGGUGUGUGAUCCACAGUUAAGAAGGAAGUUGUCAGAGGGAGUGAAUGGGGCAGAGAAAGGCAUGAAAAGGAGAAGCAUUAAAAUCAAUGGUGUACGCUUUUGAGACUCCAUGUGAGAAGAGCUUUUGGAUUCUUGAAGAGUGUGAGUAUCAGGGUGAGGAAAAUCCAUGUCAUGAGAAGGAAGAAGGUGCAGAAGUGUGAACAAUUACAAAGGUGAAACAGCAAACAAGACAACAUAGACAGAGAGACAGUGACUUGACUCAGAGUGGAGAUUUGGAAAGGAAAAUAUAAUAAUAUUGUAGUACAAACAUAAAUGGAUUUCGUUACUGAAGUCAAAGGAUUUGCACCUCCUUUUUCAUUUUGCUUUUAGUUGGUAAAUUUGUCUUGAAACUCAUCAUUUUUGGAUGUUUCACACAAAUCUACUAAGAGAGUUUUCCCCUGCCUCGAGUUUAAUAUAGAGUGAUUUUAUUUUAUGCAUGUUUGGUUUCGAUUAUAGCAUUACUAAACAUGAAUUAUUUGUUACUUUUAUUAGAUGUCGAUCAAGUCUAGAGGUAGAUCUAUUUGGAUUUUCCUAACACACUUCAUCAUUUUUUAAGAAAAAUCACUGUCAUUAAGAUUCAUUGAGUUAUAUAAGUAUGAGAUACAAGUUUUGAUUAAUAAAGUGUUGCUUUAGUAGUAAGCAAGUUAGACGUCUUAUAAAGAUGAGAGCAUACAUUUAAAUUCGUGAAAAAUAUUCAUUACAAGAGACAUGCAAUCGUUUUUCAAAUGAAUAACGAUAUCCGUUAAAAAUAAAAAAUAAACAAAUUCUCACAAUAAUUUUAACAAAUAGUAAAAAUGGAAGUGUUAGAUAGAAAAUGUUAAUGAGCACUAUUCCUUAUAAACACACUAUCCCUCACCAAAAAAAUUGUACAGAAAACUGUUUACACACUCUUUUUUAGGCCAGCAUCUUGUGUUUACAUCCCAAAGAACUGUUUGCAUAUCAUACUUAAUUAAUGGGCAUUUGACAAAAUUUCUCAGCUUAGGUAAGAAAUCAUGCACCUUUCAAUCUCAAAAUCAUAAAUUGGCAUCCACAUAUUGUUGGGUGUACGUCUCCCUCAACCCUUAUCUUUUGAUAUAUCAGAAUAUAUCCAUGCGAAUAAGUUUUAGUGAGUUCCAGUUAAAAAUUAAGGCGUAUGCAUCUGGUGCGUGCCAGCUUCCCAAGGUAGUGCCCUGUUAAUUUAUUCUUUGGGUAUGUGACUAUGUGCUGCAUCAUUUCAUGGAAAUUAAAUAUUUAUAAUUUUGUUGCCACAUGUCACAUGGCCUAGGCCAAUAAGUCAAUAACACUCUAAACAUAAUAAUUGUCUUUCUUUCCCUUAACCUUAAGCACAGUCUAUCACUCUAUCUUGUUAGCAAAAUGACUUUCUCUAUCUAUGGCGUUUGCGUAGUCUUCUACUGCCGGCCAUUAUGAUCCACCCGUUGGUUCAGAAUCCCUUUCUCCUCCUUCUCAUAUUUGGCAGCCUCAUGUGCCACUUAGAAAAAUGUUGCAUCAUAUGGGUGAAGGUAGUAUAGGUAUUUCACUGACAUUUAAAAGUUUUUAAAAUUUUAAAUACAACACCAUUUGUAGUAUUUUUGAAUGUGUACCCUCUUAUACUUUGGGCCAUAACAUCUCAUUCAUCACUAGAUCUUCGAUAAACCAAACCUCAUUCCAACCGUAGUUGCAACAUCUACCUCAACCAUCCACAAUGAACUUAACUUCAAAAAAGAAGAGAAACUAACCCUUUUUUAUAGAAUCUUGUUCGGCCUUAAAACUCAAUCACUCUCCUCACUUAGACCUAGCUCUUGGAAUUAACAAAUACAAGAUUAGAGAAGAGGGGAUGGAGCGGUGCACAACACGCACAAGGAGAGAAAAUGUUUCAUGGAAGGACACACACUUAGUGAAUUGGAUAGAGAGAGAGAGAGCUAGAGAGGAGUCCAAAGUUGAGGAGUCGAGCACAUGGUUUCACUACAGCUACAAGAAGUGGUCUCUCCUCAACUUCGAAGACAAAGAGUCCCAACGCUUAGUUGGUGAUACUCUGCCAUGACGAUGCGGUCGAGGGGAGAGGCCACAAUCUGGAAACAAUGCGGUGAGGGAGAAUGUCAUAAUUCAUUUUCUUUUAUUUUUCACUCAAUCUAAACAACUUAAAAAUAAACACUUUUCAUUUAUAUUCUUCUCUCUUAAACAUUUUCACUUGUAUAUAUGCUAAUUUUGACAUAUGCAUCCAAACAAGGCAUUACACUGCAUUUGGUAGCAAAGAGAGAAAGAGUAAAGAAAGAGUUCAAGAGGAAAUUGUAUGAAGUGAGUUCAAGAGAGGAAAGAGUUAUAGAAGUGAUAGCAUAUAAAGCUAUAAAGCGAGUACCAUUUAAUUGCAUGACUUCCCUUAAACAUGUGAAGACAUCUAACUCUUCUAACUUUAAUUUUUUCACAAUUCCAUUUUUUUUUUAAAUAACAAUUCCAAUUUUGUUUUCUCAUCAUACAUAUUUUAGAAAUUACACGCUUUUCAAUUAUACAAGCUACCACAGUUAUGUCGAUUUUUUUGUGUCUUUGUUUUUUUCAAUUGAUUAUAAAACGAGGAAUAGAAAAUUAUUAUUAAAACUGAUAUUAAAAUAUUUAAUAUAAUGUAUGUUCUUAAUAAAUAUAAUCUUAGAAAAAUUUAUCAUGUAUAUUGAUUUAGUAAAAGAAUUUAAUGGAUAUGCACUAUUUUACACUGACAUCAAAUUGAAUUCUACCAAAUAAGUAAAUAUGUUUUUAAUUGAAUGUCAGUGUAACUCUCUCUCAUAUUUUACAUUGACGGCGCAUAUCCAUUAAACUCUUAAACAAGAUACAAAAUCUAUUUUAUUUCACGUCUUUUUUUUCUCCUCUUAUCAUCUUUCAACUCUCUUUCUCUCAUAAACCAAACACAACAUAAUGGUUUCCUUGUUACAAUAAUUCCAGACAAGCAAGCAGCUUAAUUUCAUCUUUUCCAGAAACGCAACACUCUGAAUUCUGGCAUUUUCCUACACCCUUCAUUUUUCCCAAAUUGGGUUGAUAAGUGCCAAUUUUACCUAAUUUCGAUGAGUAAUUUAGGCAUUUAUCCUUAUGAAUUCAUGAUAAAUCUUGAUCAAAUCCUACUUCUUUUGAUUAGAACUUAUUGAUAGGUGAACGUUAGGCUAAGAUGUGCUUAAGUUUGAUUUUAAUCUCAACUUGUAUUGUAGGAUUGAAGAUUCAAGGAAGAGGGCAUGUUUUGGCAAGAAAAAUGGAUUUUGAAGAUGUACUGGGCGCGACAUCGCGGCGGUUUCGGUUCUUCUCAUUCUUCUUCUCUAUUUGUAAAGCUAUCCAUGAAAAUGGAUAGUUAAUCUCUCUUUUGUUGGGAUUUGAUGUAGUUGUAUGAUACUUAUGCUCUCUAUGUGAUUCUUUUCAAUAUAAAGCAUGUUUUUAGUUGUUGAUUUAGUGAUUUUCUCUUGAUCUUCAUGCUAUAUCUUAGAUUGAUCACCUAGGGUAUUUUGUUUGAUUCGACUUGUUAGCGAAAGCUACAACGUUUCGAGUCCGAACUAGUGUUAAUCACAUAAUAAUCCUAAUUGCUAGACAUAGUGUUAGGUUUGUUAGUCACUUAAACACCUAAACUUCAUGAUAAUUAUCUUUCCUAAUCAUGUGAGACAUCAAUGUUUAGGAUUAGAUAGUUAUUGUUAUCCACUUAUGCGAGACAUCAAUGAAGUAGGUUGAACUGGUGUAGAUGAAUCAUAUUCUUAGGCUUGGUUUGUAUUUGAAUCACUAGAACGCACAAAGGUCAUUCAAUGAAAUCUAAUCCCAACAAUUCCUCAUACCUGUUGUUUCUCAAUUAGUUUAUUUUCUUUUCAUUUACUUUCAUGUUCUUAAACAAACAAUCAAACUAUUGUGCAACCAUCAUUAGAGAUUCAAACGUAGAGUGGUAAAAAAAUCAUUAACAUGGGUUACAUUCAUGUUAUUAUGUAUGAACAAAAUAACCCCUUAUGGAUUUCAACUGCUAAAUAAGAAAUUGAAUAUAAUCAGAACCAAUCCGCAAAUACAAAGUCAGAAGUGAAAAAAUUCAAGUUUUUCGUUAAAGAAGGAGAUAAUGUAGACCCACUUCCAUUCCACUAUCUGCAUAAAUGGGUUAGUGCAUUCAUUCAUUGAUGUGGAGAAUCCUAUAUAGAUGCAAUGGUUUAACACUUAACAAUGACACAACACAUAAAAUUCAACAGUCAGAAAAUAUUGAAAGAAGAUUAUAAGCAAGGAAGCACGGGUACUUAAAAAAUGAAGAAGUACUAGUACAGGGUACGUACCCGGUACAGGUACGCGAUGGGUACACAUGGGUUUGUACCCCAUAUGUACCUAAAGUGAUAUCAAACAAAAAAAAAUGGGUACUUUCUGAGUAUGUUUUUGGUAUUCUUUGGAUACUCCAUAAGUGUUUUUUAUACUCUUUUGAGUACUUUGAGUUAUAAUUUCAGUUUCAUAAUGGAAGCUUAUCUCAAUACACAUACACAUUAGUGAUAAUCUUAAAUAUCUUCAAUGUUAAAAUGUUUNNNNNNNNNNNNNNNNNNNNNNNNNNNNNNNNNNNNNNNNNNNNNNNNNNNNNNNNNNNNNNNNNNNNNNNNNNNNNNNNNNNNNNNNNNNNNNNNNNNNNNNNNNNNNNNNNNNNNNNNNNNNNNNNNNNNNNNNNNNNNNNNNNNNNNNNNNNNNNNNNNNNNNNNNNNNNNNNNNNNNNNNNNNNNNNNNNNNNNNNNNNNNNNNNNNNNNNNNNNNNNNNNNNNNNNNNNNNNNNNNNNNNNNNNNNNNNNNNNNNNNNNNNNNNNNNNNNNNNNNNNNNNNNNNNNNNNNNNNNNNNNNNNNNNNNNNNNNNNNNNNNNNNNNNNNNNNNNNNNNNNNNNNNNNNNNNNNNNNNNNNNNNNNNNNNNNNNNNNNNNNNNNNNNNNNNNNNNNNNNNNNNNNNNNNNNNNNNNNNNNNNNNNNNNNNNNNNNNNNNNNNNNNNNNNNNNNNNNNNNNNNNNNNNNNNNNNNNNNNNNNNNNNNNNNNNNNNNNNNNNNNNNNNNNNNNNNNNNNNNNNNNNNNNNNNNNNNNNNNNNNNNNNNNNNNNNNNNNNNNNNNNNNNNNNNNNNNNNNNNNNNNNNNNNNNNNNNNNNNNNNNNNNNNNNNNNNNNNNNNNNNNNNNNNNNNNNNNNNNNNNNNNNNNNNNNNNNNNNNNNNNNNNNNNNNNNNNNNNNNNNNNNNNNNNNNNNNNNNNNNNNNNNNNNNNNNNNNNNNNNNNNNNNNNNNNNNNNNNNNNNNNNNNNNNNNNNNNNNNNNNNNNNNNNNNNNNNNNNNNNNNNNNNNNNNNNNNNNNNNNNNNNNNNNNNNNNNNNNNNNNNNNNNNNNNNNNNNNNNNNNNNNNNNNNNNNNNNNNNNNNNNNNNNNNNNNNNNNNNNNNNNNNNNNNNNNNNNNNNNNNNNNNNNNNNNNNNNNNNNNNNNNNNNNNNNNNNNNNNNNNNNNNNNNNNNNNNNNNNNNNNNNNNNNNNNNNNNNNNNNNNNNNNNNNNNNNNNNNNNGAGCGUAGUAGGCAGCCAUGUCGUCAUUCGGAGCACGAUUGCAGUGGUUCGGAAGCCCUAAGAGUAUUUCAUUUCUCUCUCACAAACUCCUCCGUUUUUUUGGUGAAAAUUGUUGUGCUUUUCAUUUUCUUGACAAUAUUGGGCUGGCCCAUUAGGGAGCUGGUCUUCCUUAUCUGGGCCUGGCCCACUGGGAGUUUUGCAGUGAAAUUAAUUUAACCUACUAAGUCUAGACUAUAGAUUGACCAAAAAAAAAUUCUAGACUAUUGCAAAGGAAAAAGAAAACUGAAUGAAGAGAAAAAUUGGAAGCAAGCAAUUUAUUUUUAUCUUUCUCUUUCAUGAACUUUACAAUUUAUAGUUAGGGUUCAACCCUUGGGGUGUGUAUGUGAGUUCAAUUUUGAGGAGAAGGAAAGGGAAGAUGGAUGCUUGUGAGUAGAGGCAGGCGGAGGAACAUGAGUGGGGCCCAUCGAUGUCACAAUCCUUUCUAUCUUUUAGAUUUUUAUCUUAAUAUUAUGUAUGUAUAUUUUUCUUAUGACCUUUGUAGUCAGCUUAAUAAAAUAGAAUCAAUACUAUGUAUUUUUUUUAUGGCCCACUUCCAAACACGUACACAAGGUUGCUCAAAUAAAUUUAUAAAUUUUUGUAAUUAGAACGUUAUUAUCGUCGCAUUGAUUCUUUUUUACAGUACUCGUUAUGGUAUGUUGGAGUGUUUUUACAUGUGCCCAUAUACCAAUACGUCUAUAAAAAAAAAAGGCAAACUUAAAAAUGUUGGUUGUGUUUUAAACAGCCGCCAUGCCCCCCACAAGUAGCCAAUAAGAUGAUGCUUAGUGUCUCAUGUCUUUGUUUUAAGUUUCAAAUUGUACUCCCUAGACUUCUAAAGUUCUACAUUUUACUCCCUAAACUAUUUCCAAUUUAAUAAAAUUGAAGAAAAAUCUUUCUGCUGCUGCAUCAACCUAAAAAUCCCUUUCUCCUGAAACUACCUAGAUCUUCAUCUUCUUCCUUUCUUCAGCCGUCCCUGUGGUUUCGGCCGCCGUCGUUCAUAAACGUGCCAGCGCUGUUUCUAAUCGUAGUUCAUGGGCAUCGUUAUCUGGUUCACUUCAAGAGUACACUCUGUCGCCGCUGUAGACCCCAAUUCUUUUUUCGUCCUUCAUCGUUUGCAUAAACCAUUUGAACCUUACUCCGCCACAAGCCUUUUUUAUCUGAUAAGAAGCACUUCCGCUGCAAGCCCCUUUUGGGGUUUUAAAAUUAUUCAGAUCUCUAUGAAAUUUCUACUUUGAGAUACAUGAAUUGAUAUUCUGGGUUCAAAUUGAUAUUUUCAUUCUUGGUUUCCAUUCAAUUGGUUGUUCAACAAUUCAGUCUAGCCAAUAUUUUCUGAUAACAAUUCACACGAAACAUGUUAGGCACAUGUGGGAAUUUAUGAUCACCUCUGCUAUACAGUUUCACUCAUGGAGGAUGGGAGAGGAAGAGCACGACAUCACAGACGAAGAUGAACACAGAGGAGAGGAGGAAGGAUUAGAUUAAUAUUUGCCCCAAAUCAACUUGAAAUGUUUAAAAUCAACUAAGGUUAAAAUCAAUUUGAAAAUAAUCAGAAAGUAAACAUUUUCUAAAAAAAAUUGUAUUUUUAACACAUAGUAAAACUUAUAAUAGAGAUAUUUAGAGGAUCAAUUUAAGAACUUUAUAAGUUAAAAUGACAUGGCACAUUUCCACACUUGGCAUUCACUAAUUGAGUAUAAGAGAAACAACAUUAUAACCCCUCUCACCAACCAAGUCAUACAUUAGAAUCACAACACUUCCCAACUACAAAAUGAAUGCUGAAUAUAUAGCAAAUAAAUAAAUAGGAAAAUCAAAAACUAAACAAUGAUAUUAAAUUGUUGGUCACUUAAACAAAUGAUAAAACUGAACAUAUAGAUAGUGUAUGUUUGUAUAUAUUCAAGUUGAUCUAAGAUGAAGGUAGCGUUUGAUAGACAAGUGAGAAUGGAACAUAACAUGAAAUAUGAGUUUCAUUUUGUGUUUGUCAUGUUUGCUUUUAAGAUGGAAUGAAACAAGGCAAAAGGUUUCAGGGAUGAGACACUUUAGUUCCCUGAAAAAUGAUGGAAUGGAAACACUCUCUUAAGAUUUUUACAUGGUAAAAAAUACCUCUAAUUUAUAUUUAAAAUCUUUUGUAUCAAAAUAGUCUAAAAUCACUUCUUAAAAUAAAAAGCAAUUAUUAUAUUCAUAGAUAAAGUUAAAUCCAUUUCUGCUUUAAAAAAAUCACUUAAAUAAGGAAAUAUAUCACUGUCGUUGGUCUCGUGCCUUUUAUAUUGCUCGUGCCAUAUAGCAGAGCUGAAAAAGUAUAUGUGCGUAUACAAAUAAUUAUCUCUUUUGCCAAUACAUUUUUUUUUCCCAGAUUGAUUGUAUGUUAUCAAUGGCGGAAACGAUUGAUAACUAAUGGAGUAGAUGAAUUAUUCAUAUGACACGUCUUAUUUCUCUUCACCAACUUUUUGGGUUUUAGUAUUAUGAAUGAUAAAAUCAUCCUCAUAUUAUGGAGAUCUAAUCAUACCAUAAUAUGUAGUAUAACUUAGAAUAAGCAGUACUCGAGUUCCAUGCUUGAAAUUUUCUAAUGUCAGUUUAAUACACGUUGAAGUAAACAAAUAUUUUGAUGUUUACUUAUGUCAAAUUACAUGUGCAUGACAUGUGUAUAAUUAAUUUGAUUCCAUCUAUAAUUCUGAAAAUUAUUAUAUAUAGAACAAAUUAAAAUGUACUCAAAAUUGAGCAUCCUCGUCAUUCAAAAAAAAAAAAAAAAUUGAGCAUCCUCAACCUACCUUAGUACUCACAAAACAAUGGAGGAGCAAACUCAGUUAAAGUCUGCUUUCCUUCCAUACCCGGUAACAAGUCACAUAAUCCCCCUGGUCGACAUGGCCAGGCUCUUCGCCCUCCACGGCGUAGACGUCACCAUAAUAGCCACCGCACACACCGCCACCACCUUCCAAAAAUCUAUCAACCUCGACUCCAGCCGCGGCCGCUCCCUGGAUCCGUCACUGUCUUCCACGAUCUCCGAGUUGAUUUCAUCGUCACCGACAUGUUCCAUCCUUGGACUGUAGAGGCCGCUGCUAAAUUGGGAAUUCCCAGGAUCAUGUUUCAUGCUGGAAGCUGCAUGGCUUGCUCUGCAGGGCACUCUGUUCAACAAAACACACCUCAUUUGAAUGUUAAAUCAGACACUGAAAAAUUCACCAUACCAGACUUGCCACACGAAUUGAAGAUGACAACUUUGCAGUUACCAGGAUGGAUGAGAACUUCGAAUCAGUACACCAAGUUGAUGAAGGAGAUUGAAGAAUCAGAGAAGAAGGGUUUCACAUUGCUUUUCAACAGCUUCUACGAGCUGGAGAACGAUUACCACGAGCAUUAUAAAAGAGCUAUAGGAACCAAAUGUCUGGGAUUAGGACCCGUUUCGUUGUGGGUUAACCAUGAUGACUCUGAAAAGGCUGCAAGAGGGCAUGAAAAAACAGAGGAAAGAGGAUGGUUGAAAUGGCUUUGUUCCAAACCAGAGGGCUCUGUUUUGUAUGUUAGUUUAGGGAGUUGAACAAGUUCCCUUACUCUCAGCUAGUUGAAAUGGCGCAAGCACUUGAAGAUUCAGGGCAUUGUUUCAUCUGGGUGGUUAGGAAAAACGACGAGGGUGGAAGAGGUGAUAGCUUUCUAGAAGAGUUUGAGAAGAGAAUGAAAGAUAGCAAUCAAGGUUUUUUGAUUUGGGGUUGGGCGCCACAGCUGCUGAUUCUGGAGAAUCCGACGAUGGGAGGAUUGGUAACUCAUGCCGGAUGGAACACGGUGGUGGAAAGUGUGAAUGCAGGGUUGCCGAUGGUGACAUGGCCUCUGUUUGCAGAGCAUUUUUUCAAUGAGAAGCUAGUGGUGGAUGUGUUGGGAAUUGGGGUGCCAGUGGGAGCGAAGGAAUGGAGAAACUGGAACGAGUUCGGGGAUGAGCUUGUGACAAGGGAUGAGAUCGGGAGGGCAAUUGCUUUGUUGAUGGAUGAUGGAGAGAAAAGUGCAGAAAUGAGGAACAGAGCAAGAGCGCUUAGCGAUGCAGCAAAGAGAGCAAUACAAGUUGGUGGAUCUUCUCACAACAAUAUUGUAGAGUUGAUUCAGGAGCUAAAGUCCCUCAAACUUUCCAAUAGUAUGCCAUGAAGUAAUGUAACGAAAAGGUGGUUGCAAUAAAGACCUGAAUGGGAAUUCUAUAACUUGAAUAUAAAGUUAUUGUUGCUCGGGAAAAAAAGGUUAGGGGUUGUCUAAGUAUCCAUGGAUAAAGUUUCCUUAAAUAAUAUGAGUUUAAUUUUAGUGCACGGAUAGUGCAAAGUUUUUUUACACCAUCAACCAAUCAAAUUUUAAAAAUUUGUCAUGUUAAUUAAUUUAAUUAAAUAAAAAUUGCAUCUUUCCCACAUUUACAAAUUCUGAUUGGUUGACAGUGUAAAAUUUUUUUAUAUUGAGUGCAUGAAACUUUUUCUCAAAUAAUAUUUGUUUUAGAUUGAUAAAUGAUAUGUAAGAUAUAUAUACAUAUGAAAAUGUAUAUGCAAAUUUUUAGUCCUAUAUUAUAUUAUGUUGAAUGUUAUUGGCUCACCAAUGAUUAUAUAGUGAUUUUUCUAAAACUUUGCUUAAGAUAUAUAGACAACCUCAAACUUUAGAUAUGUUGUUUGACAUUGGUGCAAAGUCAGCCUUUGAGGAGGCAUAAGUUUGCAAUGUUAGUUUAGGAUGUCAAGGAUCGACCACCUUUGCUGGGAUUGGAAUAUUUAUUUUAUUCUUAAUUUGAGAUAGGUUAAUGUUUGUGUGGAUUUCACGGUGAAGUACCUUUUUUUAUAAGCAAAGAAUAUAUUGAAUAAGCACAAGGGUGUUAACCUAUUACAAAAGGAAGAAGGAAAAGAACAGGAAAAAACAGAUUCAAAGUAUGAGCCAGGACUUUGAAACAGACCCCAGCCAAGUUACUGUAGCCCUAAAUCCAACCCUCAAUGUGAGACAAUACAUAGAAAAUCCCAUCCAAUGUAUCCCCCUUAAAAACACACGAAGAAAACGGGAGGAUUGAGAAAUGAAAUAGAAACAACAUGCAAUGAGGUUGAGGUGAGGUAGUAUCGUGAAUAAGGAUGCAUUCUUGUAAUAACACAGAGGCAAAUUCUUGUAAGAAUGCAUGUGGUGAUGACACAUAAUCGAAAAGCUUCAGGUAAACUAAGGUACACACAUCUUCUAACUUAAACCCUAAUUAGUUAGACUUCAUCCAAUCAUAUCUCUAUUUUCUUUUUCUUUCACAAUCUUGUCCUAUAUCUUAUUUGUUUUAUUGUCUCUAUUUUAGUCAACAGUUGAACCAGGUAACCGAACACCAUGUGAAUGCUGAAUUGCAAGCAAAGCCAUGAAAAACAAAACAAACUAUAUUAUACAACAAUUGAAUCACUGUCAUAAAAUGAUAACAAAUCUUCAGAUGAGAUCAUGAGAUGAGAUCAGCACUCGAGUUCCACGAUGGAAAAAAACAAUUGUCUGAUACAGUAUACAUUGGUUGACUAAACAUAGCUAGAGUAUGCACUCGAGUUCCUCGUGGGAAAUAAACAAUUAUAGUUUUAGUUAACUUUCUAUUAUUUGCUCGGGUUAGCGCCAAAACAUAUGAGAAAAACAGCGAAGAUGAACAUAAAUGUAUGCAAUUGGGGCACCUAGCCUCGUAGAUUUAAGGCAAUCUACCCUGAUAUGCAAAAACAGAGAAAGAACAACACAUAACCAAAUACAAAAUAUACUGGUUUUUCUCACCUCAACCUUGCCAAAACUCGAGUAGUAUCAUGGAGAAGCAAGCUGAGCUGAAGGCAAUAUUCCUUCCAUUUUUGUCAACAAGUCACAUAAUUCCCCUGGUGGACAUGGCCAGACUCUUCGCCCUUCACGGCGUAGAUGUCACCAUCAUCACCACCACACACAAUGCCACCAUGUUCCAGAAAUCCAUUGACCUUGAUUCCAGUCGCGGUCGCUCCAUCAGAACCCAUGUCGUUGAAUUCCCAGCUGACAAAGUGGGUCUUCCAGUGGGGAUUGAAUCAUUCAGUGUCAACACCCCUCGUGAGAUGAACCCCAAAAUCUACAUGGGCUUGGCAAUUCUGCAACCAGAAUUCGAGCGUCUCUUUCACGAUCUUCAAGCUGAUUUCAUUGUCACCGACAUGUUCCACCCUUGGUCUGUAGAUGCUGCUGCUAAGUUGGGAAUUCCCAGGAUCAUGUUUCAUGGUGCAAGCUACCUAGCUCGCUCUGCUGCGCAUUCUGUGGAACAGUACGCAUCCCAUUUGAAUGUGGAUUCAGACACCGAAAAAUUUACCUUACCUGACUUGCCGGACAAGUUGGAGAUGACACGUUUGCAGUUACCAGACUGGCUUAGAUCCCCAAAUCAAUACACAAUGUUGAUGAAGAUGAUUAAAGAAUCAGAGAAGAAGAGUUUUGGGUCAGUGUUCAACAGUUUCUAUGAAUUGGAGAGUGCUUAUUACGAGCAUUACAAGAGAGUCAUGGGAACCAGGAGUUGGGGAUUAGGACCAGUGUCUUUAUGGGUUAACCAAGAUGCUGAGGAUAAAGCUGCAAGAGGGUAUGCAAAGGAAGAAGAUGAGGAAGGAGGGUGUCUGAAAUGGCUCAGUUCCAAGCCAGAGGGCUCUGUUUUGUAUGUCAGUUUUGGGAGCAUGAAUAAGUUUCCUUAUUCUCAGCUUGUUGAAAUUGCGCACGCACUUGAAGGUUCAGGGCAUAAUUUCAUUUGGGUGGUUAGGAAAAAUGAUGAGGGUGGAGAAGAUGGUUGCUUUCUGGAAGAGUUUGAGAAGAGAGUGAGAGAAAGUAACAAAGGUUAUCUGAUUUGGGGUUGGGCACCACAGUUGUUGAUUCUGGAGAGUCCGAAGAUUGGAGGAUUGGUGGCUCACGCCGGUUGGAACACGGUGGUGGAAAGUGUAAAUGCAGGGUUGCCAAUGGUGACAUGGCCUCUAUUUGCAGAGCAUUUCUUCAAUGAGAAGCUGGUGGUGGAUGUGCUGAGAAUCGGGGUUCCUGUGGGAGCAAAGGAAUGGAGAAACUGGAACGAGUUUGGGAAUGAGGCAAUAACACGGGAAGAGAUUGGAAGGGCAAUUGCUUUGUUGAUGGAUGAUGGAAAGGAAGGUGCAGAAAUGAGGGAAAGAGCAAGAGCGCUCAGCGAUGCAGCAAAGAAAGCUGUGCAAGUUGGUGGAUCUUCUCACAACAAUAUUGUAGAGUUGAUUCAAGAACUCAAGUCCCUCACACUUUCCAAAAAUCUGCCAUAAAAUAGUGUGUUGUGUGUGCGUGCCAAAAAUGAUUUUGAAUAAAGUUCAAUUUAACUUCUUCACAUCAGUCAUAUAUACUUAUAAAAACAAAAUGCAUUUCAUUUGAGCAUAGUUCUCUCUUUAGCAAUUGCAUGUUUCUUUCUGAAUUCACGUUCAACGUGGCAAAUCCAAACACAGGCUAAGCAUUCUACUUUCAGAACACUGAAGGUAGUUCUGAUUCGGCGGAUGUGAAAAGCAAUUUAUUUUUGUUCUAGGACAAGAUUUUGGAGAUCCAUUCUCAUCCUUCACAUGUUUGGAAAAAAAUAAAUAAACAGAAAACAGUUUUCAGGGAGAAUCUUGGCUUCAGAUUGAAUUCAAAGUGUUUAUAGAAACACACCUAAUUUUCACAAAUGAAAGGUCGAAGAAAAUUCUAGAUAUAGACAGCACAGAAUGUGAAGGAAGCUACUAAUAUAAUGCUUCAGGAUUCAAUAAUUUCGAAUUGUAGAUAUCGCUAGCAAUAUUGACUGACUGGAAUUACAUUAAAUGCCACUAUGUCAUGGUGCAUGCACCUCAUGAAUUUAGUAUGCGGAGUAACUACCAACUAUAAUGCAUCCUGGUUAAAAUGACCAAGAGAGAAUAUCCAGGCUACCAGACUUUAGAUUUGAGCGAAAAUGGUCAAAAACUCAAAAUUCCACUUUCUUCUGGUAUCCAUAACACAUUCAGGCAUCAGCAAAUAAAUUUACAUGAUAAAUUUCAAAAGCCAACCUAAGCAACCACUACCUCAACAUCACUAUGCCGAGAAUCAAUUAGGGUUGAUUGAUUCAUUCAAAGAGUGCAAGUGUGCAACACCUGGACCAAUUUAAUGAAUACUCUCCCCGCUUCUUUAUAGGGGGAGGAAUCCACAAGGUCAAUCAAGGAGCAAUCACAGCACAGGUCGAUGCUUCAUCAUCACCUGGCUUGGAAGCAAAAUUUUCAGUGAUAAUUUAUGCUGCCACGGGACAUGGAUAAAAGUGUCAAUUGACAAACCAAUAGUCCUUUGCUUGAUCUCCAGAAUGGAAACAGAAAAAUCAGAACUAAAAAAACUCAGAAGCCAUAAUGUCAUAUAGCUAUCCAUUUAAAUAGGAAAUGUACCAGCGAACCAGACACAGCAAUUGUCACCAAUAAGUAUUAUUGGUUGACUUCACAUUGUUAUAUAUUAACAUGUUAUCCAGACCUGAGAGCAAGUAGAAAUAGUUAAAACCAACCACGGAGUCUGCAUAUUUUGGCAGCCAACAAUAGCAUAACAAUUUCAACACAAGAAAUAGCAGGCAAAAUCUACCACACUAGAAUAGUUCCUAAAGUGAACAGAUAUAGCACUAGACAAGAGGUGGGUAUUGCUUUGCCUGCUGCCGGACCCUUCUCUUAUACUCUGUUGCAUCCUGCACGAGAAAUUCUAAUGUGAGGACACAUCUUUAUAAUAAUAAGAAAAAAAACUGACACCCUCAACUAAUUGGCAAUAGAGCUCACCAUUACAUGACACAUACAUAACAUAACCAUUUAUCAGCACCUAUUCUUAUGGCACUAUGUUCACUGACCAAAGAUUUAACUUGCAUAAUGUUUGGUUGGAAGGGAAUUGAGGGGAGGGGAAGAGUUUCCUUUAAGUUAUCUUGUUUGGUUCAAUUGGUAAGAGAGAAGGGGAAUGAUAAAUGUUCUUUCUCAUGUUAGUUUCUUGAAUCUCGAUAAAAGUAAAAUUGUUUUAAAAUCUCUUCCUUCCCUUCGAGAAUCAAACAGCAAAAGGGUUACUCCCCCUCUAUUCCCCUUGACCAAAGAGGAUAAGAUUAAAAAUCCCUCCCCUCCCCUCCUUUGAACCAAACACACCCUUAAGAGCUAAGAUAUUAUUAACAUUUCUUACGGUACAGGAGACAUAUCUAGAAAAUUUAAAAGUAUAAUACAGCCACUACCCACUUUGCCUCGAUUAAUACUGUAAGUUGUUCUUUACUCUUUGAGAAGUAGGAUUUAUCAGGUUAGCUACCUGGAUGAAUAGAUGAUAGCCUUCUGUCUGGGCAGGGUCAGCAGGAUUUGGCUGAUCAAGCAGGUCUUGGAUGCCCACUAGAAUUUGCUUCACAGUUAUAGCUGGUCUCCACCCCUGAUAUUAGAAUGAUUUUCAAAAUCAGUACAUUCAGAAGCAAGUAACAAAAACAGUAUAAUAGUUGUUAACAGUAUAGCGAUUAUCAAAAGAACAACACUUACACUAUCCUCAUUAAGUAUGGACAAGCAAACAGUUCCAGAUGGAUAUACAUUAGGGUGGAAGAAACCCUGAGGGAACUUGCACUUUGGAGGCUUGCUAGGGUAGUCUUCACUGAAGUGCAUCGUCAGGGGGGAAUACCCAUUUUCCCAAUCAGUCUGCAGCCAACGAAUGAAACGCAGAGUAAUUACCAUCAAGAAGAUAUAACAACACCCACUAUUGAACAAGCAGCUCAUUCAUUCACACAUCCAAUCCAAGCCAUGAUCUCAGAAACCGGAAUCCACAAGCGGAAUAAUUAUCAUCAAAUCAAAUGACAAGUAAAUAACAACAGCGCCGAUUGUCCAAAAAAACUGCUCAUUCAUUUUGCAAACAUAAAGAACAUGAUUCAUUAACCUAAGCUUUCAAUGACAAGUUAAACAGUAUUACAGUACUUGUUUCCCUUAAUCUCCCUAUUGUUUCAUGGGUGUAUGGACCUAAUUCGAAGCAGAAGCUUUAAUUGCGCACAUCAGUAACAAUGAUUAGAAUUAAUCUAGGGUUAAAAGUUAACAUACAAGAUAAUUUAAUUCAAUUUUCUACAAAAUCAGGAUAAGCAACAACGCAAGUACGAAUCAAGAGGGAGAAUUAGGGCACAAUUGAAGAGAGAGAGAGAGCGAGGAAGAAGAACGAACCCCAGUUUUGCCAGGAAUAGUGCAAUGCCAGACCAUCAUAUUGACGGUGCCAUCAGGUUGCGUCUCGGGCUUGGCAACGAAACCCUAAAUUGAGAAACGAGAAGACGAUGGCAUAAAAGUGAAAACAAGAAAUUGAGAGGACGAAAGUGUAAAGUUAAAAAAAAGGGGGGAAGAGAUACUCACAUGGGGAUGGUUCUUCCGCCAUGACUUUCUCUCCUCGGCGAGGCGUCCACGAGCAAUACCACCAGACAUGGCUUUCUCUUCCAAAAAAAAUCAAUUUCUCACGAAGAAGAAGAAGAAGAAUAAUCGAUUUCUACAAUAUUCGAUUCGAUAAACAACAACACUGUGAAACCCUAAUGAAUAAGAUGAUUCCACUACCCUGAUUUUCUGCACCCUUUUUUUUUUUUCUCUAGAACCUUCUUUCUUAAUCUAAUAAAUGGAAAGUUGGAAACUAGCACUAACCACGGAUUCAAACAAACAAUGUCUUACUGUCAACGCGUGAGAAUCACGCCACCCACCCUCUCUCUGCCCACACUGUUUCACGUGAUCAAUGCUACUUUUUUUUUUGACGGUGACCAAUGGUCCUUUUCCUCAAAUAAAUAUUUUGAGUUUAAUGGAUAUGCACUGAUAGUGUCAAAUAGUUUUACACAGACAUCUAAUUGAAUUCCGCCAAAUCAGAAAAUAUCUUAUUCUUUUAAUUAAAAUUAAAGUCAAAUGUGAUUAUUUCUCCUAUGUGGCAUGCUUUGAUUAAAUGACUGUGUAAAACUAUUUUACACUGUCAGUGUAUAUCCAUUAAACUCAAAUAUUUUUUAGGAAAAUAUAUCAAAUCAAAUAAACUAUAAUAAACUUCUAAAUUUAAGUUACCAAAAAAAAUUCUAAAUGUAUGUGUAAUUUUUUGUGUCCACUAGGGUGGGCAACUUUCUUUUUGGUCCACCGAUGGACCAAAGAGAUUUUCAGUAAUUUCCAAACAUCAUCCCCAAUCCUUCCCUUUCUCCCCCCACUGCUGCCCCACCCUUCUCGUUUCCCCACUGCCACCUACCUUCCCUCAAUAAGCUGCAAACAUUAAUCUUUUCUAUCUCUUAAGUGUAAACCUCUUUCUCAAUACUUGUAAAUCAAAUAGUUUUCUUCCUCGGUUUUUCAUUUCAAUUCCAAUUCCACUUUUAAACUACUACAAACCCAAAUAAUAUAAUCAGGAUUUUCUUAACCUUCCCAAUCUCAUUGAACCUGAGAAAAUUUCACUGCUUUAUUUGCACAAGAGGAAUUUAACUUAAUCUGGAAAGGAGGAAAAAUCUGGAAGCAAACUAGGUGUUUCAGAUCUGCAAAAAGAGGAAUUUUUCAUAUCUACAAGGAGUGUCGGUGCCAUUUUUCUUCUUCUUCUACCUUACUUAUUACACCUUCCUCCUCCCGCAGAUCUCACGCGCCUGAGGGAGAGGAGGGCGGCGCUGGGGCGUGCGAGCAAGACAGAGGUUGGAGCGACCGGUGGUACACUUGGGUGGUGCGGGUCGCUGGUCACACGCGGGCACAAGUGGUUUUGGAACACCAGAUGGUGUGGCCAGUGAUGGAACUUGAAACCUCACCGCAGCUGGGAGAAGAAGAGCUGGUAAUAGGAGUGGAUGUAGGAAUUGUCAAAUUAUAUUUUUACCCUUUUUAUCAUCAACCAAUCCUAACCAUUCAAUGAAAAAAUAUUCUAAGAUUCUCAAAUCUAAUGGUUGUAAAUGAUGGUCCAUGGGUGGACCAAAAAAAAGGUUGCCCACCCUAGUGGGCACCGUAAUUUUUUUAGUUUAAUAAAGAUAGACAUCAAUUUUACCCAAUAAUUCAAUUGAGUUUCAAAUCUUUGCGGGUUUCGGCUGACCGAAAUGAUAUAAGAUGACGUAAUAAGCUUUGACUAAACCUAAAAGGAGACGUGCAAGCAACAAACAAGCUAGUCGUUGCAAUCAUUCUCAAAUAUUAUUGUUCCCUUUUAUGAGUAGGUAUUUCUGUUUUCCUCCUCAACACAAAAGUAAUCACUCAAUUCACUUUCCCUUUCUCAUAAUUGUAAUCGUGUGAUCAUUGCCCUGGUAAUAAUAAUAUACCACUUAUUCAAGAGGCCUUAGUUUUAUAAAGGAUUUCUCAGGUCUUAUAUAGACAUGUUCACUUGAAAAUUCUUUAAGAUAACUUUGUCAACUUUGUUCUUAGGAUUUUUUUACAAGUUAUUGAUUUUUUUUCCAGUGAUAUUCUUAUAACAAUAGGUCUUGUAAGAAAAUGAGAGUGCAAGAAAAUUGUUGAAGAAGGAGAGCACAUCACUCAUUUUUUUUUUUUAUUUAUGGGUGCAAACACGUUCAAAAAAGUACGACAACACCUCUAAACAUAUAACUGUUUUAGCAAUAAAACUUAUCUCAUUACUCAUACAUGAAUUCAGCUCACUUACCACUAGAUUCCUCAUUCAUGUAUGUGUUGUAAUUUUGUGAGAAAGCAUAAUAUAUUACGUAAUGAUUGUUUUUGCUAAAGUGUGAUAUUGUUUAUACAAGGUUUAUCUCUAUUUCUUUGAUUUAAUUGUAGAUUGUGAUAGCAGUUUAUAACUAAUUCAUAUUGUAAAAAAAACCAAUAAUCAUGAAAUAGUCUUGGCCUUUAGAUAUUUUAUUUUUGUUACACUUGAAAUAAAGCCCUUCAGACUAAUAAUACAAAAAAUCAUUUUAAAUAAGCGAGAAUGCAUAAUAAAGUCAUUUUUAAAUUUGUUUUUAUUCAAUGUAGCAUUCUUUUUUUUUUGUCAAAAUGUAGCAUUCAUCACACCAACAAGAACUAUAAGAAAGCACAAAGGCCAAUACUACAAUUCAGCUGAGCCCAACAUGAGAAAAUCACUAAACUUUUUAAAAAGGGGAACUUCUAUAAGGAAAAAAAAAUAACUUGCCUUACACAAUGCAGAUCAAAACCGUAGUAACCCAUGAAUUCGCUCGCCCAAUUGGGGGCGAUGAGGAUACAAGCGGCCCACAUUUUCUUUGAAGAAACUUAAAUAUUGGAGAUUACUUUUGAGUUUUUUUUUUUUUUUUUUUAAAUUCCUUCAAAGAAAAAUAUUGGAGAUUACUUUUGAGAUUAGACAAAAAAAAAAAAUCUUUUGAGUUUGCAUACACAGAUUACAUUAUCGUUAGUAAAACUUUAUUUGUAGUUUUGCACGGUUAUUCAAUUAAAUUCAGUCACAUUGAGAAAUGAAUUUUUAUUUAAAAUUAAAAUUUAAAAUACGUUAUUCUUCUUUUUAAAUGACAUGUGUGAUUAAUUAUCAAUUUAAAAUUGUUUUUAUUUCUGGUGUAUAUCUAUUAAACUCUUGCAUACACCAUAAACUAAUAUUUUUACAAGUUCAUUGUAGUGGUUAGAUACUUUAUACCCUUAAGCAAGUGAUCACUGUUUGAAAUGUCAGCGCGCUGUCGAUAAUAGGAAUCAAAAUAUUUUAAAAUAAAAUAAGUUAAUCAAGAAGGGCGCACUUUAGAUAAGAAAAUGUAAAAAUAUAAUUGUUUAUUUUGAACUUAAAAACAUCACAAUUUAUUGUAUAUGUUAGCAUAUUCAGGUGAAUAGUAUUGAUUUACUUACCUCCAUUUUUUAUUUCAUACAUCAAUUUAGUGACAUUUAUUUUUAUUUUUUUAUCGGGUUGUCUAAAUGACCUAUGAUAAAGUUUGGGUUAAAUAACUCAACAUCCAAUCACAUUGAAGAUAAAUGAGUUGUAAAUAAAUUAAUAAAUAAAAUAUAGAAAUUUCAACUCACCUAUCUCCAGUGUGAUUGGAUGAUGGGUUAUUUAACCCAAACUUUAUCAUGGGUCAUGGGUCAUUUAGACAACCACUUUUUUAUCACUCUAAAUAUCUACUAUCAUUGAAUAUCUAACAAAGUCUUGUCUACUGUCUAUCCUUCUCUAACCAUUCAUUCCUUUCACCUUCAUUAUUGCAUUUUCAGCAAUUGGGAAUCAGCCCUAAGUAACAAGUAGAUGCUAAGUUGAACACUCCAAUAACAAUUCCAUUCGUUUUUGUUUUGUUUUCUUCAGAUAAUCACUUUAAUAUUAUGAUUACCACCAAGUACAAAAAUGAUACUCACUUGUACUUCAACAAGGAGCGUAAUCGUUGCAGGUACUGAGUCCCCUUCAUAGUGAGCUACUUGUUCAAGAAGUUCCUAAUAUUCUACACAGGUUACUUAGAAACUAGAGUUCAAAUCAACAAGGAAAAGCGACUUUUGGUUUGUAAUUAGAUAUUUGGUCGCUACAUUGUUUGCUUACACAUUCUCUCUUAUCCAAACUCCAACCACCCCGGUACUCUUUCUCUUCCUGCUCUCCCCUCCCUGUCCUCAUUUGGUUCAGCAUAAACUACUCUUCACAAAUUAAACAAUGUGCAUAUUAGGAGUUAACUAAGCAAAUUACCAAACACAUAAUUACCUGGAGAUAAGUAAAACCAAAUUCAAAACCAAAAUAACUACUUCGCUCUCAUCGAAGACACUUAGUGCAAACAUCUAACAUAUAUAUAUCUCGAGAAAUGAAGAGAAAAGAGACAUGAUGAAUGUGAGGUAUGGUAAACAAUAGAGAUAGUGAGAACAUUGGGGUGUAUGUUGAACGUCUGCACUGUUUGAGUCUCAUAUGUAUUACAUGAGUGUACACUACUUGAAAGAUAAGUGAUAUGUGAUGUGACGAAAAAAAAUAGAGAUAGAGAGAAAAAAAUGUUUCAAAGAUGUAUCCAAUAUUUAGUGAUAUAACUAUCUUUAUAAACAUCAUUUUCAGUUCUAGAACGUGGAGUAGUUUUUUUUCCCCUUCAUGUUGCUUAUUCAAUUCUCCCUGUUGCAAUUCCCAUGCUUCUUUAAAUCAAACCUUCUUUCCCACCUCUCUCCCAAGCUAGGGAGGAAAGAAAGAAAGAGAUUCAAAAUUCCAUCAUUUCUUUUCUCCCCAACAUGAAGAAUGGUAACACAAAACUCAUCCUCCUCCACCCUUACAUCCAAAAGCAAGGAACCUCAAAUCGCUUAUGGCUUCUAGCUUUCAUUUCAUUCUUCACCCUUGCCUUCCUUGCCACCUUAAUCUACACAAGAGAGCCCACCUCUGCCAUCCCCGCCGCCGCCUCUGCCUCCUCCCCUGUUUCAGGUUUCAGCAGCACACCUUUACCCUCCAUUGUAAUCAACACUCUCCUCCACUAUGCCUCAAAAUCAAACGACACCUACCACAUGCCUUACUCAGAUAUCAAACCAAUCUCCGACGUGCUCAGAAAGUGCUCCACACCCUGCAAUUUCCUCAUCUUUGGCCUCACCCAAGAGACCCUCCUCUGGAAAGCCCUGAACCACAAUGGCAGAACCGUCUUCAUCGACGAAAACCGCUACUACGCCGCAUAUUUCGAAGAAAAGCACCCAGAGAUUGACGCCUAUGAUGUUCAGUACACCACCAAGAGAAGUGAGAUGAAGGAGCUCAUAGCCAUGGCAAAAGAACAGGUAAAAAAUGAGUGCAGGCCAGUGCAGAAUCUUCUGUUUUCAGAGUGCAGGCUUGGGCUCAAUGACCUUCCCAAUCAUGUAUAUGAGGUGGAUUGGGAUGUCAUCUUGGUGGAUGGACCCCGGGGUGACUGGCCUGAUGCUCCUGGCAGAAUGUCGGCGAUCUUCACCGCGGGCGUUCUCGCCAGGAGCAAGAAGGGUGGGAAUCCAAAGACACAUGUGUUUGUGCAUGACUUCUGUGGAAAAGUUGAGAAGACUUGUGGGAAUGAGUUUUUGUGCAAAGGGAAUUUAGUGGAGGCAACUGGGACUUUGGGACACUAUGUGCUUGAAAAAAUGGAUGAAAGUAGCGUUCAUUAUUGUAAGAAUCACUCAUCAUCUUCAGGAACUGCUUCAUCAUCUUAAUUACUAUCAGCUAGCUUUGUUAAAAAUCAUCCUAUUCCUGAUCAUAAUUGGUCUAUAGUCCAUCGGGGUAUUUAUGAUCCUUUUGAGUUUUGAUUGUUACAUUUGGUUACUUCUUGAGCUUGUAAAAAAUAAUUCUUUCAUUUGGUGGGACUGGAAAUUCUAGUUUCUUCAAUGUACCCAAGCUUCCAAAAUUUCAGAUGAGGAUUCUGAUUACAAAAUAGAAUAAGCUGGUGUAUUAGGUUGUAAAUUUGUAAUGCCAUGGAAAACAAUAUAGGAUAAGGUGUGCAUAUAUGGUACAAUAAUUUGUAAGUAUUCUUUUUUGAGAAAUUAAAUAAACCUUAAUUGUAAUGUGAACAUAUAAUACCGUCAGAUCAAGGAGUUGAAGUAGGUAUACACAAACUAACUGCACAACUUCAUAUACAUCAAUUUAGUGACAGAUACUGAUCAAGAAGAAAAUGGCGUGAGCGACUUUGAAAAAGGAGCUAUAUUUAAUUUGUCACUCUUAGGAGGCAGGUGUGAAUAUGAUUAUUAGUUAAUUGACUCUGCCCUCUCAGUAAUCUCCAUGAAUGUUUUAACUUUUAACCUCUUCCAUCUUGGAUUUGUUAAUUAAAUUAGGCUUAAAUAAGUUUUUCGUCCCUAAUAUUUACGAAAUGCUUGGCAUUGGUCCCUCGCCGGAGUAAAGGUGGGUUUUAGUCCCUAACCUUUGUCAAAAAGUUUGGUUUUGAUCUCUCCGGAGCUCUAGGUCAACGCCGGAGCUCCGGUGGCCCAUGUGGCAUGGCCACGUGGGAUUAGUGAGCUGACAUGGAAUUUGUUUUUCUUUUCAUUUAAAAAACCUAAUUAAUUUUUAAAAAAGAAAAUGUUUAAAAUUCUAAAAAAUAAAAAAAAUAACUUAAUUUAUUUAACUUUAAUCACUAAUCAAAUCUUUAAUUUUAGUCCUAAUUUUUUUAACUCUAAUCCUUCUUCAUCAUCUUCAACCAUCAUCCUCUGCUUAAAAAAGAUCACCUUCACCAUCUUCAUAAAGAAAAGAGAGAGUAAAAGCAAGAAAAUACAAACAACAACACACAGUUACAAGGAAGGAAAUAGCUAAAGGGUAAGGAUGAAAAAGAUCCAAUUACAAAAGCAACCACCCAAACAAGAUUCCCACACACAACCAGCAAACAAAUGCACAAUCCCUCCUGGCACCCAAACCAGAACUUAUCCCUCAGUAAGUGAAGCACACCCACAGUUUGCAACAAGCAAAACGAAAUAGAAUGGGAGUUCAAGCAAUUAAUCACAAGGAGAACAAAACCAUCAAAUUUAGAGAGAGGAAAGAAAAAGAGUGAGUGGUGGGGGAUCAGAACCAGCAAACCCAGAUUGUAACAGAAAACCCAAAUUGAAAUAGCAAACCCAGCAUUCCUAGAUGAAGAAAACCCAUAAACCCAAAUGAAGAUCCCAGAUGAAGAACCCAUCAAACCAUUUUAACCAGCAAACCUAGAAACCCAAGAACUACCAAAACCCCAACUUAGAAAACCCAGAUCGGGAGAGGUAGAGUGAAGAAAAAUGGCACCGAUUUCUUCAACAACCACAACCGAAAUUCAGAAAGAUGAACAUAUUUGAGGAAAAGGCUGGAGGAGGGUACUCGAACAUAUCUGCACUUUCAAUUCCAAAAUCCUAAUUUUCUCUCAUCUCCUAUUCAUUCCCCUUCCAUCCACCAUCGUCGUUUCUCAACAAUUAAUUACCCAUUCAAUCAUUGAGACCAAUAAUUACAGUUCAAGAACUCAAACUUUUUCUGAAGUAGUUCAAUACCCAUCUCUCAAUUUUUCGAAACCAAAUCGCCGUCACACAUGGAGAUGGAAGAUCGAGCCCCUGUCUGUCGAGGUUGUGCCCGUCGGGGUUGAGUUCGUGGUCGCUGGAGAGGAUGAUGAAUUGGAGGAAAGUUGGAGGCUUUUGGGGGUUAGAUCCAUUGGAGGUUGCAGGCUCUGACAGAGAAUGCUGAGAUGAAGAAGAUUCAAGAUUUGUGUUGAAUUUCCCAUUUUUAAUGUAUUUAUUUAAAUAAUAUAUGUAAUUAAUUAGGGAGGUUAAUUAGGCACAUUAAAUAUUGAGAUUUAAUUUUUUUUUAAUAUUUUAAAUGAAAAAUAAAAACUAAUUCCACGUCAGCUCACUAAUCCCACGUGGCCAUGCCACAUGGGCUACUGGAGCUCCGGCGUUGACCCAGAGCUCCGGAGGGACCAAAACCAAACAUUUUGACAAAGGUUAGGGAUUAAAACCCACAUUUACUCCGGCGAGGGACCAAUGCCAAGCAUUUCGUAAAGUUUGUAUUUUAUAAGUUUUUUUACUGUAAACUUACGACAACCCUAACUAUCGGUAUAUUUAAAUGAUUGUGUAAUCAACGACGGUCUAGGUUGUGCGUAACUUGACAAGUAAAAAAAAUGGGCAUCGAUUAUUGCAAUUGAAGCCGUCAAUAAUUUUUAAAAAAUUAAAAUUGUCGGCAGCUAAUAACUUGUUUGCUUUUGAAAAUUAUAUCAUGGAUUAUUAACGAUCAUCCCUAGCCUAUAACAAUUUAUAAGUAUCUUACAAAGAACCAAUAGAAACCUAUAAAUAGGUGUUCGCGAAACCUUAUACUAACAUAUCAAUAGAUAAUAUGUAACCUAUAAAUAAGCAUUUCCGACCCAAAUAUAUUCGAAAUGCAUGUAAUGAUCUGGGCUUAAAACAUAUCAAUAUUGGUCCUUCAGUCUGUUUAUAUAAGUGGGCUAGCUAUAUUGACAAAAAAAUAGGUUGGCGUUUCUUUUUUUAAUUUUUUUUCCAAUGGACCAAAAAGUUCAUAGUUGACUAAAAAAGAAGACAAGAUUGUAGAAAAAAUCUGGUUGACCAAAAGUAGAAGCAAAGAACAAAAAGCUAGCUGAUCUUUGUUAUUAAAUUAAUCGAUAAUUUUUUUAGAAUCAAUAUUUAAACAAAGAAUUAAUCAAUAAAUCUUCACAAAGUAUUUUGAAAAAAAAAUUCCACAAAGUGAAAUCUUAGGAGGCCGAGACUGAAUCUACAUAGCAAUUAACCUCAGCCCUAUACACUUAAGUGAAUAUGUCAUUUUUACCUAUCUUGUCUUAACUCAUAUAUAAUAAAACCUACUUUCCCAAUUUACCCUCAACUUCCCAAUUUCUUCGCAACUUCUCCCCACUCACAUAACCUCUCCGUUCUAUUUACAAAGUGUCUUCCAAACGCACCACCCCCUCCUUGGUCAGUGAUAGUGGGCCUUUAUAUGGUACGCGAAGUCGGUCUGUGAAUUUAUCUAACUCCCAUAAAAUUGAGGUUGGGUGUGCCCUCACAUAACCAAAUCAAUCAUACCAUCCAAUUUCUUGACAACCUAUUUCUUAUAGUAGGUCAACAGAGUCUAUGAAGAAAGUUAGGAAAAAGGGAAUUUUGUGUGAGAGAUCUUUCAACCUUGUCUGGUUUAUUCACAUGGAGAGAAGAGAUAUGUUCUAAAUGUGUGAUCCACUUACUUAUUCAUAACUCUUCAAUUUGAGCAGAAAGUUGAUGACUAUGGCUUAUUUCAUUUUUCCUUAUAUGCCCUUUAAUAUUGAGGUUAAAAAUCGAUAGAAAUGAUUUUGCUUACGGCUAAUAAAUUGUUUAUCUUAUAUGUCAUAUAAAAAUGACAUUUGAUAAAAAAUAAUUUUUUUUUGUCUCUCAGUUUAUCCUCUAAAUUUUUUAUCUUCUCUUUUUGUCAUAAUUCAUUUCAAACAACCUUCAAGUUAUUUUUCCUUAUAUGCCCUGUAUGUAUUUUUCUUUUUCUUUCUUCUCUCUCUUUCUCUCCUAAACCAUACAACGGGUUAAGUUUCAGGUGAUCUCUAAUGUGGACCACUUUUAAAAUAGUCUAAUUUUAGACCACUUUUUUUAAUCUGCUAUAACAGGUCAACACAUCUUUUUUUAAAGAAAUUUAAUAUAUGACAAAUUUUUAAUGAUAUUUUUUCUUUAAAAAAAUAAUGUGUUGACCUUCUAUACUCGGUCAAAGUAGGUGGUGUAAAAUUACACCACCUAAAAAUGGUGCAUAUUAAAUUCUCCCUAACUUUUAUCACUAGGAAAACUAUAUGUUAUGUUAUCAAAGCGUUUAUAACUUUUACUUCUAGUCUAGUACAUGCUCUGAAUUGAACUGGUAAGAAGAAUAUUUCUUUGUUUGCAAGCAUGUGGAGCUGGCAACCCGUGAUUUUGACAGAUUACAGCUUACCACCUGCAUUUUUUCUUCCGUCUUUGAAUUUCUCUUAGCAAAUCAAACAAAGCCCCUGUAUCUUCAUGUAAUUACCUUAAAACAUAGUAAGAAACACCACAGAAUCUCUGUGGUAUAAUUUUGUACACUUCUUCCAAACAUUUCCGUAGAAACUGGUUAUGAUCAGUUGGAGGAAUUUGGAAGCGAACAACAUUGUUUUAUUAUAGUGUAGAGAUAGUUGGCCACAUUCUAAAGGAACACCUAUUGUCAUUUCAUUUGAGUCCAUUGAGUUUGUAACUGAAGCAACCCACCAACCUGGUUGGUGACAUGAAAAUUCUCAUUGCUUUUUUGUUUUCUUUUUUCCGCAAUGUCAAACUGAAAAAGUCUCUUAUUAUUUGCAGCAAAUUAUUUAAUACACCACCACCAACACUUUUGCCGGUGACGCAUGAGUAACACCUGAUGAAUACUAUAUAUCACUGUCAUUGCAUUUGCAGCAAAAUGCAAAUAUAUAUAAGAACAGUUGAUAAUUUAAAUCACAUCUUGCGUUUGAAAUAGUCAUGGUUGAAGUUGGUGAUUUUAUAGAGAAACAAGUUUGAAUAAGGUCAAAUAGAGGCAAAAUUUACACAUCAAAAGGAAAAAGUAAAGCGUAUGAAAUAAUUUUUGGAUGUAAUGUACAAAUAUGGAAAACAAAAAGAGACACGACAUAAUUGCUUCAAUUUAGGCAUUUAACCGCUCUAGCUUAAUUGUAGGUAGCUUUACAAGAUUUUGACAGUUACUGUUUUUUUCUCCCCUCUCCUAAUUUUAGAAAAGCAUUACAAUUUACAUGAAUGUCGUGAAUUAGGAAAAGGAAAAAAAUAAAGGAAUUUCCAUUGUUAUGGUCAUUGAGAAAAAUAUGGGAAGUGAGUAAAAAGUGUAGGAGUAAAGUGCAAUUUUGGUGUGGCAUUACGAAUUAUAGCAAGAAAACAAAUUAUAAAAAAAUCAUUUAGUUACUUUUUGACUUCCUUUGACCUUAGGUCUAUCACCAUCUAUAUGUAAUUGGAGUUACCAAAAUGCUAAUAUUUGUAUCAUAUUUUAGUUGGAUUCGAGUUUAGUUCCGGUCACCAUCACGAAUUAAAUUACAUUUUUCGGUACACAAGUUACUUAUAGAUCACCCACCAAUACAAUUUUCACAAUGACGAAAAAAAUUGAACACACAAUACUUUAAGAGGAAGAGAUUCUUCAUUACUAAUACAAUACAACCGAGUUAAUAAGUAUUGAUGUAUCCUAUAUUAGCUAAGCUACAAGCUCCAGCUUAAUACUACUACUACUAGGCCAGUCUCUUUGUAAAACUUCAUUUUCUUCUGAAUUAAUUAUCCAAACUGAAAGUUGUUAGAACAAUUAAAAAGAGAAGAAGCAAAUUAGAUUAUCCUUAAACCCAAAGUAAUGUUAGAUGAUUAAAUCACAGCACCACCAAACCAACCAAAAUCCUUCCUUUCCCUUCAAAACGUUACAAACUUCAAUUCAAAAUUCAAAGCAAACUCAAUACAUAAACAAUAAAUACUACCUGCAUUUCAAUUCACAAACCUUACACACACACAGAUGAAGCUCUCGGCGUUGCAGCAGAGCUACCUCAACCGCCGCGCCAACAGCUUCAGAGGAGCACCGCAGUUAGAUGGUUCCGGCGACGGCGCCGUCAAGUCGCCGGCAACAAUAUUCUGGCUCGUCCUCCACGGCGUCUGCUGCCUCAUUAGUCUCGUCCUCCGCUUUCCCUUUCCACCGCCACUCAUCUUUUUCNNNNNNNNNNNNNNNNNNNNNNNNNNNNNCCACGUGACGGGCGUGGGGCUCGCGUUGAUGCUGGUGCCGUACGAUCGGGUGUGGAUCGUGGGGGAGGCCGGAGGAGUCACCAAUGAAACCGCUUCCAUUGUUGCCAAGUCUGGGCUCAGAACCAUCCACAUUGGCUUCCAUCAGAAGAUGCCUAUGCGUCUUCAAGCUUUGAGGUCAACUUUUAGUCAUCGAAAUUUCAAUAUCUAUCUGCUUUCACUAUUGAGUAUCAUUCUAGAUUUUCUAGUUAGUGCCUAAGACACAAUCACAAAAUCAGUGUUUUUUUGCUUUGAUGGUUGUCAUUGUCCUUACAUGUAAUGUUUUGUUAUAUGGUGGAACAGAAUUGUGAGGAAAGAGAAGCUGGAUGGAGUUGUGAUGUUUGCUGAUGAUAGUAAUAUGCAUAGUAUGGAGUUGUUUGAUGAGAUUCAGAGGGUGAAAUGGAUUGGUGCUGUUUCGGUUGGGAUACUUCUUCAUUCAGCUGAUGCGGGCGAGUCUUCGUCAGGGGAGGGGGAAGCUUCCCUGAUCCCUGUGCAAGGUCCUGCUUGUAAUGCUACGGAUAAGUUGGUUGGGUGGCACACUUUUAAUUCAUUGAGAUAUACGGGAAGAAGUGCGGUUUAUAUUGAUGACAGGGCGCCUGUGCUGCCCAGAAAGCUUGAGUGGUCUGGGUUUGUGUUGAAUUCCAGGUUGCUUUGGAAAGAUCUUGAUGAUAGACCAGAGUGGAUUAAGGAUCUUGAUGCGGUUGAUGAGGGGAUAGAGAGUCCACUGUCGUUGGUCAAGAGCACCUCUGCGGUAGAGCCACUUGGGAAUUGCGGACGCCAGGUUUUGCUUUGGUGGCUGCGGGUUGAAGCUCGCACUGAUAGCAAAUUCCCUGCUCGGUGAGUUCUCUCCUCUUGAUUUUAGAUAUUCAUUUAUGUUGCUCUAAGUUUCAUUUUCCAACUGAUUUAUAACCUUAGGAAUAGCUGCAUACUUGCAUUGAUACUUGGGCAUCAUGAGAAGUAGACUCAUGUUCUAGGAUGAUUCAUAGUUGUUCACAACAAAAGUCCUAACGAUAGAGCUUAGCUAGUUGGAUGCCCCGAUAGUAGUCGAAAUCAGGGAGGAGGUUGUAUAUCACAAAUCACUAAAUUGCAAUUUAAUCGUAAGAUUUAGCAGAUUUAGCUAUUCUUAAAUAUAUUAACGCAUAUAAAUUCUUAUAUGCAUAUAAAAUAGCAUAUAAAUUAAUAGAAAUGUCAUACAUAAGCACUAUAAAAUUUAGAAAGCAUAAAACAUAAACAUCCAGCUCAAGUUAGGAAAUUUGCGACAUUAAAAUAAAGAAUAGGGAGCUUCAAGCAGAGAAAAGGGAGGAAGAAGAGGCGUCGCAGGGCGUCGCCACCAGUGGCCGUCGUCGCUUCCUGUGGAGCCCUUGGUCGAAGUCGCCUCUGGUUCUGGAGGAGGUGAGACGCAAGUGACUCGUAAUGUCGUAUGAGAAGCUGUCUCAAACUCGUAAAAAUUUUAAGGUUUUUCUCACCUGGUUCCUGCACAAACAGGUCAAAACUCGUUAAAUUUUGAAUCUUCCUAAAUUGUAAAAUCUCAUCAAAUCUCAAUUUUGGUCCAAUUUAGCGAUUUCUGGGUGAUUUAUCAAGAAAGAGAUUUAGCAAGCGAUUUAAAUCGCUCAGGGGUUGCAGAUUGUAAAUAUUUACCAUUUAAAUCGUGAUUUUUCCUACCAUGGAUACGUGUGAUGAGACUUGCGAGAAUCAUGCAGAUAAUCAAACCAUCCUUAUGCAGCACUUGGUACACUCCUUAUUCCUUAUAGAGUUGAUAGACCGAGCGGAUAGCAGAGCUGAUUCAGUCGAUUGGGACCUAGCCACGCACCCCUAUUAAUUGUAAUAAAUGCCCAUUGUGGGGGCGAUAAAUCCAGCCGACCAGUAUAUCAACGUGAUAUAACAGUCCAAUAGUGUUCCAGCUUAAGAUGAUCCAGCUAAGAUGAAGCACCAGCUAAGAUGAUCCAGUCCAAACUGAGAAAAGAAGAAGCUAAGAAAGCAAACUGCUGCAAAAUUGAGGCAGAAUCGUUCUAGAUAUCGUAUACUAGUAUAUUACUAUAGUUGUUAACCAUCUAGUAAUAUUUUUGUGCUGGCUGAGAAACUGAAAGACUCAAUGGCAGUGGCUACUAAGUGUGCUUCCCUUCCCUUUUGUGAAUAUUCGCCUUAUAUAGAUGGAUGAGGGAGGGUUCCCACUUCCCAUUGCAUGCAAGGUUACUGGGUGUAAGUGUUGAAACUCAAAACUGCAAUGCAGGGUUGAGGGAGGGUUCCCACUUCCCAUUGCAUGCAUUUUGGUUGUAUGAUUAUCUGGAGUAUGUUGGGGUGUAGAUUGCAAGCUUUUCAAGUCAUCUGGAUCUGUCUGAACUGAAAGUACCAAAAUUAUCACUAGGAUGUUGGAGACUUGGAGUACUAGAGAGCUACACUCUAUAAUUUCAGCCUGCUUAAUCAAUAUAAAUUGAUUUAAUGAUUGAAUUGAUACUAGGAACACCACUAGCACCAAACUGCAGAAAAAAUGAAUUCCUUUCAGUCCUUGUAUUAUGUAUGAAAUCAAUAGUAAUAAACUAAUAAUCAUGAAUUAACUCUUAGUAGUAAGCUUGUGCAAUAGCUCCCUACCAGAGGUGCCUUUAUUUCCCUAAAUUGGUGAUUUCAUUUCCCAUUAAAUGCCAGCAAUUAAAUGACAUAUCCAUGUAAGUUUCUGCCCUUAGAUGGACCUCUAGAUGAAAGGCCACAUAACGCCAAAUAGAACAACAUGCUGGUGAAGUUAAGUGGAAAUUUGUUGGACGUUGGUUAGUUACUAAUAGAUCAUAGACUUGAGCCAGAUCAUCCCAAUUCCCAAGGGUUGUUAUGAAUGUUUGGAUUAGAAUCUUUGCAUCCUUAUCCUAAAAUAGUGCAUGGAUUUAUGUAUUCUCUAAACUUGUUUAUUGCCAUAUUUUCUGCUCAUAACACUGACUUUAUGAUGCUAUUCCAUGCAGAUGGAUCAUUGAUCCUCCUUUGGACAUCACCGUCCCAUCAAAACGCACUCCAUGGCCAGAUGCUCCUCCUGAGCUCCCAUCGAAUGAAAAAGUGUUCACCGGCACAGAAGAGCAGACGAACAAGCACACUACAAAGAUCAAAACAACCAGAUCCCGACGCAGUAAAAGUAAGAGAAAGCAUGAGACCAAAGUGAUUGGUGUGCAAGUCUCUACACAUUCUGAACAAAACUGAGAUGGGAAUUUGCACAUCUGAGGAAUUUAUUGCCUUGUGUAUACAAAACUGUUGGCCUUUCGCAACAAGAAUUUGGACUUUGAUCAAAUGAAGAAGCUGAUAUCUUACUGAAGAUGCGUAAUUUUUAUGGUUGCCAGCACAUGUGCAUUAGAGUAUGAGAUUUCACCCAUUUUUUCUUUUUACAAUUUUUUCUUCUUUAUGUUGGGGGUGCCAUAUACCCGUUCGCUUGAGAGAUUGAAAGGUAAUGUGAUCUUAGUUUUGCAGCAGUUGCUUGCUGCCUUGCAGGAAGUGUAUUCAAUUUUAUUCCAUGUUAAUAGAUAUUCUUCUCAAUAGUUAUACAUCUUUGAUUCUUUCACACGCAGAUUUUCGUUACUUGUAGAGAGGUAUAUAGUAAUAAAAAACUAAGUCCAGAGGUUCUGGAUCCUACGAAACAAUCCCAAGCAAGUACUAUCCACAACAACGAUAAAUAAAUUUCACGUCUUCUUUUUUUCUUUUGCCCAAAGAGAUACACAAGGUAAAAGAACAACAAAGUAGUCCCUGGCCCAACCACCCUACAUUGUUCUGUUCAGACUUCAGAGUAUGAUCCCUGUGUUUGACAAAAAAAAAACGAGUAUGAUCCCUGUGCUUCGGGCACACAAGAACUGUGUGCAGGAUCAGUGCCAUGUGAUGAAACGACUGAUUGGAGCAAUAGUAUUUUCUUGUCUUCAAUUUCUAACACUUUAUUCUCUUGACAGCUAGCUUGUAUCAACUCAAGAAAAAAUUAUUCCAAAACUUCUUACACAUUAGUUGAAACCGCUAGAAAUGUGUAUUUGAGCCACCUAUUUUUCUCUCUUCUCCUAUAUUGGACAACCUAUAAAUUUAUUCUUUUUACACAUUUCUCUCUCUUCUCUCUCAUAAACCAAAGCGUAAAGAGAGGUGAUAUUAGUUCUCUCAUAACUAGUGUUUUUUACCCAUGCGUUGCACGGCGAUUAAAUUUAUUUGAAAGAUGAAUCAGUAGAAAUAAGUUUUAACUUAGUUUAGACUCUUUUUAGUAUGUAAAAAAAAUAUGGAACCGAACAUAUGAUACAAACAUGUUGAUGAAUGAACAACAUUAAAUAUAUUAAUUUGAUGAGGUUGUAUAAACCUCACACUGUCAACACUUGAAUAGUAAUAAGAACAAAGUUUUUAAGGAAUGCAUUCCAUUGAAAUUGAAAUAAGAUAAACAUAACAAUGACAACGACAUGAACGCUUAUUAGAAGUUGUAGUCCAUGAUUAAUGAUAAAAACUCCAUAACCGAUCUUAUUGUCAAUCAAGUAAAUUUGAGCUAUAGAACCUACAAAGACAACAAAUUAUAUAAGAGUAAUAAUAAUUAACCAANNNNNNNNNNNNNNNNNNNNNNNNNNNNNNNNNNNNNNNNNNNNNNNNNNNNNNNNNNNNNNNNNNNNNNNNNNNNNNNNNNNNNNNNNNNNNNNNNNNNNNNNNNNNNNNNNNNNNNNNNNNNNNNNNNNNNNNNNNNNNNNNNNNNNNNNNNNNNNNNNNNNNNNNNNNNNNNNNNNNNNNNNNNNNNNNNNNNNNNNNNNNNNNNNNNNNNNNNNNNNNNNNNNNNNNNNNNNNNNNNNNNNNNNNNNNNNNNNNNNNNNNNNNNNNNNNNNNNNNNNNNNNNNNNNNNNNNNNNNNNNNNNNNNNNNNNNNNNNNNNNNNNNNNNNNNNNNNNNNNNNNNNNNNNNNNNNNNNNNNNNNNNNNNNNNNNNNNNNNNNNNNNNNNNNNNNNNNNNNNNNNNNNNNNNNNNNNNNNNNNNNNNNNNNNNNNNNNNNNNNNNNNNNNNNNNNNNNNNNNNNNNNNNNNNNNNNNNNNNNNNNNNNNNNNNNNNNNNNNNNNNNNNNNNNNNNNNNNNNNNNNNNNNNNNNNNNNNNNNNNNNNNNNNNNNNNNNNNNNNNNNNNNNNNNNNNNNNNNNNNNNNNNNNNNNNNNNNNNNNNNNNNNNNNNNNNNNNNNNNNNNNNNNNNNNNNNNNNNNNNNNNNNNNNNNNNNNNNNNNNNNNNNNNNNNNNNNNNNNNNNNNNNNNNNNNNNNNNNNNNNNNNNNNNNNNNNNNNNNNNNNNNNNNNNNNNNNNNNNNNNNNNNNNNNNNNNNNNNNNNNNNNNNNNNNNNNNNNNNNNNNNNNNNNNNNNNNNNNNNNNNNNNNNNNNNNNNNNNNNNNNNNNNNNNNNNNNNNNNNNNNNNNNNNNNNNNNNNNNNNNNNNNNNNNNNNNNNNNNNNNNNNNNNNNNNNNNNNNNNNNNNNNNNNNNNNNNNNNNNNNNNNNNNNNNNNNNNNNNNNNNNNNNNNNNNNNNNNNNNNNNNNNNNNNNNNNNNNNNNNNNNNNNNNNNNNNNNNNNNAACCUUCCUCUUUUCUAAAGUAUAUAGAUUUAAAACAUAUCUUUGGUUCCAUGUUUGUAACUAUUGAAAUUAAUUAUCCAUAUUCAUAAUUAAUUUUUUGAAUAUUUGGAGGGUUCCUUCUACCAUUGAUUUUAGCUCAAAAUUCUUGAAUGAGAUAAAAAUCUCAGUUUUUUGGGUUCUUCUUUUAUGGAGACUGGUUGUUAUAACAACACUGUUGAUCCCAAUAAUGCAUCAAUAGAUCAAAAACAAAAUAGACUUAAUACAAAUUCAUGAGCUUGAUUAAUAUGGAUACCAUAAGAGAUGAUAGAUUAGAAGCGAAGAUAUUCUCAUUGUUGUAUACUAGGGUUGGGUUAGAAACACUUUGAUUUAGGGUUGGGUUAGAAACACUUUGAUUUAGUUUGGUUUCCUAGGUUCACUGCGUGAACAACCACAAACAUAAUUUAUUGUGAAAUUUUACAAUUAAAUUCCACAACGUUCUCCCACAAAAAUAUGUUUCUCAUAAAUGUAUAUAUAUUUAAAUCAUUAAUUCAUUUGUUAAGUAACUUUUUUAUCUAAAUAAAUUUUACCAAAAUUAAUUAUAUCUAUAACCAAUUUUAACAACUAAUGCAAAGACAAAUUAAGUUGCCAAUAUGUAGUAGCCUACUAGAGACUUUUUUACGGGAAAGUCAAGAAAAAACAAGAAAAUGGGCAUAUUCAAUUAAGAUGCUAGUUAAUUAGCGAAAUAAAGGUAUUGUCAACGUUGGCAUGAAUAGAUAUCAUAUUUAUUUUUGCUUCAUAAAAGGGGUCCUGGACUCUCAUCCCCGUGCCCUUCUCAUUGCUGAGAAGGUGUUUGGGAAGUUUGCAUUAUUGUUGCAAUUAAAGCAUGUGUUUUGUGAAGCCAACGCGGUGGUAGAUUUGUUUGCUAAGGAUGGGUUGAGUCAAUAUGAAGCUUUGAAGGUUUUUGAGCAGCUCUUUGUUUAGUUCCUCUUAGCUUUGAUUCCUGUAACGCUCUCUUUGAGGGAAUAGUUUCUUUUCUUAUUAUGCCCUGCAUGGAAUAAAAAAAAAGACAUCAAUAAUCAUAUUCACGCUUUAGCUGCUAAAGAAAAUAUUUGAUUGUGCUAAAAAAGAAAAAGUCACACGUCUAAAUAUACACUAAUUAGAAUAGGAAGUACACAAAGACUUGAGCAUCAAAGAAACAUGUUAGAAGUUUUGGAGCUGAGUUUAUCUGUUGCACGAAUAAUUUUGUUCAAUUUACUUGAAAGGAAUUUUAGCUGUAAAUGUGUGAAUACAACAAGUAUUAGUUUGAAGUCUCAUAUUGAUUAAGAAUAAAUAAGUUCAAGAUUUAAGACAAUAUAAGAGACAUAAUUUACAUUUUAAGUAAAGAUUUAGUGUUCAACUCUCGUUUAAGUGCGGUUGAAGUCUUGAAGACUUGUGUUGUUUUUUUUUUUUUUUUUGUCAAAAGAGAAAAGUUUCAUUCAUAGAGGCGGGCCAGACCCAGAAUAAAGCAAGGGAUAAAGCCCCAUCCAAUCAGGCAAUCAGCUAAUCUGCAAUUGCUUAAAGGAUAUGACAAAAAGUCUUUGAUAAAAAUUGACAAAAAAAAAAUAGGGGACAAUAAGACAAAGCUAGCUUAGUUGUCUCGGACAAAGCAAAUGAGAUAUACACAUUUCACUUUCUCUUCUAUCUCAUUUUCACAUAUUUUUCUUUUAAUCCCUCUUCAUUUUUUGUAACAUCACAAAUCAUAUAAUUAAUUUCUCUCUUAUUUUUAUCUAAUCUUACAAAGUGGAGGUGAAAUUAGUAUGUCAACGAAACAUUAUUCUUGUUUUAUCUACUAAUCCCACUAAAGCCGUCGUUCAAUAAUGUUAGCCAAAUUUUCAUUUCUUUCACCUUUUACCUUUUCCCUGUCCCCCACACAUACAUCCUUCUUCAAGCUAAUAAUUUAGCCUUGGCCUUUAGUCUAUUUAAUUUAUUUACUUUGUUUUCUAUAAUUUACCAAAUUAACAUUUUUAAACAAUAACCCAUCACUUUUAAACAAAGAAUAAGUUUUUUUGAAAUCUAAGAAUAAGUUGAUUGAACUGCAAAUGGAUGAACCUAACCCAUAAUCCAAUCUUGUUCCGUACGCACUUUUGACUAUAAAUAUCUUGCCUCCAAGCUCCCAUUUCAACUUGAAGCACCCACUUCGCCAUUGCAACAAUUUCUCUGCUCCUUUACCUUUCAAGGUACUCUUCUUCUCUGUCUCACGCUUUCGUUUUUUUUUUUUAAUUAUAUUUUACAAUCUACUUUGUGCAAUGCCAGGGAAAGUACACCAAAUGAUUAUUAGUUUAGUUUUAAUUUUUUUUUUUUUUUGAAAAUGAAAGAUAUAUUAAUAAUAAGAAAGCCCGAGCUAGCGAAGCAAACCAGGCACAGUACAUUUACAUGCCGCUGAGAAACAACAACCCACCACCAACCCGCAAAAUGGCAAAAGCGUAGUCCCAAGAAAGAGCUUCAUUAAAACCUUACUAUGAAAAACCCAUUGGGAUAAAAACCUAGCAAGGAAAAAGAGUACCACAAUCUUGGGACAGCCAUUUUGCAUCAAGAUACAAUAAGAAUCAGCCCCUCCAAUCAUGAAAAAAUUCCUGGAGUUCAAAGAGAAAAAAAUUGGAAAGUACACUGUUCAAAAGAAUUUUUUAGGCUAAAAAGCAUUUUUGACUCAUGAUGUUUUAAGUUUGUGCAAAUUCAGCCCCUACUCUAUUUUUGUCGACAUUUCUACCGCGCCUCCUUUUUUCAAUUUCACUUGUAAUUUCCACGUGCUAGGUCCAAAAAAUAUUUAAAAAAAAGUCAAAUCAGCUCAUUUCGUUAGUUUUUUAACGUCUGACUGACGGGGGGUAGACGGUGCACUGUUUGAAAACCUGAGGGGGGGGGGUCAAAAGUGCUUUUUAGCCAAUUUUUUAUUGAGAUAUUUAAAAAUUGACAACGUUGCUCACGUGAAAGUGAGUUUUGAAUUAAAAUGUCUCAUUAAUUAGAAUAACAACUUUACUUUAUUAAAUAACUUGGUGGAUGGGGGAAAUGAAUGGAUUUUCAGGGUGAAGGGUCAGGGUUCAAACCCUGGCGAAGAAACUAAUUUACUAAUAAUUAAGAACUAAAAUUUGCCUAUAAAAAAAUAACAGGGUGGGUAGAAACGAAUAAGAUCAAGAGGUAAACCCCAUGAGCCACAAUAAUUUUAAACAUUUAUUUCCUUAAUUUUAAAUAGUGAUCACUAUUAAACCAUUUAUUUCCUUCCAAAGUUAGAAUAUAUUCGUUGCUUUCUUUAUGUUUAGAGAUGACAACGGGUCGGGUUGGUUUUGUCUACCCAAACCCAAACUCCUAUAUCCAAACCCAAGUUUUGAGUGUACCCAAUCCGUUGCAAUCUCAAAUUCACGUUAUAAUCUGGCUCGAUGUAGAGAAUUUAUUUGCAAAAUAAAACGCAGCUUAUAUUAUUUUGUUGCAGAUAAAAUAUUUAUAUCAAAUUUUGCAAAAAGACAUAAGACUUUAAUGUUUACAUAUGAUCGAAUUUUUAACAAAUUAAGACACAGAACCCAUUAAAUUUUGUAUAUAAAAAAUAAAAUAAACCAAUACUCAGCCAAAAUACCAUAAUAUUAAUAUAUAUAUAUAUAUAUAUUUAUGGUUACAAACUCUUAUAUCCAACAUAACUAUAGAGGAUUUCACCCGUCAAAUUGGGUCGGGUUCAAGCGGGUACCCUAAGAUGCGGGUUUCAUUGUCAUCCCUAUUUAUGUCUAUAUAAUAGUUGUAGCUUUUGCAAUUGAAUCAAGCAAAAAAAACCAAUAAAGGUGUUCACGUUCAGUAAUAUUGUUCCUCUCUUCCAUUUCCAUUUUUUCUUCUAGCAGUCUCCAGAAGAAGAAGAAAAUGGAAGUUGUAUUCAACACAGAGCUCUUAAGGGGAAAUGGUGAACAUCUGCAAGAUGAAGAAGCUAGCUCCCCACUAUCUGAUUGGGUGAUCUCCAUCAAGGGAAAACUAGACAAGGCAUGUCAAGAUGACGGAGCAAGUUCAUGGGACAAUUUAUCAAUCUACAAAGUCCCUCAAUACCUUAGAAAUAGUACUGGCGAUGAUAAAGCUUAUGUACCCCAGAUUGUGUCAUUAGGUCCUUACCACCAUGGCAAAGAGCACCUUCGCCAAAUGGAACGCCAUAAAUGGCGCUCCCUUAACCAUGUCCUCAGGCGAACAGGACACGACAUUAGACUCUAUCUCAAUUCCAUGAAAGAGAUAGAAGAUAAAGUCCGCUCCUUCUACGAGGGACCAAUCACUUUAAACAGCAAUGAGUUCGUGGAAAUGUUGGUCCUUGAUGGUUGUUUUGUGUUGGAGGUUUUCAGAGGAUAUUCAUUGGGGUUCGUAGAACUCGGGUAUUUAUCGAACGAUCCUGUUUUCGCAUGGCGUGCAUCAAUAUUCUCCAUAAGCAAAGACUUGAUCAUGCUAGAAAACCAGCUUCCACUUUUCGUACUAGAUCGGAUUCUGGGACUUCAACUUGAUAACCCAGACCAGAAAGGACGCGUUGCUGGUCUAGCUCUCGAGUUAUUCGAUUGGUUAAAGCCAGAAACAGGAACAAUGAGUAAUGAUCAUCCAACAGAAACACAAACAAUAUUGAGUAAUGAUGAUUUAGAUGGUCUUCAUUGCUUGGAUGUCUUCAGGAGAAGUCUCCUACACACAGGACCAAGACCUCAACCAACACCCAAAGAACCACAAACAAUGAGUAAUGAUCCUCCUUCAGAAACUCAAACAAUGAGUAAUGAUGAUUUAGGUGGUUUUCAUUGCUUGGAUGUGUUCAAGAGAAGUCUCUUGCGCCCAGGACCUCAACCAACACCCAGAGAACCACAAACAAUGAGUGAUGAUGAUUUAGGUGGUCUUCAUUGCUUGAAUGUGUUCAGGAGAAGUCUCUUGCGCCCAGGACCUCAACCAACACCCAGUGAAGGGAUCCAACGCUGGUCAAAUCGGCAGCAGACGAUACCUUGUGUCACAGAGCUUAAAGAGGCUGGAAUCAAAUUCAAGAAAGGGAAGACAUAUCGCUUCUUGGAUAUAAAAUUUGAGAGAGGCACCCUGCAAAUACCGCGGCUCUUGGUCCAUGAAGGCACCAAGACUUUGUUCCUCAACCUCAUUGCCUUUGAGCAGUGUCAUCUUGACUGCGGCAGUGACAUCACAAACUAUGCCUUCUUUAUGGACUACUUGAUCAACUCUCCAGAGGAUGUGGGGUACCUUAUUGACCGUGGGAUAAUCGAGCACUGGCUUGGCAAUGAUCUAGAAGUUGCAAACCUUUUUAAUGGCCUAUGCCAAGAGGUUUCGUAUGACAUUGAAGAUAAUUACCUUUCCACAAUUUUAGGUGCUGUGAAUCUGUAUUAUGAGCGUAGAUGGAACAAGUGGUAUGCAAACUUGAGACAGAACUACUUCAGCAAUCCUUGGACAAUUAUCUCUUUAAUUGCUGCUGUUGUCUUGUUGCUACUCACUCUUGCACAAACCUGCUACACUAUAUAUGCUUAUUACAGACCACCUAAGUAACUCGUGAGUGCCCCUGCAAGAUCUUUCAUUUCCUAGCUAGUUCCUACUAAUUACACCCAUGCACCUUAUAGCAUUGAUCAUUUUUCAGUCUAAGAUAUUGAUGUGUGUUUGCACUAGCUUCAAGAAAGAAAGAAAAAAACUAGAAAACAGCUUGGAAGCAUGAAGCCUCAUUAUUUAAUUUGUUUUGGCUCAGAAGAUGCUGGCUUGUGCCUACUACUGUAAUAAAGUUCUUUUAACAAGUGUUCUUUUCUCAUAUUAAAAAUAGAUUUGAUUGUAAAGGAAAAAUAUAGCAUGGCAAUCCUCUUAUACCAUAGUUGGGCCAAACAAAUGAGAUAAUUUACACUACGAGGAUUAUCCACAUUACUGAAAUUUCAAAACAUAUACCUUUCUUCUACCAAGAAAGUAGAUAGUUGAAUUAAGAAAACCCAAUGAGACAUGUAAGAUUAGCACUGUUUCACUUUCAGCUAUCAAAAUCUGUUUUAUAUUCUUUCUACACAUUUUGGCUCUGAUUUGAAUGUUUUAUAAUUAACGAAGUCUUCAUGGAUAUAUCUAGAUCUCUGAAGAUUGUUUGCAGUAGAAUUCGUUUGCAAGUAUUUGAUAUAAAAGAAGGCUUUGAGUAAUUCCCCUGUGAACGUGCUAAGGUAAGAAAUGAUUCAAGCACAAAGAAGCAUGUUGAGUGUGGUCAUUCAAAUUCCUUUUGUUUUGUCAUUGUAACAAACUCACGCGUUUAUUUGAAAAUUUCUAGAUGCUUCUGUUCAAGCACAAAGAAGCUUUUUAAUGAUUAGUGUUUACUCUUUGUCAAUUUUUAACUCUGUAUAAAUUGAUGUUGUUCGUUUAAUUUCUUCCCUACAUUUCCUUUUUGUUGUUAGCUACAUGUAACUUUGUAUGAUUUAUAUUUACACCUGGUUUUUUAAUGGUAACUGGUAAGAAGGAUUACAAUGAUGAUGAAUAUUAUCAAGUGAGGUCAAUCAUUCAUUUGAUUAUUUGAAUGUAAAACUUUUAAUAGACCGAGAACUUUAGAUGAUAAAAAAGUUUGGUUUAAUUGCUUCAACAAGUUUUCUUUUCACAUAUUCAAAAUAAAUUUGACUGGAAAGGGAAAAUAUAGAAUGACAAUCCUCUUAUACCAUCGUUGGGCCAAGACAAUUUAAACUAUGAGAGACCAUUCACAUUGGACAUCGGGAAUCAUCCACAUUGUGCUUUUAAAGAACAAAACACAAGGCAUUUGGACAUUACAUCUUUCACCCAAAGCCAAGUUUUGGAUGAAAGAUGUGAUGUAUGUUCAACUCACUAGUAAUUUGCUCUUUAACCAGGGCCGGUCCCGACAUUUUGGAGGCCCUGGGCCGUUUCAGAGUUAAUUGAUUCUCCAAUUAAUAUCCACUUAUCUAGUGAAUUAGGUAGAAGAACCCAAGGAAAUCUUCCACCUUCCACAUUCCAAUGUUAAUUAAGCUCUUAAAUACAAAAGUACAGAACUGGUCUUAAAUGCAACUACUAAAUUUUUUUUUUUGGGGAAAGUUUAAUGAGAUUUUUUUUUGGCCCCUUCUUUUUAGAGGUCCUGGGCUGUGGGUCUGCCUGCACAGGCCCAGGGCCGGCCUGUCUUUAACCCAAUGUGGAUGAUCCCCAUAAUUUUAAUAGUUUCCUUUGUUUGGCCCAAUAAUCAUAACAUUGUUGAUUACAAUAAUGCCUCAUUAAACAACAAUAUGAAAAGCUGGAGAAAACUCAUGUUUCUCAUAACCUAAUGUUAUGAUCGACCCAACUUUAGAGUGAUCGGAUAAUGGCUCAUAAGUUAGAAAGAGUCUUGAAGUGAAGGAUACUUGAUUAAGAUGGUGAUCAUACAAGAUAAAAAAAAAACAUAAGGAUGAUACACAUUCAUGAGCGUGAUUACUAUGGAUACCAUAAGAGAUGCAUCGAUCAUUGUUGUAUUCUAGGGUUGGGUUAGACAAUACUGACUUAGUUUGGUUUCCUAUGUUCAUUGUGAAAUUUCACAACUAAUUUCAACAACGUUUUCCCACAAAAAAUCAUUUUUCUCAUAAAUAUAUAUAUAUAUAUAUNNNNNNNNNNNNNNNNNNNNNNNNNNNNNNNNNNNNNNNNNNNNNNNNNNNNNNNNNNNNNNNNNNNNNNNNNNNNNNNNNNNNNNNNNNNNNNNNNNNNNNNNNNNNNNNNNNNNNNNNNNNNNNNNNNNNNNNNNNNNNNNNNNNNNNNNNNNNNNNNNNNNNNNNNNNNNNNNNNNNNNNNNNAUAUGUAUCCUGACAAUCUGAAACAAUAUAUUGCUUUGAAGUCAUUUAAAUGAAUAAUUAAGACACGACCAAAGCAUGAAGUCACGACUAACAAAUUUUGAUUUCUUUCACGUUUUCCCCUCUAUUGUGCAUGUCCCUGUCCCCCACCUUACAUCCUUCUUGCAACUAACAAUUUAGUCUGUUUAUUAACAUAAAAACGAAUAGGACCAGGACCAGGAGGUAAACCCCACAAGACACAAUAAUUUUAAACAUGUGCAAUCUGCAGAAUUAUUAAAUUUCACAUGUUCAAGCCCCUUUUAUCCACCCUCUGAAUCUAAUCUAUAUUUGAAGUCUCUUUUCCAAGAUAAUUAAUCAUUCUACAGAUUAGCUGGAAUAAGAAUAAGUUUUACAUAAUAAUAGCACGCUUAAAAGUUGAAAGUUAUCGCGAACCUGCUGCAAUUUGGUUCAAAGGGGUCCCAUAUGAGCUGUUUAAUUUGUUCAAGUCAUAUCCUUCUAGGAAAUAGGUAGGUCCUUUGAUUCCAUAAUCACAAACUACUCAAUUUAUUUGUUUAUGAUUUAACAGCACCCUUCAAAGUUCAAACCAUUGACAAGAAACACAAACAGAAUAGCAGUCUCCAGAAAAGAAGAACAAAAUGGUAGCGGUAUUCAACAAAGAACUCUUGAGUUGGUACCUUAUCACCCUCAAACUCAGACAAACCUUAGAAUCCGGGCGUCCACCAUCUCCUAAUUCAGAAAACCGGUCAAUCGAGUUUCCUCCUCAGCAGCAGCAAAAGCUUCAGCAGGAACCUUCAGAAUCAUUGCAUGUCAUCGUCAAUGAAAAUGGUGAACAUCUGCAAGAGGAAGAAGCUAGCUCCCCAGUAUCUGAUUGGGUGAUCUCCAUCAAGGAAAAACUAGACCAGGCAUGUCAAGAUGAUGUAGCAAGUUCAUGGGCCAAGCUAUCAAUCUACAAAAUCCCCCACUACCUUAGAGAUAGUACUGGCGAUGACAAAGCAUAUGCACCUCAGAUUGUGUCAUUAGGUCCUUACCACCAUGGCAAAAAGCGCCUUCGCCAAAUGGAACGCCAUAAAUGGCGCUCCCUUGACCAUGUCCUCAAGCGAACCAAACACGACAUUAGGCUCUACCUCAACUCCAUGAAAGAGAUAGAAGAAAGAGCUCGCUCCUUCUAUGAGGGACCAAUCAGUUUAAGCAGCAAUGAGUUUGUGGAAAUGUUGGUCCUUGAUGGUUGUUUUGUGCUGGAGCUAUUCAGAGGAGCUACAGAGGGGUUCAAGGAACUCGGGUAUUCAAGGAACGAUCCUAUUUUUGCAAUGCGUGGAUCAAUGCACUCCAUUCAUAGAGACAUGAUCAUGCUAGAAAACCAGCUUCCACUUUUCGUACUAGAUCGGCUUUUGGGACUUCAACUUGGUAACCCAGACCUAAAAGGACUUGUUGCAGGUCUAGCUCUCAGGUUCUUCGACCCCUUAAUGCCAACAGAUGAGCCAUUAACAAAGAGUGAUAUAAACAAAUUGGAAUCAUCAUUUAAAAGCAGUGAUACCUUUGAUCCUUUAUCUGAUUUAGGCGGUCUUCAUUGCUUGGAUGUGUUCAGGAGAAGUCUACUGCGCACAGGACCUCAAUCAACACCAAGAAUAUGGAUCAAACGCUGGUCGAAUAACCAUAGAGUUGCAGACAAACGGC
rnacentral:lncRNA from 1 species